rnacentral:lncRNA from 1 species
CCAAAGACGUAAAGAGGAUGGAAGAACUGGGAAGGGAAAUGGUUGAACAUUGUGCCGGUCUUCCGCUAGCUAUAGUCGUUUUGGGUGGAAUUCUUGUAACAAAACCGUCGUUGAUAGAGUGGGAGAAGGUAUAUCGUGAUAGUAAAUCAUCCCUCAAGGCGGGGAGAGGAUUGGAAGAAGCCUAUCAAAGGGAAAUAUUAAGUUUUUUAGUUUGGAGCUACAAUGAUUUACCCCCUCAGUUGAAGCCAUGCUUUUUAUAUUUAUCUAAGUUUGGUGAUAAUAAAUAUAUAGAAGUGGGGACUUUGUAUCAGCUGUGGAUCGCCGAAGGAAUGAUACUCUCGAGUGACAAAAGGGAAGGAGAAACAAUGAUUCAAGUGGCUGAAUCAUACAUGGGAGAACUAGUCCACAGGAGUAUGGUUCAAGUGAGAUUUAACAAUGUGAAAUCAUCACCUACAAAGUUUGAAGAUUGUUCUCUGCAUGACCUUAUGCGAGAUAUGUCUUUAAUACAAGCAAAAGCAGAAGAUUUUUUUGAAGAUAUACAUUCCAAAGUGCAAAUGAGUUUCAUCUCAAAUCUACUGCAGAUUCAAGAAACACAACUCGACUUGUGAUUAAUUUGGAUGAGGAAUAUUCUAGGAAAAAAGUUAAUUACUACUUCUCCAAGAAACGCGAUAAAAAAUGCUAUCGAUCAAUUUUACUCCUCGGUCAGUUUGGAGCGAGAAGUUUGCCACGGUCGCUCGGGUCACAUGUUGCCAAUUUUAGGUUCCUAAAAGUGUUUUCAGUGGAGAAAUAUACCAAUUUUUCUGGUGCAUUUUCCCAUAUUAAUUUUGGAAGAGCAUUAGGGGCCCUUGUUUACUUGCGAUAUCUUAGUGUAAGGGGCACUAAUUUGUUGGUUUUUCCUUCUAUACAAAAGUUGGUACUGUUACAAACUCUUAGAUUGCAUACAUGCGAUGAUAUGUAUGCUUUACCAUGGUUGUCAAGAGAUGUUCUGGUGAAGCUCGAUUGUUUGCGGCACCUGUAUUUGCCUAAAUUUAAAGUUGACGUUUUGGUAAGGAAAUCGAAAUUACGGUUUAAUGGGUUGAGCAAGUUAGAGACCCUGGAGAACUUUGACACUACUUGGUGUGAGGUUAAGGAUCUACGUGAACUAAUCAAUCUUCGGAAACUAAUGGUAACAGUGAGAGGUAGCUGUGAUAUUCUGGAAGAAAUGAUGAAAAACUUGGAUGAUAUAGCCUCCUCACCAUCUUCAUGUCUGAGCUACUUGGGUGUUGCUAUUAGUAAUUGUCAUCUCGAGCUGAACAAUGGUCUUACUAUCUUAAAACAAUUGGUAUAUGCUGAAAAUUUGAACCUUCGGGAUUUGAAAAUAUAUGGGCGUAUCCCAGAGGUGGGUCUAAUAUUUCCGCUUCAAUAUGUAUCUACAAUUGGUAUUACAAGUUUAACUUUAGCGAGUUCAUGCCUAGAAGAAGACCCGAUGCCAAUACUGGAAAUGCUUCCAAUGUUGGGUGUUCUCUGUUUGUUUAAGGAUACAUAUGUGGGGAAGGAGAUGGUGUGCUCCGCAACCUGUUUUCCUAAACUCACCUCUCUUUAUUUGCAAGAGUUCCCAAACCUUGAAAAAUGGAGGGUGGAGAAAGGAAGCAUGCCCAUGCUUUCAUACUUGCGUAUUGAAAGAUGUAACAAGUUGGAGGAGCUUCCCGAAGGCCUAGUGUUCCUCAAGUCCCUUCAAGUACUAGAUAUAUUUCAUAUGCUUCAAGAUUUUAAUGAUAGGCUUAAAAGGCAUGAUGGUGAAGAGGGACCCGACUUUCACAAAAUUUCUCAUGUCGAUAGACUCAUUAUUGACGAUCAGGAGUUAAAUUGAAUGUUCUUGCAAGCUUAUUAUUCCACAAAAUUAUUAGUUCACUUAUAAGGCUAUAAGCCAUAUUUGUCAAAAAAAACAAAAAAAAACUACUCCUUUAGAAAACGGCUCAGCGUUCUCAGGUUCAUAUUCACACCAUAUUCUCUUGUGAACUAGGGGCACAAUUUUCAUCAUUUUCUUUGUCUUACAAGCAUGCAAUCUAGUCAUUUGAAAUUGAUCACUUUAAAGACCAUCCUUGUGUCUCGUUCAUUUUCCUUGAGGUGAACAAGAGUUGAACAUAUUCGGAAGCAAUAAAUAUAACAGUCUUAUAACAGAAUAUCGAUUUAUGAUAAUGUUAGACUGCAGAAAAUGAGAGGAAGUAAUUUUUCACUGACCAAUAUGUAAUAUGUUUUCAUGCUAUUGCGGCCAACACAACAGAGUACAUUGUUUCCCACAUGUUGCAACAAAACACCAAAACUAGGAGACUUCUAACUCUUGACUCCACCCAUUGUUCAAACUUUUUCUUUGUGAUCUUUUUUUAUAAUGAAACACUUUUGUAUUUUUUUCCUUUAUAGUUAAAACUACGAUAUAUACAGCGUUUAGGACUGGGAAACUGCUUUCUUCAAGACGCUGAAGGCAACGAGCAUAAGCAGUGAUAUCAUGAUCUUCUUUGAAGCAAGAAUCCGCAAGUUCACCUUCAUGCCAUGGUCUCUCAUGAGCUUCACUGUUGCCCUAAUUACUGAAAUAAGCCAGAAUACAACGGACAAGAACACCACUUUCAUUGUGUCUGCAGGUCCAUUCACACUUCUUGUGCCUCCCGACACCUCGACAUAGGACCAAGCAGCGCCUUGAUUAUCGGUAGUUCCACUAUGAUUGAGGCCAAGUUUCUCGUUCAACCAACAUGAUAAAGUCACAAGCAGCUUUGCAAGCCAUGCAAUCUCAUCACUGGAGACUGGUCGCUUCAACCAGUCACCCCUGUAUUUCGUACCGGUUUGCUUCUUGUUGCGUAUCAUUCUAGGACUAAAUAUCUCAUCACGUGGAUGCUGAUUUUCUCUUGUCUCGGGGACUGCUUGUGUGUUCCUUGGAGUAGAGUUACCAAAUAAGCACCCCAUCUGGGCUUUGAUAGAAUCUAAACAAGCCAUAUUGUGAGCAUGAUUAUCUCCCAAGACGGUCUGCAGCUCCGACUCAGCACGCAGCACAAAGAGCUGCAAUUACAAUGUGAGUAGUGAGUGAGACUUGAGAUUUAGAAUGAUGUCAAUAUGCUUAAGACCUGCACAAGAAAUACAAGAAACAUAUACAAAAUAAGUAAACGGAAACUAUAACGAAUUGAUCCUGGGAUAAAAAUAUAUACUAAUUAUAAAAGAAAAUUUCCCCACUGUUACCCUGACUCUUCAUUUUGCCUCAAGUACACGUGUCGGACACUCAACACUUGAACAUCGGACACUCAACACUUGAACAUAGGUACAGACACUACAGAACUUAUUUUAGGCCAAAAACAUGUAAAUUUUCAGAAUACUACCGAGACACACUCGGACAGGUAACCAUGUUGGACACUUUUAGCUGACUCCAGGUAAUAUAGAUUCUUCAUAUGUAAGCUUACCAGAAGUAUCCCAUCAGUGCCCAUAAAUGAAAAGAAGCCGAAAGAAACUAUAAAAGAGGAAUAUAGCAGAUUAUUAUUAAUUAGUAGCCUUGCAUCAGUUUCCUCUAUAAUUCAACACAAGUAGCUUACGCGGAUAAAGACAUUCUUACCAGAUGCUGACGCAAGGAUUGAUGUAGAAAGAAUCCGGAUUUUGCUCCGGGAUGUACGAGAGCUUGCCUAUGAUGCUGAACAUGUUGUCGAAACUUUUGUUAUUAAAGCCUCAUCCACUAAAAAACCAUUUCAGCGGAUGAACAGAGUCAAGUUUUCAAGAAAGAUGAAAAAUAUACAGAAAAAGAUGUCCCUCCUCUUCAAUUUAUUUUCUGAUUAUAAUAUCAUACCAACUUCUGAAUCAACUUUCUCAAACAGGGCAAGUUUUCAAGAAAGAUGAAAAAUAUACAGAAAAAGAUGUCCCUCCUCUUCAAUUUAUUUUCUGAUUAUAAUAUCAUACCAACUUCUGAAUCAACUUCCUCAAACAGAGAAUCGGGAAAACUUAAGCGAUUUCACUCUUUCACUACUCCUGAACCAGAGUUAUUUGUUGGAUUUCAUGAAGACGUUGAAUGCUUGGUGCGACAUUUGGUGGAUGAAACUCAUGAUUCUUACCCACUUAUAUCUAUUUGUGGAAUGGGGGGCCUGGGAAAGACUACUCUCGCUCAAAAGAUAUACAAUCACUCUGCCAUCAAGACUCACUUUGCUGGUUUAGCAUGGGUAUCAAUUUCGCGAAAGUGGCAGACAGAUCGUGUGUUGCAGAGAAUUCUCAUAUGUCUCGUACCUGAGAACAAAGAAUCUAUCCUUAAUAUGGACAGCAACAAGCUAGUGGAGUAUAUGCUACAUAUUAAGGAACGGAAAAAAUGCUUGAUAGUCCUCGAUGACAUAUGGUCAACUGAUGCUUGGGAUGCAUUAAAAGCUGCAUUCCCAGCCGGGAAGUCCAUAAGCAAAUUAAUGCUUACAAGCCGUAAUGUUGAGGUUGCUAAGCAUGUAAAUUUGAACGGAUUCAUUCACAAGCCAGAAUGUCUAAAUCCAGAACAAAGUUGGGAGCUACUCAAGUUGAAAGCACUUCACACAGGAAAUUGUCUAGGUACAUAAUUUUACUUGCGUUAAUUAUAGUUCAUAUACUUUUUCCGCACCCUAUCUUUGGUACGACAGCCUUAAUGAGCCAUAUUUUCUGUUACUUGAGUUGGAUAAGUUUGGUUAGAGAUCUGCCCAGACAACCUUAAAUAACAUUGUUCUGUUCAAGUAACAUUUUUUUCGUGUUUGUUUGAAUUCGUUAGUCGUUUACAAACGUAUGUAUUAGAAUUGUAAACGAAUGUAACAGUUCAUUAAGUGCCCUCUUGAGGUUGAGUUAACGAACUCGAAUUCAAACCACAUAUUUUGUUUGAGAACCUUAACAAACUUUAUGGGGUUCAGUAAUUUUUGCUGGUGUUGACUCGAAGUUUAUCGGAGUUAAGUUCAUUAACCAUUUCCCUUCCCAGUUCUUCCAUCCUUUUUACAUCUCUGGUAAUGUCUGCAAAACACAAGAUACGGGAAUCAUAUGUGUGUAUAUAUAGACACACAAACGCAAGCCAAGAUAAUUUCUAAUUUAGUCAUUUGACUGGUGCAAAUAUUUAAAAGACACGUUCAAGUUAUAGCCCUAAUUGAACAUUGUGCCGGUCUUCCGCUGGCUAUAGUCAUUCUGGGUGGAAUUCUUGUAACAAAACCGUCGUUAAUAGAGUGGGAGAAGGUAUAUCGUGACAGUAAAUCAUCCCUGAAGGCGGGGAAAGGACUUGGAGAAGCCUAUCAAAGGGAAAUAUUAAGUUUUUUAGUUUGGAGCUACAAUGAUUUACCCCCUCAGCUCAAGCCAUGCUUUUUAUAUUUAUCUAAGUUUGGUGAAGAUAAAUGGAUCAAAUUAGAGACUUUGUAUCAGCUAUGGAUCGCUGAAGGAAUGAUACUCUCGAAUGACAAAAGGAAAGGAGAAACAAUGAUACAAGUGGCUGAAUCAUACAUGGGAGAACUAUUGCAUAGGAGUAUGGUUCAAGUCAGAUUUAACAAUGUGGAAUCAUCACUUACAAAGUUUAAAGAUUGUUCUCUGCACGACCUUAUGAGAGACAUGUCUUUAAUACAAGCAAAAGGCGAAGAUUUUUUUGAAGAAAUACAUUUACAAAGUGGACAUGAGUUUCAUCUCAAAUCUACUUCAGAUUAAAGGCCAGCUUACACUCGACUUGUGAUUCAUUUGGAUGAGGAAUAUUCUAGCAAAAAAGCUAAUUACUACUUCUCUAAGAAAGGCAAUGAAAAAUGCUAUCGAUCAGUGUUAUUCUUUGGCGUCUUCGGUCCGAGAAGUUUGCCACGGGCAUUGGGGUCACAUGUUGCCAAUUUUAGGUUCCUAAAAGUGUUUUCUGUGGAAAAAUACACAAAUUUUUCUGGUGCGUUUUCUCAUAUUAACUUUGGAAGAGCAUUAGGGUCCCUUGUUUACCUGCGAUAUCUUAGUGUAAGGGGCAGUAAUUUGUUGGUUUUUCCAUCUAUGCAAAAGUUGGUGUUGUUACAAACUCUUAACUUAGAUACAUUCGAGGGUAUGUAUGUUUUACCAUGGUUGUCAAGAGAUGUUCUGGUGAAACUGGAUUGUUUGCGGCAUCUGUAUUUGCCGAUAUUUAAAGUUAACGUUUUGGGAAGGAAAUCAAAUUUUCGGUUUAAUGGGUUGAGCAAGUUAGAGACCCUGGAGAACUUUGACAGUAGUUGGUGUGAUAUUAAGGAUCUACGUGACCUAAUCAAUCUUCGAAAACUAACGGUAACAGGGAGAGGAAGCUGUAAUAUUCUGGAAGAAAUGAUGAAAAACUUGGUUGAAAUAGCCUCCUCACCAUCUUUUUGUUUGAGGUACUUGGGUGUUUGUGUUCUUUAUUGUCAUCUUCGGCUGAAAAACGGUCUUACUAUCUUGAAACAAUUGGUGUGUGCUGAAAAAUUGAACCUUCGACAUUUGAGAAUACAUGGGCGUAUCCCAGAGGUGGGUCUAAUAUUUCCAGUGCGAUAUGUUGGGGAUAAUUAUGCACAUGUAUCUACAAUUCAUAUUACAAGUUUAAAUUUAUCGAGAUCAUACUUGGAAGAGGACCCGAUGCCAAUACUUGAAAUGCUUCCAAUGUUGGGUGAUCUCUUUAUGUUUACAGAUACAUUUGUGGGGAGGAAGAUGAUGUGCUCCGCAACCGGUUUUCCUAAACUCACCAAUCUUUGUUUGUACGAGUUCCCCAAUCUUGAAAAAUGGAGGGUGGAGAAAGGAAGUAUGCCUAUCCUUUCAUACUUGCUUAUUGAAAGUUGUAACAAGUUGAAGGAGCUUCCAAAAGGCCUGGUGUUCCUCAACUCCCUUCAAGUAUUAAGAAUAUACCAAAUGCCUCAAGAUUUCAAUGAUAGGCUUACAAGGAAUGAUGGUGACGAGGGACCUGACUUUCACAAAAUAUCUCAUGUCGAUCCGUAGAGUCCGUAUAGAUAAUGAUCAGGAAUACAACUGAACGUUCUUGUAAGUUCCUAAGUUGUAACGUUUUUGUUUUGGUCUUGAAGAACAGAUUGUUUGAGAAACAAAUCAGAGAUAUUAUUAUAAUAUAUAGUAAUAAUUUUUUGAUGAGAAUAAAGGAGGUGAGAUCAACCUUAUUUAAACUGAUUGCUUCCUAAGGUUAAAUGACACACAUGCAUAUGCUCGUUAGGUAUUGUGUAAUCUCUCUAUUUUUAUUAAUAAAAUACCUCUAUUUACCUGAUAAUAUCUUCACUCCAUCUACAUACAUCAAAAGUAAUUCAUUUUUUUUGUCUUAUGUUGAUUCUGGGCCUUGGAAUGGAAUAACAAACACACGCAGAUGAGUAUAAUUCAAAGUAAUCUUCUUUUGAAUGUAGUUUAUAAUUCACUUUAAUUUUUUUAGGAAAUGAGCAAUAAUAUUGAAGAUUGUCAAAUUCUGGAAGAUUCGCCAUCUGAGGAUUCAUUGUCUACCAAUUUACAAGAUACCUACACUGCUGAAUUGGAUAUAGAGGAUGGUACACGAGCAUUUUUCAUGUCUCAUGAAGAUAUGUUAUUUCAAUCACAAGAAGAAGCAUAUAAUUUUUAUAACAGCUUUGGUUUGACUAAAGGAUGUGCAAUAGGUAAAUUUUAUAUAUACAAGUCUUAUGGUGAGAAGAACUCUUGUAUCUGAUAGAGAAGGUUUCAAAAACAAAAUAAGAGGAUGAUAGUGAGGACAACAUAAAACGACGUCGAGAAACUAGAUGUGGUUGCAAAGGUUCAAUGGAAAUUAUCCUAAAGAAAUUAGGGACAUGGAAAAUGAAAAAAAAAUUAAUAAUAUCCAUUCACAUGACUUGCUCAAGAGUCCGAAUAAGAAAAGAAAAUUAAGGUCUCAGAACAAGUUUCAUUAAGAUGCAACUUAUAAGAAAUUGAUUGAUAAAUUUAGUAGUUGCGGAGUUGGGCCAACAAAAAUAUCAGGCAUUAUAAAUACUGCUAGUGGUAGUGUUACAGAUGUCAUGACACCCCAACAAUAUUCUGAAGAGUUAAGAAUUAAGAGAAGAUAUUCAGAAUCAAGAGAAAAAAUAACAUCGGCAAGGAGUGUAUAAUUAAUGUAGUGCAGAUUAUUUUUAGAGAGGAAAGCAAGAUAUUCUGAAUUUUAGUAUGCCAUUCAACUUGACGAACAUGGCUGUACGUAGAAGUAUUUUCUGGUGUUAUGCCAGAGCGAGAAAAAUUUUAUAAGAAAAUUUCUAAUGUGAUAGUAUUAAUCGGGACUAAUACAAUUUAUUGUAGGAAUGGAGUCUUCUCAAAGAAGUGAAAGUACGAAUUCGUUUUUUGAUGGUUAUGUCAAUAGCAAUACUCCUUUGUCUAUAUAUAUUGACACGUAUGAAAAAGAAAUUACUGGCCAUCGUGAUAGAAAAGAGAUAGCGGAUUGGAUUAAUUAGAACACUGGCAAUGCAUGCCUUGGCAUCUCAGUUAGCUGUAUAUUCAUCAUCUCAUCACGAAAGGGCAGCUAUUUUGAGCGGAUGCGGAUCAAGCAAUAUUAGUUUUACUGGGGGUAAUCGCAUGACUCUCCUAGCCGUUCCACAGGGAGCUAUUUUAUCACUGAAUAGCUCUAAUGACCCAUCACCAAUAGCUUUUGUUUAAGCUCUUCUACCUUUUUUUCUGAUUCAUCCCAUAUCUAUGUCAAGUUCACGUAGCAUCACUCAUGGGGCGCACUACAAUUCCUUGUUGAAAUAUUCACGAACAGGAAGUAUGUAUUAAUAGCAAUGAGUGAUGCUAUUGUUCCUCUGGCAAGUGGUAUAGAAGAGCUUUUGCGCCAUGUUUCUUCACUGAAGAGUUUUGGUGUUCAUUUAAUAAUCAAAAUUGUCAAUAAGAUUUCCUUAAUAGGGGACUCUAGGCUUACUGUGCCCUCAGAAAAAGUCGAUGGGAGUACUUCAAUGAAGAACGCACCUGGUAUGCUUGAAAGCUAAAGUUUAUAAUCUAUUAUGUCUUAUUCUUCAUUACAAUUAAUAAAUCAUCGAUCUUUCAUACGCAAGUAUGGUAAUUUAUGGGGGUUCUACUGUAUUAGACUAUUAGGUGUUGUAUUAGAUGCUGAAUUUCUUAUCUCAGUUAUUAUUUAAUAAGCAUGUAGGAUAAAUUAUUGUCGAUGAAGGUGAUGCAAAAAAGAUGUAUACCGGGUCAUUUUAUAAUUGUUUAGUAAUUUACCCUAGAAGUCCACGAGCUACUCGGUUGUUAAUUAAACUUUGUUUUUACAUGCUCAUCGUUUAGUAAUUUACCCUAGAAGUCCAUGAGCUAAUCAGUUUGUUAAUUAAACUUUGUUUUUACAUGCUCAUCGUUUAGUACUUGAUGAUUGUCAUUUAUUUGGGAAUUGAAUAAUGAAUUAAUAUUUAUAUACACAAAUAGGUUCAUAUCUAUUAAUCGGCUCUAGUUUAACUAUCAGGUUUUAUAAUUGUAAACACUACGCCAUAAAAGGCCUAUCGCAACGCGACCUUUGUAAAUGUUGCUAAAAAAUGUUACCUUAGCUACACUACUUUCACCCUUCCGCAACAUAAUAUUUUUCAUGUUAGCUUAGCCAAAAAGGGGAUGUUGCCUUUGUUAGAAAGUGUUUAAGGGUGCAACAUGGAGACAAAUAUGUUAGCUUAAGCUAUUAAAAUGUGAAAAUAAUAUUUUAACUUAAAAUUAAAGAAAAAAGUAAUUACUUGUAUUAAAAAUAAAAAUAGAAGUUAUGUAAUAAUAUAAACUAAAAAUAUAAAAAAUUAUAUAAAAUAUUAAAUAAUUUAAUAGGUGAAUGAUUUUAUUUUAAAUAAUAAAUAUAUGUUUAUUUAUUUAAAAAGUAAAAUAAAAUGUAAACAAAAAAAUAAAAUAUAAACUAAAUAUAUGUAUAUAUGUUUAUUUGAACAAGCGGGCGUGGUUCCCGGUGAAAUCAGACAAGCAGCGGGACUUUGUUUCACUAACACCCCGCCCCAUUUUUUCACUUCCUUUUCCACUCACACUCAGUCAUCUCUCAUUUUCCACACAGUCCUCUCUCGCUCUUCACCCCCACAUCUCGUCUCUCUCUCUCUCUUUUCACCCCCACAGUCGCCUCUCUCUCUUUUCACCGUGUCUCUCUCGUCGCUCUGGUCUCUCUGGUCUCUCAUCAGCACAUCUCUCUCAUCUCAGGUUUGGAUUUCAAGUUAGGGCAUGGUUUGAGGGCUCGAUGCUUUGAUACUCCUAACUAGGGGUUUCUCUCUUUAAAUCAGGGCUUCAUUUCUUUAUUUUCUUCCAUUUACAGGUCUUUCUUCUUUUAAACUACAUCUAAUCGUACUUUAUCUUUGAUUUCAGGUAUUUUCAGCGGAGGCUUUGCAUUUGGAAUUAGGUAUGGUGGCUUUGAUUUAAUUUUUUUCAUUUGUAUAUAGUGGGGGCUGUUAAUCUAACUUUAUUUUCUAUUUUCAGGGCUUCUUCGGUUGAUUUUAAGGAUUUCAUUUAAAGGAUUUAAAAUUAGGGUUUCAGUUUAAAGAUUUUGCUACAGGUAUCUCCCUCUCUGCUUCAACAUUUUUGAGUUUUUGGGUUUGUUUUUGUUGUUAUUUGUUUUUAUUAGGGAAGUUAUCUGAUUUUUGUUUUUAUUAGGGGUUUGGAAUUGCAUUUUAUGAAUCUUUGUUGUUUUCAUUUUGUGGCAUUUGUUAUUUGUUGCAUUUUGUAGUUAAUAUUUGUUACUAGUUAACAUUUGAUUUAUAUUUUGUGGUAAGUGUAUGUGUCCAGGACUUGUUAUUAAAUAUUUAUGCUUGAAAUAGGUUGUUCUGGUGACCAGUUAUGACUCUGUUUUGUGGUUUCUAUAUGUAUGCUCUGUUUAUAACUUAAAAAAUUUGACAAUUAAGAGUAGCUGGUGUUGAUUCUCUGUUGAACAUUUGUAUAUUUUUGUGCUCUGCUGCCAUACAUGUAAGAUUCCAUUGUAGAUAUUGUGAGCUAGUUGGUUAGAUGCCAUAACAUAUUAUCUUGGCUCAUAAACUCUAUGUAUACUCUAUAUAUAACUUAAGGGAAUUGCGAUAAAUUUCUAUGUAUGACUUACCUGAUUAAAAGAAUAUUGUUGUUAAUGAUUUGUAUGAUUAAUAAUAUGCAUGUGUUUGGUCUUAUAUUUGAAAGUGAAACUAUAAAUUAUGACAUAUAUGUAGAAUUAAAAGUAGAAUUGCAAAUUUUUUUGGAUAAAAUGUUGCAGUAGCCUAUUUAAAUGUUGCAAAACUUGUAUUUCAAAACUGUUGCAGUAUAGGAAAAAUAUGUUGCCAAUUUAGCUGCUGCCACCUGGCAACUUGAUGGCCCCCACGUGGGCCCCACAGUGGCCCCCACGUGGGCCCCACAAUGGCCCCCACGUGGGCCCCACUUUUUUAAAAAAAUAAAAUUACUCUAAGGUAACAUAAUUUUUUGUUGGAGUAGGAGAAUAAAAUGUUAGAUUAAACACUCUUUGCUAACAUAUCUCGGUUGUUGCUGUAGGCAAACGAUAUGUUGCCUUAGACCCCCUAAGGCAACGGCAAAAAUCCUAUCAUAAAAUAAAUGUUGCCUUAGCCCUUUUAUGGGCCUUUAGCAACAUAUUGACCCCAUUCUGCAACAAUUUUUUUAUGUUAGAUAAGGCCUUUUAUGGUGUAGUGAAACUCGAUGCGGCUAGCUUGAGUAAACUCGACGCGGCUAGAUUAGUAAAUUCGACUUGACUUACACAAGAAGUGAGCGGGAGUCGAAUAAUAUAUAUAUUCGAGAAAACAAAGGAUAAACACAUAACUUGGAUUAUCUAAUAACGCUUAACUCGACUCACACUUAUUUAUUGUGCUAGCAAUGCAAACUUGGACUCUAACUAAUAGGGUUAGUUAUCACUAGGUCACUUUUUACACCAGAUAAUAUCAAGUGAUCACUCGAAAAUUUUUGGGCUCAUUUCAAUCACUAAAGUUAUAAAAAAUAUUAAAUAUUUACCUCUAAUAUAUUUUCGAGAAGUAAACUUUAUUUUUCACUGAAUUCCAUACAUUUUUCUUGUAUGUUAGUAUAGUCAAAUGAAAGGUUAUGAAUUUCAGUAUUUAUGAUAAUAUAUUCAGAUUUUAAAAAAUUUAUUUUCUAUUUAUUUUUAAUUUUACAAUUUUUUUUGUUUAACUUAAAUCAAAUAAAUAAGUACCCCAUCCGUGCUUUUACAUAUAAUCAAGCUCUCAUGGACCACAGAUGGGUUGAUGCCAUGAAUAAAGAGCUUCAUGCUCUAGAAACAAACAAUACCUGGCAAGUAGUUUCACCUCCCCCAAAUAAAAAGGUCGUUGGUUGUAAGUGGGAUUAUAAGGUAAAAUACUUGUUAGAUGGCUCUUUAGACAAAUUCAAGGCAUGCCUCGUUGCUAAGAGAUACACAUAGAUUGAAGGGCAGGAUUAUCAUAAUACCUUAUCACCUGUAGCUAAGAUGGCUACAGUUCAGACUGUCCUGGCAUUAGCCACUGUCAAACAUUGGGACAUACACCAGUUGGAGGUCAAUAAUGCGUUCCAUCAUGGUGAAUUAUCUGAAGAAGUUUAUAUGGAACUUCCUCAAGGUCACCCUGUUCAUGGUUCUGGUCUUGUUUGCCGCUUAAUCAAGUCUAUAUAUAGUUUGAAGGAAGCAUCACAGUUAUGGUUUGAGAAACUUGCUUCAGUUUUGCUUGACCUUGGGUUCACUCAAAAUAGUUGCAUAAUACUUUUUAUUUGUCAACAAAACAGAUGUUGUUUUUAUAGUUGCCCUACUUUAUGUCGGUGACACAUAUACUUCUCACUGGUAACAGUAGUGAGUUUAUUUCUCAUGUCAAAUCUGUUUACCAUUCUACUUUCACCAUCAAAGAUUUGGGCUUAGCCAAGUACUAUCUUGGUCAUGAGAUACACAGAACUACAGAAGGUCUGUAUUUUCACCAGCACAAGUUCGUACAUGAUAUUCUUCUCGAAGCAGGUUUGGAACAUUGUAAUCCCUUGUCUUUGCCUGUUGAUCACACCAUUAAACUUUCACCCACUGAUGGUGAACUUUUAUCUGAACCCACCAUUUAUCAAAAGUUUGUGGGGAAGUUGCUUUACCUAACCGUUCAAGGCCUGACAUUACAUAUGUUGUACAUCAUUUGAGCCACUUUUUGCAAAAUCCUCGUGUACCUCAUAUGUUGGCAAUGCAAUGUGUUUUACGUUACUUAAAAGGUACACCCUACCAAGGCUUGUUCUACUCUGCAAAUACUACCCUCAAACUUCAGGCGUAUUGUGACAGUGACUGGGGGUCUACAUUGGAUUCUUCUGGUAUGCUGACAAGCAUCACUAGCAUGUGUUUUACUUUGGGAUCUUCUUUUGUUAACUGGCUUUCCACCAAGCAGAAGGUCGUUUCUCGAUCCACAGCUGUGAUUGAACUCGGGGCUGUUGUAGAUACUGCAUGUGAGGUUUCUUGGUUCAAUCUGCUGUAAGGUGAACUCCAAGUACCUCAGUCUUUGCAUGUUGUAAUUCAUAGUGAUAACCAGGCCGCAUUAGAUAUUGCUGCCAACCCGGUUUUUCAUCCUCGUUAUCUUCCUCGUGCAUCUCAGCUGGCUAAUAUUUUCACAAAAUGCUUGGGGCGAUCAGCUCAUUGGCAUGUAUUAUCUAGAUUGAAUGUUUCACAUCCACCUUCAAUCUGAGGGGGCUACUACACUGCUUAUCACCAGAACUCCACUAUCUCUUAUCAAGGCUACUUAUCAUAACCGUUUUAUAACAGAAUUCUGUAUAUAGUGCGGAUAGCUUGUAGUUGUUUCUCCAAUCUUCUCUAUAACAAACAUUUUUCUCUCUUCAAUAAUGUGAAUAUGUUAAAGUCAAUACUAGUCCCAAGUAACCCCAAAGUCUAAGAUAGAGCUACCAAUUUUUUGGUUUCUAGUUAUGUAGUCCAGCAGUAUAAUAAAGGCAACUACAAGUUUCUGGUUGUAUAGUUUAUGGUUGAACUAUUAUAUGAUUAUACAAUUCAACGGCUUAGAUUAUGUCUGGUAUAUAUAUUGUAAGGUGUAUUUGGGCCUGUUAAACAGCCAUCAAUCGGCGGAAUGCGAUAUAUGGUUACAUUUAUUGUUAAAGCAAUGUUUGCUUUAAAGAUUUAAUCGAAGGAGAGUCGACCCACAAAAUCAAGUGCUUACGUAUAGACAAUGGAGGAGAGUAUAGCUCAAAGGAGUUUAGUCAAUAUCUACGAGCUAAUAAAAUCCGUCAUCAAUUUACAUGUGCAAACACACCCCAGCAAAACGGUGUUGCAGAGAGGAAAAAUCGACAUCUUGCUGAAAUAUGUCGAAGUAUGUUACAUGCUAAUAACGUGCCUGGAAAAUAUAGGGCUGAAGCUAUAACUACGGCAUCUCUUGUCAUUAACAAGCUUCCUCAACCAAGGCUGGAUUUCGUCACGCCUUUUGAAAAAUUAUGGACAAAGAAACCUGCUGUAAGUUAUCUUCGGGUGUUUGGUUGUGUUUGCUAUGUAUUUGUUCUUGAUCAUUUACGUAGCAAGAUUGAUAGGAAAGCAGUCAGAUGUAUCUUUGUGAAAUACGACAAUCAACGAAAAGGAUGGAAGUGUUGUGAUCCAACAACCGGAAGAUGUUACACAUCACGUAAUGUGGUUUUUGAUGAAGCAUCUUCGUGGUGGACUUCAGAGAAAGAAAUAGCGCCUAUCACUGAAGAAUUUGAGAAAAAGAUGGAACAAAAGAUGAGUGAGCAUAUUGUUCAAAUUUUUCCAAGUUCAGAUGGAGAUAUACGUAAUGAUGAUGAGCCAAACGUCACAAAAAAUCCUUGUAAAUCUGGUAUGUAUUAACAACCAGAUGAAAGCUAUAAUUCUGGUGAAGAAUCAGCUCCAUAACGAAGGUCAACAACAACUCGGAGGGCAAAUGUUAGAUAUGCUAAUGCAGCAAUAAUCGAAGAAAUAGAACCUGAGACGUUCGAAGAAGCAUCACAAAAAUCAAAAUGGAUAACAUCUAUGAAAGAUGAGAUCAAUUCCCUUCAAGAGAAUCAAACUUGGGAAUUAGUGUCAAAGCCACACGAUGUGAAACCUAUAUUCUGCAAAUAGGUUAACAAAAUAAAGCGCCGUCCAGAUGGGUCGGUUGAGAGACAUAAGGCUCGACUAGUAGCUUGUGGCUUCUCUCAGCAGUACGGACUAGACUACGAUGAAACGUUUAGUCCGGUGGCAAAACUCACAACUGUAAGAGUCUUGCUUGCAUUGGCGGCUAACAAAAAUUGGAAGUUGUGGCAAAUGGAUGUGAAGAAUCCCUUUUUAAAUGGAGAGUUGGACCGAGUGAUUUACAUGAAUCAACCAAGUGGUUUCGAAAGUGUAACUCAUCCUAAUUUUGUUUGCAAACUCAGAAAAGCGCUUUACGGAUUAAAGUAGGCACCAUGUGCGUGGUACGGGAAGAUAGAUGAGUUUUUAAGCCUACGUGGUUAUGUGAUGACACAGUCAGAUUCUAGUUUAUUUGUUAAAAUAAGAGAAGGGAAGUUGGCAGUGUUGUUGGUAUACGUAGAUGAUUUAAUCAUUACAGGAGAUGACAUCAAAGAAAUUUUUCAAAUAAAGAAAAAUUUAUCAGUCCAUUUUCAGAUGAAAAAACUAGGAGAGCUCAAGCACUUCUUGAGAUUAGAGGUUGAUCAUACUGAAAAUGGGUUGUUUCUUUGUCAACAAAAGUAUGCUACAGACUUACUAAAAAGGUUUGGCAUGCUUGAAUGUAAGCCAAUAUCAACACCCAUGGAACCAAAUGCGAAAUUAUGUGCUAAUGAAGGAAAAGAUUUGCAAGAUUCAUCAAUGUAUCGACAAAUAGUAGGUAGUCUAAUCUACUUGACUAUAACCCGACCUGAUAUAUCAUAUUCAGUUGGUGUGAUAAGUCGAUACAUGCAAAAUCGAAUGAAGUCUCACUUAGAAGCUGUUCGAAGAGUACUCAGAUAUAUAAAAGGUACUGUAAGUUAUGGUCUGAUGUACAGGAAGGGUGAAGAUUGUAGUGUGCUUGGAUAUUGUGAUGCUGACUACGCAGGAGAUCAUGAUACUUGUAGGUCAACUACAGGGUAUAUGUUUAUGCUUGAAUCUAGGGCAGUUUCUUGGUGUAGUAAGAGACAACCAACAGUGUCUCUGUCAACAACAGAUGCCGAAUAUCGGGCAGCUGCAAUGGCAUCUCAAGAGAGCACAUGGCUGAUCCAACUAAUGCAAGAUUUGCAUCAGCCAGUAGACGCGGAAAUUCCACUCCUUUGUGAUAAUCAAUCAGCAAUUCGUUUGGCUGAAAAUCCAAUGUUUCAUGCAAGGACAAAAACAUGUUAAAGUACAUUAUCAUUUUCUUCGAGAAGAAGUUUUGCAAGGAGAGAUUGCAAUGAGACAUAUUGCGACACGUGAACAAGUUGCAGAUAUGUUUACCAAAAGCUUAAGUCCAGGAAAGUAUGAGAAGUUUCGCUGCCAACUGGGAGUUGUUCAGAGAAUGGGAACUAAAACAUUGAUGGAGAGUGUUAAAGUCAAUACUAGUCCCAAGUAACCCAAAAGUCUAAGUUACAGCUACCAAUUUUUUGUUUUUUAGUUAUGUAGUCCAGCAGUAUAAUAAAGGCAACUACUAGUUUCUGGUCGGAUAGUUUCUGAUUGAAUUAGUAUAUGAUUAUACAAUUCAAUGGCUUAGAUUAUGUCUGGUAUAUAUAUUGUAAGGUGUAGAUGAUUUGCUGGAACCUAUAAAUAUCCUUUGUAUCUGAGUUUAUUAAUAUAACAAGUAACAGUUUGUUUCUUAAGUCUAGAGAGAAAAGAUCAGUUCAUACUUGUUAGUGUAACUAGUGCGUUCUUAUUCUAAAGAGAGAAGAGUGAAUGCAGAGAGUGUUUUCUACAGAAUAUACCUGUGUUGUGUUAGUGUACUGAAGCUCAGUUUCAAGCUUUAAUGGCGUUUAUAACAACUUAAGAGUGAUAGAAUCUAAACAAGCCAUUUUAUGAGCAUGAUUAUCUCCCAAGACAGUCCGCAGUUGUGAUUUAGCACGCAACACAAAGAGAUGCAAUAACAAUAUGACUAGUGAGUGAGACUUGAGAUUUAGACCUGCAAUAUCACUUUAUACCCAAAGUUGAGACUCAUGUCUAACACUAAAAUUUUCUGUAAACAUAUUAAUUAUUUUGAUAUAGGGGUUAUUAGAUUUUAAUAUUGGUCCCUACUUGAUACCCAAAUAUCUUAUGAAUUACUCCCUCAAUCUCAUAUUAUGUGUCCAAUUUUGACUAUUAGAUGAUCAAUUUAACUAAACUUUGACCAUUAACUAAACAAAAUUUAUUAAUUAUUUUAAAAUUUUAAAAAUUGGAUUUUGAAGGGGAUUAGAUAUAUUUUUUAAUAAAGUAAGUUUUCAAUCUUUUGAAGUCGGAUAAUAUCUGUAAUUUGUGUUCAAAGUAUAGUCAAUUUGACUCUUCAAUAGUCAAAACAAAACACAUAAUAUGAGAUGGAGGGAGUAAAAAAAUUUAUCACCUUAGAGAAUAUUAAUUUAUAGGAUUUCACUAUAUUAGAUGUUGAAUUUCUUAUUUUAGUUAUUACUCCCGAUGUCCAAGAGAGUCGCUUUAACUCUUUACACGUAAUAUGAGAUGUAAGAAGACAUAUUUUUCAUAUUAUUUUUCAAAAAAAUUUUUUGUGAAUAAAAAUAUAGAUGUUAAAUUUUUAUUUAGAAAAUGAAACUUUGAAAAAUAAUAUAUAGAUAUAUGAUGUGUUUUUUACACCUAUGGGAUCGAUGGAAUAUUUAGUAAGCAAGUAGGGUUAAUAAUCGUCGUCGAAGGUGGUGCAAACAAUUAUGAAUGCCGAGUCAUUUUGUAUUUGUUUAGUAAUUUAUGGUAGAAGUCCACGGGCUAAGGGGUUGUUAAACUUUAAUUUUACAUGCUCAUCUUUUAGUAUACAACUAGUGAAAAAAGCCGCGCUUCACGGCGGCGUGAUAAAUUUUGAUAUGAAUCCGUAUUAUAAUAUUAUAAAUAUUAUUUUGAGUCAUCUUCCCGUUAAACAUAUCACAAAUAAAAAAUGUUAUAAUUGACGUAAAAAUUUGUUUAAGUGGUCAUCCUAUCAAACAUAAUACUAAUAAUAAAAUUAGUUCGAACCCCCUUCCGUCAAAGACAAUAUUAAUCCAUAAUUAUUAUUUAUAUGAUAAAAUUAAAUAUUAUAAUUUAGAUCGAAAUUAGUUUGAGCUUCUCUCUUAUCAAACACAAUACUAAUAACAAAACUUUAUAAUUUAAAUAUUAGUUAGAGUCUCUUUACUGUCAAACACAAUACUAAUAAAAAUUAUUCUAAUUAUAAUAAAAUUAAAGAUUAUAAUUGGAUAAAAAAUAUUUUGAACUGUGACAAAAAAAAUAUUAUAACAUAGAUAAAAAAUUAUUUUAGCCACUUUCCCGUCAAAAAUAAUACUCUUAGAAAAAAUUAUUAUUAUUUAGAUAAAAAUUAGUAUGGGCCGCCUCCCGUGCCCGUCAAAUACAAUACUAAUCGAGAAUCAUUUUACAUUAUCAUAAAAUCAAUAUAUGAUUCCUAUUUUUUAUAUCCUAUUUUUCUUUAUUUGUUAUUUUUAUUUUAUGAUUUCUAUUUAUUUGUUAAAAAUAUUAUUCGUUUAUGGUUCUUUUUUUUUUUUGCUAUUAGUUUUUUUUAUGAUUAUUAUCUUUAUAAUCUUUUAUUUCUAUUCAGAAAUUUAAGAAAAUCCGCGAUCUGAGGGGAAAUUGAAAGAGAUAAUUAAUGAAAAUGAUGAAAUUAGACGCAUGGAGGUUGUUAAUUACAUGUUCGUACCUCGCUUCGACAUCUUGAUCGAUCCGUUAUCUCUCUCGGGAUCUCUCCCUGAGGCGCCGUUGAUGAGGGGAGGAGGGGUUUAUAUGGAGAUCGGGCUUGUGUAGGUUUUAAGUGAAUAUUACUUCGUCAAUAAAACGACAUCGUCAGGUUCACUUUCUUGGGAGGGAAUUUGGUCGCCGCCGGUGCUCAAUAAAUAAAUUAAAUUAUAAAUUUUUUUAUUUGAAAUUUAAGAAAAUUAUUAGAAUAAAUCGGAAAUAUAAAUAGUAUUUAUUCUAUGAUUGUUAGUUUGAAUAAAUAUAAUCCUAUUAAUUCCUUUUGGGAUACGUAAAUAAGAAAAAAACUGAAUUAUAAAUAAAUAUUCGAUAGAGAUGAGAAGAUUGCAAUCACUACUUUUUGAAAAAAAAUUACAAAAAAAAUUAUAAAUUUAUAACUUUUGAGAAUAAGAAUCGUACUCUUUUUAAUAAUUUUUAUAUUAAUAUAUAAUUAACAAUAAGAAUUGUAUUACCCUUAUGAUUCCUGAAUUGGAAAAAGAAUUGUAUUACAUUUGGAACUCAAUAAGAAAAGAAUUGUAUGACCUUUAGAAUUCUUAAACAUGAUUUUUUGAAUUAUAACUAUAUUUUUCUCCGAAAUUUAAGAAAAAUCAGAAGACUGAAUCGAGCUAUUUUAGAGACGCCCGCAUUCUCCUUUAUAUACUUUAGAAUUCAAUACGAAAUACUAAAUAAGAAAAGAAUUGUAUCAUCUUUAGAAUUCAAUAUGAAAAGAAUUGUAUUACUUUUAGAAUUCUUGAACAUGAUUUUUUGAAUUAUAAUUAUAGUUUCUAUCCGAAAUUUAAGAAAAAUUAGAAGACUGAAUCGAGCAAUUCUAGAGACGCCUGCAUCCUCCUUUAUAUAUAUAUAUUGAUGAUCGUCAUUCAUUUGAAAAUUAUAUAAUAAAUUAAUAUUUAUAUACACAAGUAGGCUAGUAGUACUUGUAUUAAUCUGCUGGCUCCAUCAGUUCAGCUAUCAUUUUCUUAAUUGUACGUCAAAGGGGAAUAACAGUUAACAAUUAUAGAGAAUCUGAUGUGCAAAUACGCAAGUCACUUCAUCAUUAUUUAGUACUUAGUUGUACAACUAUGAGCUGAUUAGGGCUGUUCACGAACCGAGCCGAGCCGAGUUUUGACCGAGUCGAGCCGAGCUUUAAAUUUUUUCUUAUCGAACCGAGCCCACCCGAGCUUUCUUAUCGAACAAAAAAGUGUGUUCGAGCUCGAGCUCGAUAACUAACGAGCCGAACACGAGGUUGUUCACGAACAAAUACGAGCCGAGUCGAGCCGAGCCGAGUCGAGCUAGAGAAAAAUAAGGCCAAACCGCUACUUUACUCUUAAAAUAGCAAGCCAAAUAAAAUUUUUAGUAUGUUUUGAUGGUACCAUAUUAUAGUUGAUAUUCUCAUGAUCGAUUUGAUAUAUUAUAUGUUGAAUUCGGCGUUCAAUAACAUAUAUAUAUUACGAAAUUAUUAUGAAAAUAUUCUUUUUUUUCGAGCUUUAACGAGCCGAGCUCGAGCCGAACAUACUAAAAGCUCGGCUUGAGCUCGUUUUCUUAACGAACAAUUUUUUGUGUUCGAGCUCGAGCUCGUUAACUUAACGAGCCGAGCCGAACGAGCUCUUAACAAGCCGAGCUCGAGCUUGUUCGCGAACAGCUCGGUUCGUUAAACAGCUCUAGAGCUGAUCGGUUGUUGAACUUUGUUUUCACAUGCUCCUAAAUUAACAUAUAAUGAUUGUCAUUGUUUAGUAAUCUGCAGGCUUCAUGCAGCUCAACUCCUUUAUGAAGAGUUGUUUGCUUUCUGCAGAAGAGUAACAAAUUUCAAUGGCUGAAGCAAUUGUGUCUAUUGUUGUGGGAAGGCUCACUGAUUUGUUGAUUGAAAAAGCUCAUAUCCUUCAUGAAGUGAGAGAUGAAAUUGAAGUCGCCGUAGCUGGGCUCAUGCGGAUGAAAACAUUCUUACCAGAUGCUGAUUCAAGGAUCGAUGUAGAAAGAAUCCGGAUUUUGCUCCGCGAUGUACGAGAGCUUGCCUAUGAUGCUGAACAUGCUGUCGAAAGUUUUGUUAUCAAAGCCUCAUCUACUAAAAAAUCAUUUCAGUGGAUGAACAGAGGCAUGUUUUCAAGAAAGAUAAAAAAUAUACAAAAAAAGAUGUCCAUCUUCUUCGAUUUAUUUUCUGAUUAUAAUAUCAGACCAACUUCUGAAUCAUCAACUUCCUCCAACAGAGAAUCGGGAAAACUAAAGCGAUUUCACUCUUUCACUACUCCUGAACCAGAGAUAUUUGUUGGAUAUCAUAAAGACGUUGAACGCUUGGUGCGACGUUUGGUGAAUGAAGCUGAUGAUUCUUACCCACUUAUAUCUAUUUGUGGAAUGGGGGGUCUGGGAAAGACCACUCUCGCUCAAAAGAUAUACAAUCACUCUGCCAUCAAGACUCACUUUGCUGGUUUAGCAUGGGUAACAAUCUCGCAAAAGUGGCAAACAGAUCGUGUGUUGCAAAGAAUUCUCAUAUGUCUCGUCCCUGAGAACAAAGAGUCUAUCCUUAAUAUGGACACUGACAAGCUAGUGGAGUAUAUGCUACAAAUCCAGGAAAGGAAGAAAUGUUUGAUAGUUCUCGAUGAUAUAUGGUCACCUCAUGCUUGGGAUGCAUUAAAAGCUGCAUUUCCAGCCGGGAAGUCCAUGAGCAAAUUAAUGCUUACAAGCCGUAAUGCUGAGGUUGCUGAGCAUGUAAAUUUAAACGGAUUCAUUCACAAACCAAAAAUUUUAAGUCCGGAACAAAGUUGGGAGCUACUCAAGUUGAAAGCACUUCACACAGGAAACUAUCUAGGUUCAUAUACUUCUUUUGAUCAUAUACUGUUUUUUACCAUAUGUUUUGUCCGGGAACCUUAACCAACCAUAUUUUUUGUUACUUGAGUUCGAUAAGUUUGGUUAGAGAUCUGUCCAAAAAUCUUAAAGAACAUUGUUCUCUCAAACAUUUUGUUCGUGUUCGUUUGAAUUCGGCUCGUUUACAAAUCUAUGUAUAAGAAUUGUAAACGAAUCUAACGGUUCAUUAAGCGUGCUCUUGAGGUUGAGUUAGCAAACUCGAGUUCAAACCAAAUAUUUUAAACAUAUUAGUUAAACGACUAAAUUAUAAAUUAUCUUGGCUUGUCUGUGUGGGUCUAUAUAUAUACACACACAUAUGAUUCAUGUUUCUUGUGUGCUGCAGACAUUACCAGAGAUGUAAAAAGGAUGGAAGAACUGGGAAGGGAAAUGGUUGAACAUUGUGCCGGUCUUCCGCUAGCUAUAGUCAUUUUGGGUGGAAUUUUGGUAACAAAACCGUCGUUGAUAGAGUGGGAGAAGGUAUAUCGUGAUAGUAAAUCAUCCCUAAAGGCGGGGAAAGGACUGGGAGAAGCCUAUCAAAGGGGAAUAGUAAGUGUUUUAGUUUGGAGUUACAAUGAUUUACCCCCUCAGCUGAAGCCAUGCUUUAUGUAUUUAUCUAAGUUUGGUGAAGAUAAAUGGAUAGAAUCACAGACUUUGUAUCAGCUAUGGAUCGCUGAAGGAAUGGUACUCUCGAGUGACAAAAGAGAAGGAGAAACAAUGAUUCAAGUUGCCGAAUCAUACAUGGGAGAACUAGUCCACAGGAGUAUGGUUCAAGUAAGAUUUAACAACGUGGAAUCAUCUCUUACAAAGUUUGAAGAUUUUUCUCUGCACGACCUUAUGAGAGACAUGUCUUUAAUACAAGCAAAAGCAGAAGAUUUUAUUGAAGAUAUACAUUUCCAAAGUGGAAAUGAGCUUCAUCUCAAAUCUACUGCAGAUUCAAGGUCAGCUUCCACUCGACUUGUGAUUCAUUUGGAUGAGGAAUAUUCUAGCAAAAAAGCUAAUUACUACUUUUCUAAGAAAGGCAAUGAAAAAUGCUAUCGAUCAAUGUUAUUCUUUGGUGACUUUGGUCCGAGAAGUCUGCCACGGGCAUUAAUGGGGUCACAAGUUGCCAAUUUUAGGUUCCUAAAAGUGCUUUCUGUGGAGAAUUAUACCAAUUUUUCUGGUGUGUUUUAUCAUAUUAAUUUUGGAAGAGCAUUAGGGUCCCUUGUUUACUUGCGAUAUCUUAGUGUAAGAGGCAGUAAUUUGUUGGUUCUUCCAUCCGUACAAAGGUUGGUGCUGUUACAAACUCUUAAAUUAAAUACCCAUGAGGGUAUAUAUGUUUUACCAUGGUUGUCAAGAGAUGUUCUGGUGAAGCUGGAUUGUUUGCGGCAUCUGUUUUUGCCUAAAUUUAAAGUUGACGUUUUGAGAAGGAAAUCGAAAUUUCGGUUGAAUGGGUUGUGCAAGUUAGAGACACUGGAGAACUUUGACACAGCUUGGUGCGAGGUUAAUGAUCUACGUGAACUAAUCAAUCUUCGGAAACUAAGGCUAACAGUGGCAGGUAGCUGUGAUAUUCUGGAAGAAGUGAUGAAAAACUUGGGUGAUAUAGCCUCCUCACCAUCUUCAUGUUUGAGGUACUUGGGUGUUUGUAUUGCUUAUUGUGAUAUCGAGCUGAACAAUGGUCUUACUAUCUUGAAACAAUUGGUAUAUGGUGAAAAUUUGAAUCUUAGAGAAUUGAAAAUAUAUGGUCGUAUCCAAGAGGUGGGUCUAAUAUUUCCGCUGCAUGUAUCUACAUCAAUUUGUAUUACAAGAUUAGAUUUAUCGAGAUCAAACCUGGAAGAAGACCCAAUGCCAAUACUGGAAAUGCUGCCAAUGUUGGGUUUUCUCUAUAUGUUUACGAAUACAUUUAUGGGGAAGGAGAUGGUGUGCUCCGCAACCGGUUUUCCUAAACUGACCGAUCUUUAUUUGGACAGCUUCCCUAACCUUGAAAAAUGGAGGGUGGAGAAAGGAAGCAUGCCCAUUCUUUCAUGGUUGCUUAUUCAAAGAUGUAACAAUUUGGAGGAACUUCCACAAGGCCUGGUGUUCAUCAAGUCCCUUCAACUGCUACAAAUAAUCAAAAUGCCUCAAGAUUUCAAUGAUAGGCUUAUAAGAGAUGAUGGUGAAGAGGGACCCGAUUUUCACAAAAUUUCUCAUGUCCGUAGACUCAAUAUCGACGGUCAGGAAUACAAUUGAAUGUUCUUGUGUAAGUUUGUUAGUCAUAGAACUUUUUGUUUUGGUCCGGGAGAACAUAUUGCUUCAUAAGCAAAUGACCAAAAAAGUCUUGUCCAUAUUUUAAAAAGUUAAUAAAACUUUUAACUUUUUCAUUUUAAAUCAGUAAUUUAAUAUGAUUGAUUUAUUUUUAUCAAAAUUAAUACUUUAACUAUUGUUAAAUAAUUAAUAUAUGAAUUCAAGUGAAAUUAUAUUUUAUUUAGUAAUCAAUUUUAUAAACUAGUAUGCUAAUCUAAUUAUAACAGAGAAUCGGGAAAGCUAAAGCGAUUUCCUAAAAGUUGCCAAUUUUAGUUUCCUAAAAGUGUUUUCUGUGGAGAAUUACAGAAAUUUUUCUGGUGCGUUUUCUCUUAUUAAUUUUGGAAGAGCAUUAGGGGCCCUUGUUUACUUGCGAUAUCUCAGUGUAAGAGAGACUAAUUUGUUGGUUUUUCCAUUUCUAAGAAAGUUGGUGCUGCUGCAAACUCUUAAAUUGGAUAUUUUCAACGUGAACUAUGUUUUACCAUGGCUGUCAAGAGAUGUUCUGGUGAAGCUGGAUUGUUUGAGGCAUCUGUAUCUGCCUAAAUUUAAAGUUUACGUUUUGGGAUGGAAAUCGAAAUUUCGGUUUUAUGGGUUGAGCAAGUUAGAGACCCUGGAGAACUUUGAGACUACUUGGUGUGAGGCUAAGGAUCUACGUGAACUAAUCAAUCUAAGGAAACUAACGCUAACAGUGAGAGAUAGCUUUGAUAUUCUGGAAGUAGUGAUGAAAAACUUGGCUGAUCUGGCCUCCUCGCCAUCUUCAUGUCUGAGGUACUUGGGUGUCACUAUUAUUAAUUGUGGAAUCAUGCUGAACAAUGGUCUUACUAUCUUAAAACAAUUGGUACAUGCUGAAAAUUUGAACCUUCGGGAUUUGAAAAUAUAUGGGCGUAUCCCAGAGUUGGGUCUAAUAUUUCCGCUUCAAUAUGUAUCUACAAUUGGUAUUACAAGUUUAACUUUAGCGAGUUCAUGCCUGGAAGAAGACCCAAUGCCAAUACUGGAAAUGCUUCCAAUGUUGGGUGUUCUCCACAUGUUUGGGAGGAAUCCAUAUGUGGGGAAGGAGAUGGUGUGCUCCGCAACCGGUUUUCCUAAACUCACCGUUCUUUAUUUCGUCGGCUUGCCUAACCUUGAAAAAUGGAGGGUGGAGAAAGGAAGCAUGCCCAUGCUUUCAUAUUUGUGUAUUGGAAAAUGUAAGAAAUUGGAGGAGCUUCCACAAGGUCUGAUGUUCCUCAGUUCUCUUGUAGGAAUAUUCCUACAACAAAUGCCUCAAGAUUUCAAUUAUAGGAUCACAAGAGAGGAUGGCGGGGAAGGACCCGACUUUCACAAAAUUUCUCACGUCCCUAGAGUUAGUAUCAACAAUCAAAAUUAUGAUUCUAUGUUUUCCGUAUUCAUGUAAGGUUUUUUCGAUAUUAUGAAAAUCAGUUUUUUGUUUCCCAUACUUGUUAAGUUAUAAUUUACUUUUUAUUAAAACUAGCUUAUAACCCGUGCAGCGGUUAUAAUAUUUGUUAUUUUAUCAUAUAUAGUUUUAAUUUAAUUAAUUUUAUUGUAAAAAUAAAAUUAUGAUAGAAUAAUGUGGUUAAAUAAAUUUUUAUUUAACAGCUGAUAAAUUCUUAAUACGCUAGCGGUUAUAAUAUUUGUUAUUUUAUCAUAUAUAGUUUUAAUUUAAUUAAUUUUAUCGUAAAAAUAAAAUUAUGAUAGAAUAAUGUGGUUAAAUAAAUUAUUAUUUAACAGCUGAAUAAAUUCUUAAUACUUAAGUCCGUCAAAUGACUAAUUAAAAAUUAGGUCAAACAUAUAUUUUGAUGAGAAUGUUAAAUAUAUUUAUUUACAUGUUAUAAUUUAAGGAGAUCUAUAAACCCAUAUAUAAAUCAACCAAUCAACCUCAUAAUAUUUCGUUAGUAAUAAUUAAUAAUAUAGUAUAAAACAUAUUAUAAGUCAAAGAGACGCGUAAUCCCAAAUAUCGAUCCAUUACCUAAUUUUUAAUGUUUUGAUUCGAUAGAUAAUAAAAAAAUAUUAUAACAUAUUAUAAAUUAAUGAGGUCUGUGGGUUGAAUACCAACAGUCUCACCAAACUCGAUUGAUCGACCGACCAACUAACCAAUUGAACUUUUUAUUUUUCGGCUUUCGACUUUAACAGUAUAAUAAUAUAUAGUAUAGUAUAAAUUUAUAAUAUCACUUUUAAUGUGAGACCGUUAGAAUAUUUAAAAAUAAUGUUAAUUAAUUUCGGUUGAAAAAUAUCACCUGUUAUUUAUUAAUAAAUAUAUAUAAUAAUAUUAUGUUUUUAUACAUAUGUCGCUUGUGUUAAUUGUAGAAAAACGAUUUUUUAGUUAGAAAAAAAUAUUUAUCCUGAACUCUAAAUCUUUAAAAUUAAAAAAAAAACAUUUUUUUCAACGGAGAAGUUGUGUUUAGUUUCAAAUUGCAAAAAUACUUUCUUAAAAAUUUUAAAAAGAUUGUAUAUUAUCGAAAAAGAACUCUAAACAUGUGUUAUAUCCUUAAAUUCUAUACUCUCUGGCGCAGAAAAAUAAAUUAUAUUCGAAACAGAUUAUUAAUUUCAACUUAAAGUAGAGAGGUGUUUCGGUGAAGACCCCCGCUUAGUGCACAAUAAAAUAAAUAUACAGUUUGUGAUAUAAUAAGAAUAUAAUAUCUUAGCCAUGUCCUUCUUCACACAGGACUUACCUAAAUAGUUCCUAAUGCAUCUGUGAACUGAGGACUUACCUAAACAGUUCCUAUUAUCACGAAUGCAUCCAUGAACUGAGCUAAUCCUUCAAAACAUAAUGCAACGAACCUCGUAAUCUCUGUAAGCAACGAGACCUAGUCUCAAUUAUUCUAAUAAGUCGUCCCCAAUCAUUCUUAUCUAAUGUCAUAUCACCCGUCCCCAAUCAUUCUUAUCUAAUAUUAUAUCACCCGUGAGAUUCAAAGCUCUCAUGUCCAAACUUAAUUGAUUAGCCCAUGUCCGACGAGGCUGACUUCUCUUUCUCUAGUCAUUCAUUAUUCUUGAGGUGAACAACAGUUAAAAAAAUUCAGAGCCGAGGUAUUCUUACACAGCAAAAUAUCGAUUUAUGAUAAUGUUGGACAGCAGAAAAUGAAAAGGAAGUAAUAUUUCACUAACCAUAUGUGAUAUCCAAUCCCAACAUUGAAAAUUGCUCACUCGAGAGAGACUAUUUUAGUAUCUCAUUCAUUAUUCUCGAAAUGGACAAGUGUUAAAGGAAUCCCGGAGCCACAAAUAUAACAGCAUAACGACAGAAUAUUAAUUUAUGAUAGUACUGGACAGCAGAAAAUCGGAGGAAGUAAUUUUUCACUAGCCAAUAUGUGAUAUAUUUUCAUGCUGCCAACACAACAGAGUACAUUGUUGCCCUCAGGUUGCAACAAAACACAAAACUAGGACACUUCUAACCCUCGACUCCACCCAUUGUUCAAACUUUUUCUUUGUAAUAUUUCUCUUUAUAAUAGAACACUUCUGGUUUUUCUUUUCUUUAUAGUUAAACUACAAUAUAUACAGCGGUUAGGACUGGGAAACUGCUUUCUUCAAGACGCUGAAGGCAACGAGCAUAAGCAGUGAUAUCAUAAUCUUCUUUGAAGCAAGAAUCCGCAAGUUCACCUUCAUGCCAUGGUCUCUCAUGAGCUUCACUGUUGCCCUAAUUACUGAAAUAAGCCAGAAUACAACGGACAAGAACACCACUUUCAUUGUGUCUGCAGGUCCGUUCACACUUCUUGUGCCUCCCGACACCUCGAUGUAGGACUGUUUUUACCAAAAUUUGCGGGUUAAAAGCCAAGCCUAUUUAAUUUCUAUAACAAUGGAGUAUGUGUUUUUAUGUAUGAAUAUUUAGUAGAUCGUAUAGAUAAAUAUCGAAAAGAAAAUCAAAGGCAAGAACACAAACAAUUUUGGUGACGCGGAAAACCCCUUGUAAAAGGUUAAAAACCGCGGGUGGGAAUGUCCCAGCCAAAUAUCCACUAUAAUGAUGUAACAUCAGCUUACAAGUAUGAGAAAUACAUGAUACAAGUACAUAAAUACACAGACGUCGGCUUCAGAAGUAGUUCAUGUCCGUCAGCAAUAUGCACCCGUUGGCAGCAGGUUAACCUUGACGUUGCACCCGUCGGCAGAAUGAUUUCGGGGAGAUGAAGAUGUAGAGCUCCCUUGAUAGAAGAUGAAGAAGCUUAGCUAUCAUAUGUUAAUGUAUGUAUAUGUACGUGUACUGAUUUGUAUGAUCUUAAGCUUGGUUGAUGCUUUAUGAGUGAUAUGGGGUAGAAGAUGAAGUUGUGGGCAUGUAGAAGUGUGUAGAUGAUAUGUAUCAGUUAUGUACCUCUCUUUUUCAUGAGUAUUUAUACCCCCUCAACACUUAUGCACGUUCCUAGGUUGUUUCUCCACGUUCUCCACUUACUCCUAUAGUUUAGGGAUAAAGAAUAACCUCCUCCUAACUCUUAGGAUCGUUACAAGACUUAUUCUUCAUGCUGUUACGUUCAUGUCGAGUACCUUCACGUCAUGUCGAGUAUCUUCACGUCAUGUCUUAGCCAAGACGUCGAGCAUCAGCUUUGUGUGUAGCUUAAAUAUAUCUUUGGAGAAUGAUUAAUUAGCUUGUAAUUUGAUGAUAUAAUCACUCCCCUAACUCCCAUCAAGAUGUGGCUAUAUUGUAGGAUUAUGAUAAGGUAGUUAUUAUCCUUAUCUCCUAUUUUCCCUCCAUGUGCAUGUUGAGUUUCCUAAAUUAGUGUCACUUAUCCAUUCUCCAAUUUGAAUAAUCUCCUAAAAAGGUGGGUAGUUGAGACUUAGUCUCUUGCCCUAUCAGCCUGCACACGUCGUGUCGUCGGUACUUCAUGUCGUGUCAGUACACUUCCCGUCAUGGCCUGACGCCUGUAAAAUCUGGGUACAAACAAUAGCCCCUAAUUUUAUUGGGUGGAGGCAUGCAGCCAAUGAAAUUACUUCUUGUACACUCCGUUUUCCUCAAACCAUGGCAAAUAAGAACACCGAUGCUAUGUUAAAAUACUAACGAUUGCAACAUGUGAUCAUGUCAUGUCGAUUUGUCUUGUUCGCUAUUGUCUUGUAUCGAGUCUCUAUCUCGUUUUGUCGUUAUAAUGUUAUCUCGAGUUGUCAUCGUUGUCUAAAUGAUGAAAACAUCGACGAGUAGCUGCUUUGUUGUCGUCAGUUUCACGUUCUAAGAUGAGAACGCUUUGUAUUCGCUAUAUCGUAGUUACCUGUAGGCUUGGACACAAUUACAAUCAGUCCCGAAGUAUUAACAUGUCAAGUCGUGACGUCGCUUUGCGUCAUAUUCGUAAAGCCCCUUGUAGAUGUCUUCUGACAUGUGUAAGAUGUCGUAUAUAAUCUUAUCAUUGUUAGCUGCAUAUUCUCAGGUGUCCGUGACUUGAAAUUGGUUCAUGUGACCCCUUAAUUGGGAGUGAUUAUGACGUAAUGGAUAGGAGUACCAACACGUGAAGUGUUUUGUAGUAUGUCUUCCGUUCGUAAUAUAUAACUUGUAGACAUGAUGUGUAUCUCGUCAUCAUGACGUGAUAUGUAGAAAUCGUGCCACGUCAGACGUCAAUGCAAUCUGUCAUGACUCGUGUAAGUGAUGACAUGUAGAAAUGUGUAUUGUGAUUUAUGUGUCCGACCAAGGGUCGUGACUUGCGUGAUUUUGUGGAGUUUUCAUCGACAUGUAUGUUAAAUACGUCAAUGUAUUUUAACUUGUAAUAUCCGUAAUUGUAGUCGUUAAAUUUAUUUUUUAUAACGUUGGUGCACGUAGUAUAUGUAUUCGACAAAUAUAUAUAUAUUCAAUGAAUAUAUAAUUUUCAGACGUUGAUGCAUGUAGUAUAUGUAUUCGACAAAUAUUUAAUUUUCAAACGUUGAUGUAUUCGACAAAUAUGUUUAUUUUCAAACGUCGAUGCAUGCAUUCGUAGGCUAGUUAAAAGGCCUUUCCCUCUUGAAACUUAGCUCGUAAUUGUAAUUGUGAUUAUGUAAUGUUUAAAUACAUAAUAUUGAAAUGCGUCAUUAUUCGUGGCGUCGUAAGUUAUUUGUGUAAUGUGUAGUGUUGUCGUCACCAUCAUUCGAUAAUGAUCAACCGUAGUAGGAUAGGUGAUCAGCCCUCCUUGUCUAUUAAUAUGUAUCUAAAAUAUACUCAUGCAAUAUCAUGUCACAAUAAAUAUCAUGAUGAAGACGUCAACUUUAAGCAGUUAAACAUGGACAAUUUAGAAUAACUUGCAUAACGUAUUUCAACACACAUAUCUAUCAGGUAGAGUAGCAAGUCAUGUAAGAAACAAGCACAUGUGUCAUUAUGAUUAGAUCAUCAAUUAUUCAAGCAAACAUUCAUUGGAAGCAUGAAAUAUCAUUUAAAUAGCAUAAGCCCAAGUAAAGAUCGUAAUCAACUUAUUAUCAUAUUGCUAAAGACUAAGAGAAUAAAGAGGAUGAGUUCACUUACAUGUGAUAAAGUUCCAAAAGUAACAUGUUCGAGCCCCUGGGGACUUGUAGUUCGUAAUGUCUUGUUGAAUCAGGUUGAAGUCGUCGGACACUUCCAAAGGCGUCAAUGAUUCAUGUCCCGUCAUGAUGUUGAUUGUCAUGUCAGUUUACGGAUAUGUGCAUAAGUUGAUGAGGUUGUACCCCUUUCUGGGUAUAUGUCUUGUACCUCGUUCGCCUUGUCAUCAAGCUGACCUUAAUUAAGUUUUUUGGACUUGUCGAUAGUCCAUUUUUGAUUCUUUCUUCUAGUUUAUCUUUCGUGGUCAUGUCAUGUCUUUUUACUUCACAUCAUGUUGAACCAGUGAUGUCGAUACCCUUGUGGCGAUUUUAGGACAAGUCCCAAUCAUCUCCUGUUGAGAUAGUAGAUUUGGACUGAAAUCAGCCACAAAAUUAGCAAAAUAUGUGACUCGAUCGUUGUUUGUGACUCAUAGGUGAUAAUGUAUUCGACAUGAUCUGUCAUGUUUCUAAAGUUCAUGUCUAGCUGUCACGUCGAUCAUCAUGUCAAGACUUCAUGUCCAACUGUCACGUUGUUAUUUUUACACUGUCACCAUGUUUGCUAGUCAUUCUGGACACUCGACUUCAUGUAUGAUGUCCCUUUUGAUUUAGUUGUUUGCUUUUCGUGUGAUUAUCAUAAUGCUGUUUGAUUUCCAUUUGACAUGUAUGCGGUUUGAGUUGUCAUCAUUUAACUUGUGUAUGUUCAUGUCGAGGCUGCUACCCAUCGUCUCGUCGUGAUCCCAAGCGAAGGUGUUCAUUCUUUCUGUCAAAAAAUCAAUUAUGUCGGUCUCUCUCUUUGGUGUCACGUCAUGUCCUCUUGUGGUGUUGUUUUUUGUCGUUUAGAUGUCAUCCAUGUCUUGUUGGUCGUGUUGUGUCACGUGUGAUUUACUAGUUCCCGUCAGACGUGAUGAGAUUAGUGUAACUUGUUCAUGUCAAUCUAGUCGUACAUGUCAUGGUCGUUUGUGGUCACUUCAAUUCAACCAACCCGUCGGACAGCCCCAUGUUUGUAACCAGAAAUCUUCUCGCCAUGUCAACCAAAGUGAUGUGAUAUAGAAAAUCAGUGUAUCCAUGACGCCUAUCUCUUGUAGCCCCUUUUGAACCGAUUAAUAUGCGCGUCGACGUGAACUCCAUUGCCAUAGAAAUCAUGUAAGUGCUUCGCUAGUUUCCCACAGACGGCGCCAAUUGUUUUUACCAAAAUUUGCGGGUUAAAAGCCAAGCCUAUUUAAUUUCUAUAACAAUGGAGUAUGUGUUUUUAUGUAUGAAUAUUUAGUAGAUCGUAUAGAUAAAUAUCGAAAAGAAAAUCAAAGGCAAGAACACAAACAAUUUUGGUGACGCGGAAAACCCCUUGUAAAAGGUUAAAAACCGCGGGUGGGAAUGUCCCAGCCAAAUAUCCACUAUAAUGAUGUAACAUCAGCUUACAAGUAUGAGAAAUACAUGAUACAAGUACAUAAAUACGCAGACGUCGGCUUCAGAAGUAGUUCAUGUCCGUCAGCAAUAUGCACCCGUCGGCAGCAGGUUAACCUUGACGUUGCACCCGUCGGCAGAAUGAUUUCGGGGAGAUGAAGAUGUAGAGCUCCCUUGAUAGAAGAUGAAGAAGCUUAGCUAUCAUAUGUUAAUGUAUGUAUAUGUACGUGUACUGAUUUGUAUGAUCUUAAGCUUGGUUGAUGCUUUAUGAGUGAUAUGGGGUAGAAGAUGAAGUUGUGGGCAUGUAGAAGUGUGUAGAUGAUAUGUAUCAGUUAUGUACCUCUCUUUUUCAUGAGUAUUUAUACCCCCUCAACACUUAUGCACGUUCCUAGGUUGUUUCUCCACGUUCUCCACUUACUCCUAUAGUUUAGGGAUAAAGAAUAACCUCCUCCUAACUCUUAGGAUCGUUACAAGACUUAUUCUUCAUGCUGUUACGUUCAUGUCGAGUACCUUCACGUCAUGUCGAGUAUCUUCACGUCAUGUCUUAGCCAAGACGUCGAGCAUCAGCUUUGUGUGUAGCUUAAAUAUAUCUUUGGAGAAUGAUUAAUUAGCUUGUAAUUUGAUGAUAUAAUCACUCCCCUAACUCCCAUCAAGAUGUGGCUAUAUUGUAGGAUUAUGAUAAGGUAGUUAUUAUCCUUAUCUCCUAUUUUCCCUCCAUGUGCAUGUUGAGUUUCCUAAAUUAGUGUCACUUAUCCAUUCUCCAAUUUGAAUAAUCUCCUAAAAAGGUGGGUAGUUGAGACUUAGUCUCUUGCCCUAUCAGCCUGCACACGUCGUGUCGUCGGUACUUCAUGUCGUGUCAGUACACUUCCCGUCAUGUCCUGACGCCUGUAAAAUCUGGGUACAAACAAGGACCAAGCAGCGCCUUGAUUAUCGGUAGUUCCACUAUGAUUGAGGCCAAGUUUCUCGUUCAACCAACAUGAUAAAGUCACAAGCAGCUUUGCAAGCCAUGCAAUCUCAUCAUUGGAGACUGGUCGCUUCAACCAGUCACCCCUGUAUUUUGUACCAGUUUGCUUCUUGUUUCACAACAUUCUAGGACUAAAUAUCUCAUCACGUGGAUGCUGAUUUUCUCUUGUCUCAGGGACAGCAUGCGUGUUCCUUGAAGUAGAGUUACCAAAUAAGCAACCCAUCUGGGCUUUGAUAGAAUCUAAACAAGCCAUAUUGUGAGCAUGAUUAUCUCCCAAGACAGUCUGCAGCUCCGACUCAGCACGCAACACAAAGAGCUGCAAUAACAAUAUAACUAGUGAGUGAGACUUGAAAUUAGAAUGACACAAAUCCAUUCCUAGAAUUUAUAUAGUUCAUACAUAUAUAUUUAAGUACACUAUAUGCUAAAACUGUUGGAAUAAUCUUAAAUUUAAUUAUUAUUAAUAUUUGUUUAGUUAUAUAUUUUGAGGAUUAGUUUUAGAUUGAAGUAGUUGGAUGUUUGUUGUAGAGGUACAAGAAUUAAUACAAAUCAGUUUUAUAUUCUACACUUGGCAUUGGAGCCAGGUUCCGCCGCCAGGCGGUGGUGAAGCCGCCGCUAGUGGUGAAGGCGCAUAGUGAGUGUUUGACGAGAUAGUUUCAGGUAGGCGUUGCAGAAGGAUUGUGGCAAAGCUGCAUCUGCAUGUGUAGUAUGGGAUGCAUGUAUAGUAUGAGGCUGCCAAGAAAGACGAGGCGAUGCCUACUGAAGGCGGAAAAUAAGAUAGAGUGGAAGAAGGUCAUGCAGAACGAGAUGGAUCUUGCGUUUUUUAUCACGGAGUUGAGGGAGAACCUCUCCUUCAAAAUUAUGGGUGAUUAUAUGUACCUGGAGAGAAUUUUAGAAUUAUGGGUGAUUAUGUGUAUCUGGAGAAAAGUGCUCCAGUGAAUUUGGCGUUGAUGAGAAGUGCAUCAACAAAUUGGUGUUGAUGAGAAGUGCAUCGACAAAUCGGUGGUAGUGAGAAGUGCAUCACAUAUAGAGGUGGCAAUCGUUUUGUUUCGUAUACUUUCGUGUUUCGUGUACUCAAAGGUGAACCCGUAUCCGCCCGUUAUCAAUUUCGUGUACCAAAUUUGAAACCCGUAUCCGAUCCGAAACGUUUCGUGUAUUUUUCAUGUACUUUUCGUGUACAUUAUAUAUAAAAUUUUUAAUAUAUUUUUAAUCAAAAAAUAGCUUUAAUAUAUAUUUUUCUAUAUAAUUUACUAAAUAUGAAUGAUAUAUUUAUGCUCGCAUACAAUUAUCUACAAAUUUGUUAAUGUAUCUAUAAUAUGUAUCUACAUAUACAUAUACAUAUAUAUUUAUUUAACACAGUUAUAUAUAUAUAUAUAAUAUAUUAUACCAUAUAUAUAAUGAAAUCUAUGUAUAAAUAUUUCGUGUACUUUCGUGUACCCAAAAUGAAAACCCAUAUCCGACACGAAAUCUAUCGUGUAAUUUCGUGUUCGUGUACUUUCGUGUUUCGUGUAUCAAAAAUCAAAACUCAUAUCCAUUUUUUUCGUGUCGUUUCAUUUCGUGUUAGCGUGUUACGUGUCAAAUUGCCAGGCCUAAUCACAUAUGAAGAGAAGUGCUUCAUAAACUCUCUUAAGUAAAUUUAAGAUUAUGGGGUGAUUGUUGGAAUAAUCUUAGAGGGGUGUAUUGGAUUGAGAUUUUAAAGCCUUUUUUUGCAUUCAUGAAAUCCGAGGGUAUUGGAUUGGGAUUGUUUGAAAUCAAUUAAAAUCUUGAGGUAUUCAAUUGGUAUUUUAAAUUAUACUACAAAAUCCGGUGGUAUUCAAUUGGGAAUUAAAAUUAUGCUUUAAAAUCCGAUGGUAUUCAAUUGGGAUUGUUUAAAAUCCAUUAAAAUCUGAGGGCAUUCAAAUGUUGAUGGAUUUUUUUGCAUUUCAUAAAAUGAUGGAUUUUGUGGCAUUCUUCAGUGUAUUUUAAGUUUUUUGAAAUCCCACCAAAAUCAAUGGGAUUUUGAAGCAUAUUUGUGCUUAAAUCCUAUAAACUCUGCGACAUAUUAUCAAAAAUCCGCACAAAAUCAAAAUCCAUUAAAAUCCAUAAACUAAAAACAAUCCAUUAAAAUCCCAAUCGAAUACAUCCCUAUUAAUUUACUUAUUAUUAUUAUUUGUUUAGUUAUAUAUUUUGAGUAUUAGUUAGAUUGAAGUAGUUGGAAGUUUGUUGGAGUCCUAGAGAAUUUGUAAGAGGUAUUGAGUCUAUUUGAGUCUAUCAUGUUUUAGGAGAUUUAUUAGAAGUAGUAGAGUAUUUAUGAAAUCUCUUUUUUAGAGGUACAAGAAUUAAUACAAAUCAAUUUUAUAUUCUUACAAAAAGAAGAGAGGUGGAAAUAAACCUAUAGCAGCCGUUGUCCGCCAUCAUCACCAUCACUAAAUAACUGCAAAUCUUUGUUCCAAUUCUCAUGCAAGAAAGAGCCAUCAGCGUCAUUUUCACACAAUCCAUCCUCCCAGUCCUUGUAAAGCAAAAAAGAACAAGGGAUUUACAUAUAAACCUCUGAAAAAGAGUUGAAGAAUGCGCACGCGCACACACACAAAAGAGAUGUUGAACACUUUUAGCCGAGUCCAUGUAAUAUAGAUUCCCCAUACGUAAGCUUACCAGAUGUAUCCCCAUGAGCAACCAUAAAUUAAAAGAAGCUCAAAGAAAAUAAUUAGCUUUUUGUUGUGGUUCAUUCAGAUGUAUCCAUCAAGCAUUUUCCAGGACCACUGAAGCAAUCUAUGCAAAACCAUGGUUGAACAUCACUAACUACACAAGUAGCCUUCCUCUUGUGUUCUGCUUAUCCAGGUAAAAAAGAAAAGACUACAUGUCUUUUUUUGCUAGCAUGUCUUAAAAUGUACUAUUAUAUAAUUUUCUUAGUUUUUUAAUAAUUUCACCCAUCUAUAAAAGUAUAAACAGAGGACAAGAACAUAUAUCACACCUUUUGUGCUUCUUUACACCUCAACAGAGAACCAAGCAGGGCCUUGAUUAUCGGUGGUUCCACUACGAUUCAGGCCAAGUUUCUCAUGAUAAAGUCAAGGAGCUUUGCUGCUUUGCAAGCCAUUCCAUCUCCUUAGCGGAGACCGGCCACUAUUGUCCGGGCAUGUGUGGGUGAACUUAAUUUGAAAUAUAAUCAUUUAUUUUGACAACAAUUUCACAUUCACAUACUAUUAAAUAAUAUUAAGUGUUUAGAGGACAUUUAGCAGAAAAUACACAUUUACAUACUUUCUCUUCCAGAUAUAAGUAAUUUAUUUCAAAAUACAAAAUAAGUUAAACGCCCAAGAUGUUUGAAUCAGUGAAUUACGCAAAUAUUUAAGAAUGAGAAAUCAUGGAGUAUGUUAUAAUACUCAAGUGCUUGUUACAUUCAACAUUUUACGGGAAAAAAGUAAAUUAAAUAUUUGCAAGAGAAUUAAUAGCAAAAAACGGAGCAAAUGUGUUCCAAAUUUUAAUUUUAAUAAAGCAAGUAAUGCUAUUGUAUUAGUUCUGGAAACAAAACGUAAUUUUCUCAUGAUGCAGACGCAGCAAACCGAUGAUUCCAAGUGUCUGUUAGCAGAAGGGGAGAGUGAAGAAGAAUAGAGAGUAUAAAGUCAUUUGGUUUGCUAUGAGGAGGUCAUUCAGGAAGCGGAACCAAGAGCGGUGAUGUUUGCAGAAACACAAGAGAAAGACUUCAAAUGGCAUCUUGAAAAGGAAUGAGAGCAGGCAAUUGCAGCAAACACAGCAACGACAACAAAAGUAAUCAAGGAAGAUGAGUAGGAUAGUCUUGUGAAACUGAGCUCCUGAAUUUCUGUUCUGCUUAGGAUUUUCGACAUAAUAAAGGUAUGAAUAGUAAUUACAAAAUUGAAAUAAUUGAACCAUAAUAUCAAACACAGAAGGGAAAAAAAUGGUUUUAAUAUGAACACUAAUCGGCUCAAUCAAUUUGAUUACUAAAUUGACUAAGUGCUGCUUUAAACGGGUGCCCAAGACAAUAGUGAUGAAAAAGAUUAAAGUCAAUAAUUAGUGACGAAAAAGAUAUAAAGAACUUGCUUGGCCAGUACUUAAAGUCCUGGACAUUAUAAUCAUGUGGUGUAAUCACAUGGUUUAAUGAAUUAUUGUUGAAUUUGCAACCAAAGAAUCAUGAAAAUGGUUAAAGACUGUCUCAGAGUCAUAUACAGUGGCUCCAUUAUAGUUUAAUUAAUAUACUUUGGCAAAGGGCAAUACUGGACAGCAAUAGAGAAUAUAAAGUGAUCACUCCUCACUUCCCUAUUCUUUGACUGACCUCCAAAUUACACUUUGUUAUACAAAUUUGUCCACUAAUUUCACAAUGAUCGUAUCAGGAACGAGUUCAAGUAUAUCAGAAGUAUAUUCUAGGUCUAAGCAAAAAUGUUUUAACACAAGUUUGUUCAAUUAACAGUCAUAAGCUGUAAGAUCAAUAAUAGGCUGAAUGCAAAUGCUAUUUAACAAAAACGUUACCAACAUCGCAUUGCAACAACAAAUAACACCGAUAAAAGACCGAAAACAAAUACAAUCCACCAAAAUAAGACCAGCUUCGCAUUGCAAGGUCAUGGAAUUUGAACUUAAGAUUCUAUAUGUUAUGUUUUAAGUCUGAACUCAAGUUUUGCCUAUAUCAGAUCAUAUUCCAAACUCAACUAAUGUGGGAGACUUGUGUAAUGAGUGCAACUGACCUUUUGCAACAAACAAGCACAUCAGUUCAAACUCUCCGACUAGCGUUUUCUUUUUAAAAUAAAAAGAAAACAGCAAUAGUUAUAAUCUCUCCAUUAAAGAUGACAAGUUCUGCAACUUUCGAAAUUAUUUAAUAACAUCACAUAGAAAAUCUACUCACUUCCCUAUUCUUCGACCGACUUCCCCAUGUGCCACAGAACCCAUAGCACAAGUACCGGAUCAUAUUAUUUUUAGCUUGUCCAGAUUUGGGUCCGGGAUCGUUUUAUUCGGAUCUAAACCGAUCCCGGGUAUUUGGGAUUCGGAUCUGAACCGGAUAUGAUCCAAUAUCGUAUUUUCUAUUUUUUAACCGGGUAGUUUAUGAUCCAUCGAAUAUGAGCCGGAUAUGAUCCACUUACACUAAGUAUCAUUAUUAUUUCAGUUGUUCAAAUAACUAUCAUUAGUCUAAGUAAACAUAAUAUUAUAAAGUAUAAUAAUUUUAAAUUAAAGCUUAUGGUUAUAUAUUGAUAUAUAUCAUUUAUUAAAUAUAUAUGAAGAUAAUAAGUAUGAUCACAUUAAAUAAAUCAUAUUUUAUGAAGAUAUAAACUUAAAUAAGAUAUUAAAAUUUUAUAAAAUGAUAACUAUUUACUUGCAAAUAUGAUGGUGUUAAAAUAUAAUAUGUAUAUGAGUUUGAAUCGAAUAUGAACCGCGGAUCAUAUUCGGUUAUUCGGGUAGGAUAAUAUUAUGAAAAGUUAUAUGAGCCCGAAUCUGAGCGGGUAUAGGUGUGCUCGUAUCCGGGAUCAUAUAUUAUACGGGCUUAAUUUUUCCGCCAGAUUUGGAUCGUUUUCAAAACGAAUAUGAGACAUGUAUCAUAUUUUCGAGCCGGAUAUGAGCCGAGACACCGGAUAGUCCGUAUCGAUUUACAGCCCUAGCAACAUCAUAAACAAAUGCAACUGUACAGUAACAUGGAGAAUCCAAUGUGCUGAAGACACCAAUACAUUUGAGCCUUAUCAAAUUUAUUACUCCCUCAUCCCAUUUUUAACUGUACUUUAUAUAGACUUGUUUGGUUUCUGCUGAAAAAAAAGUUGAACGAAUUAAUAUGGCUGAAGCAAUUGUGUCGAUUGUUAUGGGAAGGCUCGCUGAUUUAUUGAUUGAAAAACCUCAAAUCCUUAAUGAAGUGAGCGAUGAAAUUCAACUAGCUGUGACCGAGCUCAUGCGGAUAAAGACAUUCUUACCAGAUGCUGAUUCAAGGAUGGAUGUAGAAAGAAUCCGGAUUUUGCUCCGGGAUGUACGAGAGCUUGCCUAUGAUGCUGAACAUGCUGUCGAAACUUUUGUUAUUAAAGCCUCAUCGACUAAAAAACCAUUUCAGUGGAUGAACAGAGGCAAGUUUUCAAGGAAGAUGAAAGAUAUACAAAAAAAGAUGUCCAUCUUCUUCGAUUUGUUUUCUGAUUAUAAUAUCAGACCAACUUCUGAAUCAUCAACUUCCUCCAACAGAGAAUCGGGAAAACUAAAGCGAUUUCACUCUUUCACUACUCCUGAACCAGAGAUAUUUGUUGGAUUUCAUGACGACGUUGAAUGCUUGGUGCGACAUUUGGUGAAUGAAUCUGAUGAUUCUUACCCACUUAUAUCUAUUUGUGGAAUGGGGGGUCUGGGAAAGACCACUCUAGCUCAAAAGAUAUACAAUCACUCCGCCAUCAAGACUCACUUUGCUGGUUUAGCAUGGGUAUCAAUCUCGCGAAAGUGGCAAACAGAUCGGGUGUUGCAGAGAAUUCUUAUAUGUCUCGUCCCUGAGAACAAAAACUCUAUCCUUAAUAUGGAGACUGACAAGCUAGUGGAGUAUAUGCUACAAAUCCAGGAAAGGAAAAAAUGCUUGAUAGUCCUCGAUGACAUAUGGUCAACACAUGAUUGGAAUGCAUUAAAAGCUGCAUUUCCAGCCGGGAAGUCCAUAAGCAGAUUAAUGCUUACAAGCCGUAAUGCUGAGGUUGCUGACUAUGUGAAUUUAAACGGAUACAUUCACAAGCCAAAAUGUCUAAGUCCAGAACAAAGUUGGGAGCUACUCAAGUUAAAAGCACUUCACACAGGAAAUUGUCUAGGUACAUAAUUUUGGUUGUGUUAAUUAUAUUUCAUAUGCUUUUUCUUUACCAUAUCUUUUGUUUGACAACCUUAACUAACUGUAUUUUUUGUUACCUAAGUUCCAUAAAUUUGGGAAGAAAUCUGUCCAGCAACCUAAAAGAACAUUGUUCUGUUCCAUAACAUAUCGUUCAUGUUCGUUUACAAACCUAUGUAUUAGAAUUGUAAACGAAUCUAACAGUUCAUUAAGUGCCCUCUUGAGGUUUGAGUUAACGAACUUGAGUUCGAACCACAUAUUUUGUUUAAUAACCUUAACAAACAUUAUGGGGUUCAGUAAUUUUAGCUCGUGUUAACUUCAAGUUUAUCCGAGUUAAGUUCGUCGAUGGCUCUAACUUGAAUGUGUCUUUUAAACAUUUGCACUAGUUAAAGAAUUAGAAAUUAUCUUGGCUUGUGUGUAUACACACAGACACACAUAUGAAUCCCGUUUGUUGUGUGUUGCAGACAUUACCAGAGAUGUAAAGAGGAUGGAAGAACUGGGAAGGGAAAUGGUUGAACAUUGUGCCGGUCUUCCGCUAGCUAUAGUCGUCUUGGGUGGAAUUCUUGUAACAAAACCAUCGUUGAUAGAGUGGGAGAAGGUAUAUCGUGAUAGUAAAUCAUCCCUGAAGGCGGGGAAAGGACUGGGAGAAGCCUAUCAAAGGGAAAUAUUAAGUUUUUUAAUAUGGAGCUACAAUGAUUUACCGCCUCAGCUGAAGCCAUGCUUUCUAUAUUUAUCUAAGUUUAGUGAAGAUGAAUCGAUAGACAUAGAGACUUUGUAUCAGCUAUGGAUCGCAGAAGGAAUGAUACUCUCGAGUGACAAAAGGGAAGGAGAAACAAUGAUACAAGUGGCUGAAUCAUACAUGGGAGAACUAGUCCACAGGAAUAUGGUUCAAGUGAGAUUUAACGAUGUAGAAUCAUCGCUUACAAAGUUUGAAUCUUGUUCUCUGCACGAUCUUAUGAGAGACAUGUCUUUAAUACAAGCAAAAGCAGAAGAUUUUUUUGAAGUAAUACAUUUCCAAAGUGGAAAUGAGUUUCAUCUCAAAUCUACUACAGAGUCAAGGUCAGCUUCCACUCGAGUUGUGAUUCGUUUGGAUGAGGAAUAUUCUAGCAAAGAAGCUAAUUACUACUUUACCAAGAAACGCAAUCAAAAAUGCUAUCGAUCAAUUUUACUCCUCUGUGAGUUUGGGGCGAGAAGUCUGCCACGGGCCCUGGGGUUACAUUUUGCCAAUUUUAGGUUCCUAAAAGUCUUUUCUGUGGAGAAUUAUACCAAUUUUUCUGGUGCAUUUUCUCAUUUUAAUGUUGGAAGAGCAUUAGGGUCCCUUGUUUACUUGCGAUAUCUUAGUGUAAGGGGCAGUAAUUUGUCGGUUUUUCCAUCUCUACAAAAGUUGGUGCUAUUACAAACUCUAAAAUUGGAUAUAUCCGACAAGAUAUAUGUUUUACCAUGGCUGUCAAGAGAUGUUCUGGUGAAGAUGGAUUGUUUGCGGCAUCUGUAUUUGCCGAAAUUUAAAGUUGACGUUUUGGGAAGGAAAUCGAAAUUACGGUUUAAUGGGUUGAGCAAGUUAGAGACCCUGGAGAACUUUGACACUAGUUGGUGUGAGGUUAAGGAUCUACGUGAGCUAAUCAAUCUUCGGAAACUAACGGUAACAGUGAGGGGUAGCUGUGAUAUUCUGGAAGAAAUGAUGAAAAACUUGGAUGAUGUAGCCUCCUCAGCAUCUUCAUGUCUGAGGUUCUUGGGUGUCACUAUUGUUUAUUGUGAUAUUGAGCUGAACAAUGAUCUUACGAUCUUAAAACAAUUGGUAUAUGCCGAAAAUUUGAACCUUCGGGAAUUGAAAAUAUAUGGGUGUAUCCCAGAGGUGGGUCUAAUAUUUCCGCUGCAUGUAUCCACAAUUUGUAUUACAACUUUAAAUUUAGGGGAAUCAUACCUGGAAGAAGACCCAAUGCCAAUAUUAGAAAUGCUUCCAGUGUUGAGUGUUCUCCGAAUGUAUAGGGAUACAUAUGUGGGGAAGGAGAUGGUGUGCUCCGCAACCGGUUUUCCUAAACUCACCGUUCUUAUUUUGCACGAGUUCACAAACCUUGAAAAAUGGAGGGUGGAGGAAGGAAGCAUGCCCAUCCUUUCAUACUUGAUUAUUGCAAGUUGUAACAAGUUGGAGGAGUUUCCCGGAGGCCUUGUGUUCCUCAAGUCCCUUCAAAUAAGUCAAAUGCCUCAAGAUUUCAAUGAUAGGCUUAAAAGGCAAGAUGGUGAAGAAGGACCCGACUUUCACAAAAUUUCUCAUGUCGGUAGACUCAUUAUUGAUGAUCAGGGCUACAUUUGAAUGUUCUUGUAAGUUAGGUAUAAAGUAUUGUUUUGGUCGUGAAGAACAUAUUGCUUGAGAACUUAUUUGAUCAUUUGCUUCUCAUUAAUAUUAUAUGAUCAAUUUAUUUUCCAUUAAAAUUAAUACUUUUACUGUUGAAAAUAAUUUUAAUUAAUAAGCAAAAAUUUAAAACAUAAAUUACAAAAUUAUACUUUAUAAAAAUAUUAAAGGGUUUGCCGAUUCACGUCCCCAACAUAUAUUAUUCAGGACGAUGGAGAGCGUAAUAAUUAAAUAAGUUCAAUAACCGGAUUUUGGACUAUAUAUUUUAGUAUCUUAAUGUUCGGUUAUUUUAUGAUGGUUAUUAAUAUGAGUAAAGAUUUGUAUAAAUUUAUAUUUAAAAAUUUAUGCAACAUGAAGUUAAAUAAAUUAUUUUAAUAAAUAAAUAUAGAUCAUCAUCAUCAUCAUGAUUAUUUUUUAUAUUUUUGGAACAAUUAUAAUAGUAGGAUUCUUAAACAAUUAUUUAAAAAUUAAACAUUUUAUGUUGAACUCUUAUCCUUUAAAAUAAAAAAAAAAUCACUACUUUUUUCAACGAAAAAAAUGUAUGUGUUGAAUUACAUUUGGUUGCAAACUCAAUCUUUUUUCUUAAGAAUUUUACAAAGAAAGUAAAUCACCUAAAAGGACUUUAAACAUAUGACAAAAAAGACUCUAAACAUGUGUUUAGAGUUUUAUUCAGAACAAACUAUUAGUUUCCAAUUACGAUCAUCAGUGAUCAGACUACUUAAAAGAACUACUCUUUUCAGACUAUUGCAAUUACGAUCAUCAUACUACUGAAAGAACUGCUACUUUAGAAAAAGGCUCAGCAUCCUCAGGUUCAUGUUCACACCAUAUUCUUUUGUGAACUAGGGGCACAAUUUUCAUCAUUUUCUUUGUCUUACAAGCCAUGCAAUCUAGUCAUUUGAAAUUGAUCACUUUAAAGACCAUCCUUGUGUCUCGUUCAUUUUUCUUGAGGUGAACAAGAGUUAAACAAAUUCGGAAGCGAUAAAUAUAACAGUCUUCUAACAGAAAAUCGAUUUAUGAUAAUUUUAGACUGCAGAAAAAGAGAGGAAAUAAUAUUUCACUGACCAAUAUGUAAUAUGUUUUCAUGCGAUUGCGGCCAACACAACAGAGCACAUUGUUUCCCACAUGUUGCAACAAAACACCAAAACUAGGAGACUUCUAACUCUUGACUCCACCCAUUGUUCAAACUUUUUCUUUGUGAUCUUCUCUUUUUUAUAAUAAAACACUUUUGGUUUUUUUUUUUUCUUUAUGGUUAAACUACAAUAUAUACAGCGUUUAGGACUGGGAAACUGCUUUCUUCAAGACGCUGAAGGCAACGAGCAUAAGCAGUGAUAUCAUAAUCUUCUUUGAAGCAAGAAUCCGCAAGUUCACCUUCAUGCCAUGGUCUCUCAUGAGCUUCACCGUUGCCCUAAUUACUGAAAUAAGCCAGAAUACAACGGACAAGAACACCAAUUUCAUUGUGUCUGCAGGUCCAUUCACAGUUCUUGUGCCUCCCGACACCUCGACAUAGGACCAAGCAGCGCCUUGAUUAUCGGUGGUUCCACUAUGAUUGAGGCCAAGUUUCUUGUUCAACCAACAUGAUAAAGUCACAAGCAGCUUUGCAAGCCAUGCAAUCUCAUCAUUGGAGACUGGUCGCUUCAACCAGUCACCCCUGUAUUUCAUACCGGUUUGCUUCUUGUUGCGUAUCACUCUAGGACUAAAUAUCUCAUCACGUGGAUGCUGAUUUUCUCUCGUCUCGGGGACUGCUUGUGUGUUCCUUGGAGUAGAGUUACCAAAUAAGCACCCCAUCUGGGCUUUGAUAGAAUCUAAACAAGCCAUAUUCUGAGCAUGAUUAUCUCCCAAGACAGUCUGCAGCUCCGACUCAGCACGCAACACAAAGAGCUGCAAUAACAAUGUGACUAGUGAGUGAGACUUGACAUUUAGAAUGACACCAUUUCAGUUCCUAGAAUUUAUAUGGUUCAUACAGAUAUAUUUAAGUACACUAUAUGCUAAAAGAAGAGAGGGGGAAAUAAACCUGUAGCAGCUGUUGUCUGCCAUCAUCACCAUCACUAAAUAACUGCAAAUCCUUGUUCCAAUUCUCGUGCAAGAAAGAGCCAUCAGCAUCAUUUUCACACAAUCCAUCCUCCCAGUCCUUGUAACGCAAAAAAGAACAAGGGAUUUACAUAUAAACAUCUGAAAAAGAGUUGAAGAAUGCGCUCGCGCACACAAAAGAGAUGCAGUUAGGUCUUCAUACCUGCAGUUGUUCUCUGAUUGAUGGAACAAAUCUGUACAAGUUGUUGUGUAUGGGUUUGGAUGACCCAGAAGGCUUAGAAUGGAAGACAGUGUCCACAUUGUUUAUAAGAUUCAUCAGCUCACUGGACGAUGUCAAUAUGCUUAAGACCUGCACAAGAAAUACAAGAAACAUAUACAAAAUAAGUAAACGGAAACUAUAACGAAUUGAUCCUGGGAUAAAAAUAUAUACUAAUUAUAAAAGAAAAUUUCCCCACUGUUACCCUGACUCUUCAUUUUGCCUCAAGUACCGGUGUCGGACACUCAACACUUGAACAUCGGACACUCAACACUUGAACAUAGGUACAGACACUACAGAACUUAUUUUAGGCCAAAAACAUGUAAAUUUUCAGAAUACUACCGAGACACACUCGGACAGGUAACCAUGUUGGACACUUUUAGCUGACUCCAGGUAAUAUAGAUUCUUCAUAUGUAAGCUUACCAGAAGUAUCCCAUCAGCGCCCAUAAAUGAAAAGAAGCCGAAAGAAACUAUAAAAGAGGAAUAUAGCAGAUUAUUAUUAAUUAGUAGCCUUGCAUAAGUUUCCUCUAUAAUUCAACACAAGUAGCUUUCUGUUGUCGUUCAUUCAGAUGUAUCCAUCGAGCAUUUGCCAGGACUGCUGAAGCAAUUUAGGCUUUUAUCUAUAGUCUAUGCAUGCAAAACUAUGGUUGACCGUCACUAACUACAGACCAAUUUAAUUUAUUUUUUAUUUAUCCUCUUAUGUUCUGCUUAUCCAGGUAAAAAAAAAAAAUUGAUUUGGUCAAAAAUAUACACAACACAACUAUAUAUGGAGAAACUUGUGAGCAAAUCCUAAAAAAUGCAUAACCAAGGAACUAUAGAACAAAUAGUUGAUCAACACAAAGCAUUGCCAGGAACUAGAAUAUCCACUUGAAGAAGACUGUACUUCCUUUUUAGUACCAUUGCUCGACACCUCAGCAUUUACAUCUAGACCAGAAAAAUCUUCAAAGCUAAUGUUCCAAGGUUCUAUAUAAUUAAUCCCAAGCCAAAACACCUGAGAUCUGGGAAGUACUGGACGCAAAUACGGGGAGUCCGGAAAAUGAGUAUUUGGCAUGGGAAUACCAAAAAUAUAAAAAAUAUUUAAAUUAUACUCCAUUUCACACUCUUAUUUCUUAGCACUCACACACAUUUUAAAGGUGCGUAUCCUUUAUUCUAUACAUCCACCACAAUAUGCAGUUAACCAAUAAGAAAAUAAAUGGAUCUGGAUAUGGAUUUGACUAAAUUCGAUACAAAUCCGACCCGCUGACAAGCCUGCUUGGAAACACAUCAAAUUAUUUAUAUUCUAAUCAUAAACUCAUAAAAGGAGAAAAACAAAAAAAAAAUAUGAUUUAAAAAGGUCAGAGUCAAAGCAGUGGACUGUAUACAGACAUAUGUGCAACACAUAUAUACAGAUCUGGACCAGAGAAGAGAUAACAAAACAAGCAGCAGAUUGAACUCAGAGAAGAGAUAACAGUCGGAAAGCGAAGUCACAAGGAGAGCUAACUGGGUAUGUAUCUUUGUAAUAUAAGCUCUGUUUUUUGUUUUAAUGAAUUAUUGCAGAAGAUUGAUGACUUAUUGUUGAACUUUGCAACCAAAGAACCAUGAAAAUGAUUCAAGACUGUCUCAGAGUCAUAUAGAAUAGUUUAAUUAAUAUACAGCAAAGGGGAAUAGUGAUCAGCAAUAUAGAAUCUAAUGUGCUCAUGACACCAAUACAUUUUUACUACUUUAUUACUCUCUCGAUCCCAUUUUUAACUACUUGUUUGGUUCCUGGAGAAGAAUAGGUUAAACAAAUUUAUAUGGCUGAAGCAAUUGUGUCGAUUGUUGUGGGAAGGCUCGCUGAUUUGUUGGUUGAAAAACCCCAAACCCUCUAUGAAGUGAGAGAUGAAAUUCAACUAGCGAUCACCGAGCUCACGCGGAUAAAGACAUUCUUACCAGAUGCUGACGCAAGGAUUGAUGUAGAAAGAAUCCGGAUUUUGCUCCGGGAUGUACGAGAGCUUGCCUAUGAUGUCGAAACUUUUGUUAUUAAAGCCUCAUCCACUAAAAAACCAUUUCAGCGGAUGAACAGAGUCAAGUUUUCAAGAAAGAUGAAAAAUAUACAGAAAAAGAUGUCCCUCCUCUUCAAUUUAUUUUCUGAUUAUAAUAUCAUACCAACUUCUGAAUCAACUUCCUCAAACAGAGAAUCGGGAAAACUUAAGCGAUUUCACUCUUUCACUACUCCUGAACCAGAGUUAUUUGUUGGAUUUCAUGAAGACGUUGAAUGCUUGGUGCGACAUUUGGUGGAUGAAACUCAUGAUUCUUACCCACUUAUAUCUAUUUGUGGAAUGGGGGGCCUGGGAAAGACUACUCUCGCUCAAAAGAUAUACAAUCACUCUGCCAUCAAGACUCACUUUGCUGGUUUAGCAUGGGUAUCAAUUUCGCGAAAGUGGCAGACAGAUCGUGUGUUGCAGAGAAUUCUCAUAUGUCUCGUACCUGAGAACAAAGAAUCUAUCCUUAAUAUGGACAGCGACAAGCUAGUGGAGUAUAUGCUACAUAUUAAGGAACGGAAAAAAUGCUUGAUAGUCCUCGAUGACAUAUGGUCAACUGAUGUUUGGGAUGCAUUAAAAGCUGCAUUCCCAGCCGGGAAGUCCAUAAGCAAAUUAAUGCUUACAAGCCGUAAUGUUGAGGUUGCUAAGCAUGUAAAUUUGAACGGAUUCAUUCACAAGCCAGAAUGUCUAAAUCCAGAACAAAGUUGGGAGCUACUCAAGUUGAAAGCACUUCACACAGGAAAUUGUCUAGGUACAUAAUUUUACUUGCGUUAAUUAUGGUUCAUAUACUUUUUCCGCACCAUAUCUUUGGUACGACGGCCUUAAUGAGCCAUAUUUUCUGUUACUUGAGUUGGAUAAGUUUGGUUAGAGAUCUGCCCAGACAACCUUAAAUAACAUUGUUCUGUUCAAGUAACAUUUUUUUCGUGUUUGUUUGAAUUCGUUAGUCGUUUACAAACGUAUGUAUUAGAAUUGUAAAUGAAUGUAACAGUUCAUUAAGUGCCCUCUUGAGGUUGAGUUAACGAACUCGAAUUCAAACCACAUAUUUUGUUUGAGAACCUUAACAAACUUUAUGGGGUUCAGUAAUUUUUGCUGGUGCUGACUCGAAGUUUAUCCGAGUUAAGUUCAUUUAGGGCUACAACUUGAACGUGUCUUUUAAAUAUUUGCACAAGUCAAAUGACUAAAUUAGAAAUUAUCUUGGCUUGCGUUUGUGUGUCUAUAUAUACACACAUAUGAUUCCCGUUUCUUGUGUGUUGCAGACAUUUACNUUUGGGAUGCAUUAAAAGCUGCAUUCCCAGCCGGGAAGUCCAUAAGCAAAUUAAUGCUUACAAGCCGUAAUGUUGAGGUUGCUAAGCAUGUAAAUUUGAACGGAUUCAUUCACAAGCCAGAAUGUCUAAAUCCAGAACAAAGUUGGGAGCUACUCAAGUUGAAAGCACUUCACACAGGAAAUUGUCUAGGUACAUAAUUUUACUUGCGUUAAUUAUGGUUCAUAUACUUUUUCCGCACCAUAUCUUUGGUACGACGGCCUUAAUGAGCCAUAUUUUCUGUUACUUGAGUUGGAUAAGUUUGGUUAGAGAUCUGCCCAGACAACCUUAAAUAACAUUGUUCUGUUCAAGUAACAUUUUUUUCGUGUUUGUUUGAAUUCGUUAGUCGUUUACAAACGUAUGUAUUAGAAUUGUAAAUGAAUGUAACAGUUCAUUAAGUGCCCUCUUGAGGUUGAGUUAACGAACUCGAAUUCAAACCACAUAUUUUGUUUGAGAACCUUAACAAACUUUAUGGGGUUCAGUAAUUUUUGCUGGUGCUGACUCGAAGUUUAUCCGAGUUAAGUUCAUUUAGGGCUACAACUUGAACGUGUCUUUUAAAUAUUUGCACAAGUCAAAUGACUAAAUUAGAAAUUAUCUUGGCUUGCGUUUGUGUGUCUAUAUAUACACACAUAUGAUUCCCGUUUCUUGUGUGUUGCAGACAUUUACAAAGUGGACAUGAGUUUCAUCUCAAAUCUACUUCAGAUUCAAGGCCAGCUUACACUCGACUCGUGAUUCAUUUGGAUGAGGAAUAUUCUAGCAAAAAAGCUAAUUACUACUUCUCUAAGAAAGGCAAUGAAAAAUGCUAUCGAUCAGUGUUAUUCUUUGGUGUCUUCGGUCCGAGAAGUUUGCCACGGGCAUUGGGGUCACAUGUUGCCAAUUUUAGGUUCCUAAAAGUGUUUUCUGUAGAAAAAUACACAAAUUUUUCUGGUACGUUUUCUCAUAUUAACUUUGGAAGAGCAUUAGGGUCCCUUGUUUACCUGCGAUAUCUUAGUGUAAGGGGCAGUAAUUUGUUGGUUUUUCCAUCUAUGCAAAAGUUGGUGUUGUUACAAACUCUUAACUUAGAUACAUUCGAGGGUAUGUAUGUUUUACCAUGGCUGUCAAGAGAUGUUCUGGUGAAACUGGAUUGUUUGCGGCAUCUGUAUUUGCCGAUAUUUAAAGUUAACGUUUUGGGAAGGAAAUCAAAAUUUCGGUUUAAUGGGUUGAGCAAGUUAGAGACCCUGGAGAACUUUGACAGUAGUUGGUGUGAGAUUAAGGAUCUACGUGAACUAAUCAAUCUUCGAAAACUAACGGUAACAGUGAGAGGUAGCUGUAAUAUUCUGGAAGAAAUGAUGAAAAACUUGGUUGAAAUAGCCUCCUCACCAUCUUUUCGUUUGAGGUACUUGGGUGUUUGUAUUCUUAAUUGUCAUCUUCGGCUGAAAAACGGUCUUACUAUCUUGAAACAAUUGGUGUGUGCUGAAAAAUUGAACCUUCGACAUUUGAGAAUACAUGGGCGUAUCCCAGAGGUGGGUCUAAUAUUUCCAGUGCGAUAUGUUGGGGAUAAUUAUGCACAUGUAUCUACAAUUCAUAUUACAAGUUUAAAUUUAUCGAGAUCAUACUUGGAAGAGGACCCGAUGCCAAUACUUGAAAUGCUUCCAAUGUUGGGUGAUCUCUUUAUGUUUACAGAUACAUUUGUGGGGAGGAAGAUGAUGUGCUCCGCAACCGGUUUUCCUAAACUCACCAAUCUUUGUUUGUACGAGUUCCCCAAUCUUGAAAAAUGGAGGGUGGAGAAAGGAAGUAUGCCUAUCCUUUCAUACUUGCUUAUUGAAAGUUGUAACAAGUUGAAGGAGCUUCCAAAAGGCCUGGUGUUCCUCAACUCCCUUCAAGUAUUAAGAAUAUACCAAAUGCCUCAAGAUUUCAAUGAUAGGCUUACAAGGAAUGAUGGUGACGAGGGACCUGACUUUCACAAAAUAUCUCAUGUCCGUAGAGUCCGUAUAGAUAAUGAUCAGGAAUACAACUGAACGUUCUUGUAAGUUCCUAAGUUGUAACGUUUUUGUUUUGGUCUUGAAGAACAGAUUGUUUGAGAAACAAAUCAGAGAUAUUAUUAUAAUAUAUAGUAAUAAUUUUUUGAUGAGAAAAAAGGAGGUGAGAUCAACCUUAUUUAAACUGAUUGCUUCCUAAGGUUAAAUGACACACAUGCAUAUGUUCGUUAGGUAUCGUGUAAUCUCUCUAUUUUUAUUAAAAAAUACCUCUAUUUACCUGAUAAUAUCUUCACUCCAUCUACAUACAUCAAAAGUAAUUCAUUUUUUUUGUCUUAUGUUGAUUCUGGGCCUUGGAAUGGAAUAGCAAACACACGCAGAUGAGUAUAAUUCAAAGUAAUCUUCUUGUGAAUGUAGUUUAUAAUUCACUUUAAUUUUUUUAGGAAAUGAGUAAUAAUAUUGAAGAUUGUCAAAUUCUGGAAGAUUCGCCAUCUGAGGAUUCAUUGUCUACCAAUUUACAGGAUACCUACACUGCUGAAUUGGAUAUAGAGGAUGGUACACGAGCAUUUUUCAUGUCUCAUGAAGAUAUGUUAUUUCAAUCACAAGAAGAAGCAUAUAAUUUUUAUAACAGCUUUGGUUUGACUAAAGGAUGUGCAAUAGGUAAAUUUUAUAUAUACAAGUCUUAUGGUGAGAAGAACUCUUGUAUCUGAUAGAGAAGGUUUCAAAAACAAAAUAAGAGGAUGAUAGUGAGGACAACAUAAAACGACGUCGAGAAACUAGAUGUGGUUGCAAAGGUUCAAUGGAAAUUAUCCUAAAGAAAUUAGGGACAUGGAAAAUGAAAAAAAAAUUAAUAAUAUCCAUUCACAUGACUUGCUCAAGAGUCCGAAUAAGAAAAGAAAAUUAAGGUCUCAGAACAAGUUUCAUUAAGAUGCAACUUAUAAGAAAUUGAUUGAUAAAUUUAGUAGUUGCGGAGUUGGGCCAACAAAAAUAUCAGGCAUUAUAAAUACUGCUAGUGGUAGUGUUACAGAUGUCAUGACACCCCAACAAUAUUCUGAAGAGUUAAGAAUUAAGAGAAGAUAUUCAGAAUCAAGAGAAAAAAUAACAUCGGCAAGGAGUGUAUAAUUAAUGUAGUGCGGAUUAUUUUUAGAGAGGAAAGCAAGAUAUUCUGAAUUUUAGUAUGCCAUUCAACUUGACGAACAUGGCUGUAGAAGUAUUUUCUGGUGUUAUGCCAGAGCGAGAAAAAUUUUAUAAGAAAAUUUCUGAUGUGAUAGUAUUAAUCGGGACUAAUACAAUUUAUUGUAGGAAUGGAGUCUUCUCAAAGAAGUGAAAGUACGAAUUCGUUUUUUGAUGGUUAUGUCAAUAGCAAUACUCCUUUGUCUAUAUAUAUUGACCCGUAUGAAAAAGAAAUUACUGGCCAUCGUGAUAGAAAAGAGAUAGCAGAAUUGGAUAUCAAUGACAACUAACCCUGAUUUGACAAAUAUGCAUAGCUUGGAAGCUCAUGCUGGAAAAGUUUAUUCUCGAAAUAUAUUCAAAUUAUUUUAGAACGAAUUUAUGCAGAUUUUGCAUUGCCAGCAUAACAAAAAAGUAGCUGCAGGUGUCUAGAUGGUGUAAGAUGUAACUUUCAACGAUCAUAAUAGGCCACACAUCUGUUAAGGUUUGCAAGUGUUCGUGCUAAAUUUGAGACAUGGGGUAUUGUAUGCAAACACAUAUUGUAUAUAAUGAAAUAAAAAUUAAGAUUAAAGAUCAUACCUGUUGAAUAUAUUUUGUCAAGAUGGACCUUAAAAGGCAUACAAUUAGUUCAACGGUCAGUGUGAACAAUGAUGGUGCACCUGGUUUGAAUAUAGAUUGUAACACGCGUAGGUAACAUCUCUUGAAUCUUUGACAUUGUGAGGUGAUUUUAACAAACUUCAUGGAAAGAUAAUUACUCGUAGAGAUCUCUAUGAAGUAAUGGAAAGGGAAAUAAAGAUGUGGUGGAAAGACAUUGACAUGAUUGAAAGUAAAUAAGUGCCACCACCGCCAGUGUCCGUAAAUGUAGAUGAUUUUUCAGAGGCAAAUAUAUAUAGCGGAUAAAAGUCCUUAAGAGAUCAUGUUAAAGUUCAUCAUCAGCGAUCCUACCAGAUGCAAGACGAAACGUAGACCGCGUAAUUCAUCCAAAAUCCCUACCGGAAUGUAGCAAUUUCAAGAUUUGAAGUAGAAAAGAGUUUGUGGAAAUUGUGGUCGGAAUGGGCACUACAAGAGUACAUGUAAAAGUAGUAAAUAAUGAAUUUUUUUAAAAAUACUAUGUUGCCUUGUUUUUAAACUCAGCAGUUCUUCUCAACUUUUAUUUGGUUUCAGAUUUUUAUUAAAAUUAAGUUCAAAAAAAAUUCCAACUAAUUUAGUCUAUAUUAAUUUUAUGAAAUUCCUGUCAAUUUUUACCAGUAUGUUAGCCAAUAUAUUCCUGGUUAUAAGUGGCAGCGGUGCUUAUAGUCCAGGCACAUUUAUUGUUGCACGAUUCCUGAAUGCUAAUAUGGAGUUAGCCAGAAAUUUUCUUGUUUUAUGCAAAUCCAGAAAUUUGCUCUCUACUUUUAUUCAGUUUAUGAAAUGGACAGUUUAUAAGCUCCGAAAGGUAUAUCUAGUGAUUUUGUCCGCAAGUUCUCGACCACUUGCAGACCGUCAAUAUCAAUACCAGGCCACAUUUAUUAUUUUCACACUAACUUUUAAGUUGUGGAGGGUCGAGAAAUCAAAAUGCAUGUAAUCAGGAUAAGCCAACAAGGAUGCUGUCAACUGUUUUGUUGCAGGACCAGACUCACAACUAUUUGUCGGUGUUAACUGGCCACACUGGACCAGUCAAGUGUAUUCCAUUUCAAGGGUCUUCUGCUCACCAGUGUAGUGUUUAUGAUAUGAAAGUAGACCUGCAAGCAUAAAAGCAAGCAAAUGCCAGCCUUCCUAGCAAAUAAUAACUUACAUGUUUGCAAUGAGUGUUUCCUAACUUUGUGACUGCAUAGUGACUAAGAAAAAAUCAAAGAAAUCAGUUGAUUACAGGUUCUGUUUCACUGGAGUCCAUAAUUAAGCAUAGCUGGGUAAUCUGAGGCAUUAAUCACCAUCCCCUGAAAUGCAUUUUCUUACUGCUCUGUUGGUAAUUUUUAUUUUAGUAGCAUUGAAUACUCGGAUUCCUGAUGAUUAUGUUUGCUAAUCCUACUACUAUUGUAUAAUGUUAAUGGACCUAGAGCAUCUGCAAUGAGAUUUUUAAACAAGUUCUUAACUCUAAAUUUAUAGAGUAAGUUAAGAAUUAUUGCUCCAAUGAGCUCCAAGAAGCUCUUUAAAAAUUUAAGAGCCUACUAUCUCCUCACUUUUAAAGAGCAUCCAGUAGCUCUUAUCUUUUUAUUUGUGAAUAUAAUAUUAAUUUCCCUCCAAUCUUCUCUCUCUUUUAAUUAAGUUUUCUCUCUCAUUUAUACAAAAUAAAUAUAAAAUAUGAAUAAAGAGCUACGUAUAAACAGUAGCAUUAAAGUAAUCAUGUUUUUCAAUGUAUUAAGUCACUAGGGGCCAUAAUUUAUAUUAUUGUUUAAGAAAUGAUUUAGUAGCACCAUUGGAGAUGUUCUUACUCCUUGUGAACAUAGAAUAAAUUAUUUUUUUUGUGCCAAUUCAGUUACGUAAAGAUUUGUCAGAAACAUUUUGUUACUCCACACUAUAAAUUGUCGUGGACGAAUUUUGACCCAUGACAAGUUUUCUCUUCAUAACAUUAUCACUUGGAAAGGUCCUUCAGCAAAUGACAGGAUGUCACCAAUUGCCAAAUUCAUUGCAAUUGCGAACUAUUAAAUUUUUGUUAAUUCAUGUUGGAGUGCAUGAACUGCUAUAGCUUUAAUAUACAUGAUUUCCCGACCUGAACUGCUAUGAGUGUUUCCUAGAUUUGAUGGUGAUCAAUAUGUUCAUGGACGGGGCAUCGCCAUCUCAGAGGAGAAGCGGAAGAGGAUGCGACAAGAAGAUUUAUGUGUGUAUUGUAUACUCCCUCCGUCUCAUUCAUUUGUAUACAGUUUCUUUUUUUUGACGUCCCACCAAUUGUAUAUAUUCCAAAAAUAGUAAACUUUUAUAAUAUAAAACACCAUUACACCAACUAUUUUCCUCCACUAUCUCCAUUCUAUAACAAUAUAAACACUAUUACACACAUUACUUUCCUCCACUAUCUCAAAUCUAUUAUUAAAUAUAAAUGGGUCCCACCACUAUACCUACUUUUCAUCUAACUUUACUAUUUUUUACAUUUUUUCUUGGUCUUCGUAUCCCAACCAAAUGUAUACAAAUGGUUGGGACGGAGGGAACUAGAGCACACGUGAUAGUCAUCAAUCCAGUCAUUUUAAUUUGUUCCCAAAGCUUGGGUGGUGUGGAUGUUAAUAUCGUCUGAGAACCAUUCAUGUUUGAGCAAAGAGUUGCGUGUUAAUAUCGUCUGAGAACCAUUCGUGUUUGAGCAAAGAGUCAUUUGAGUAAAUAUGAAAGAUCUCCCCUGUAGAUGUAGAAACCAUUGAAGUUAUAUAAAACUCAAGCAAAUCACAAAUGCACACACAGGUGAGACAAGCUCGUUUUAUUAAUCCGAUAAAUUGCUGCUUACAAAAUGAAAGAAACACACUCUGAUAAACUCAAGUUCAGAGUGUUGGAAAAAAAGUCCUACUUAAACAACUAGCUAAGAUGGUAAGGAUAAACAAGAACUGCUGCCUAUGGUUAAUCCACUCCUACAUGCACUCAUGAAAAACAGCUACUGCUAUGGCCUAAUCUUGUGUGCACACUGAUCACAUAGCAACUUAUUUAAAUUAACUAAAUUAAAUAAAAGCAACUGAAGUAUAUCAGAAUUUAGAUCAAACUCCAACAAGCUCCCCUAAUCUAAACUCGAUUGCAGGUUCUUCACACCCAAUAGCUCACACAUUCCCUCAAACUUAGCCCUUGACAAUGCCUUGGUCAAUACAUCAGCUCUCUGUUCAUUUGUGUUGACAUGUACUUUGAGUAUAAUUUCACCACAUUCUACACAUUCCCAUAUAAAGUGGUAGCGAAUAUCUAUGUGUUUACUCCUUCAUGAAACACUGGAUUCUUUGCCAAAUCUAUUGCCCACUUGUUAUCAAUAUACAGCACCACAGGACCAGCCUUUAUAUUCGUCAUCCGUCUGAGAAGUUUAUAAAGCCAUAUGCCUUGACACGCAGCUGCGUUGUUUUUGACAUUGCCAUACCUCUAGUAGACCUCUUGUCAUCCACAUUUCCAACUAGGUCGCUGUUUGAAUAUCCUGAGAGCAAGUAGUUUCCAUCCCGUUUAGAAUAAACCAACCCAUAAUCAAGAGUUCCAUUCACAUAACGUAAAAUUCGUUUUGCUGCAGCUAGGUGCAUGACUAUGGGUCUCUCCAUGAACCUGCUUACAAUGCCAACUGAAUAAGCUAUAUCAGGUCUUGUAAAUACAAGAUACCUGAGUCCUCCAACCAUACUUUUAAGGCUUAAUGACCUUUUAGCCCUCGAAGUAUGAAUGGAAGUUCCGAUGCGGUCUUGAAGUUUAAAAACGUACCUUUCGACCCUCAAAGUAUUUUUGUCGUACCUUUUAGCCCUUUUUAAAAAUACCGGCAUAAAUCAGGGGAUAACUUGAAAAAUAGGCAAGAGCAUAACCCAUCAGCACACCAAGAAUUCCUACUAAUUCUCAUUUUAAGCCGACCCUUGAACAUAUAUAAACCAUGUAGGCAAGUAUUCCUUAAUUAAAGAAUGAAUAAAACUUUCUCCAUCUGUUAUCUAAACUAUUGAAGCCACCAGCGAAGUUGCAACCUUGACAUGUGCCAUUGCUGCAGCAAAAGAAACCUGAUUAUAUCGCAUUCCGUAUUUUACUUUUUUCAGCUUCUCUAGUUAUUCUGUAGGCAAUCCCUUAGUUGCAAUUUCGCUAACAGUAUCCAGCAGCUGGGUAACUAUUUCUUUUGAGAUAAAUAUAACAUUCCCGACAGAUCGGUGGACACGUAGGUAAAGUAUUCCAUUCAUUAUUGUUUUUCCAUGUCAGACAUACCAAUCAUUGCCAUCUGUCAGCAAGGUGGAUGUUGUUGAGGUUAAAUUUUUCAACUUAACGUUUGCUGUUAGAUUUUUCUAAAAAAGUUAAUAGAAUGAUAUAUAAUAUAACAGUAUUUUAGUGGGUUAUAUGAGUCGCCGUGGAGAUCGGGUAGCUACUUGAUAUAUUUUGCUGAGUUCGAUGGGCAAUCUGAUAUAAAACCCAAAACCAAACCAAAUUAAUACUAAAUUUGAUAUUUGAUAUAAUAUAUGAUUUUGGUUCAUAAACCCGUCCAAAUCCAUAUUAAUCAACUAAAAUUGGUCCAAAACAUGAGAGGUCUACUUACUCUCUUGACACAAUUGGUAUAUGAUGAAAAUUUGAACCUUCGGGAAUUGAAAAUAUAUGGGCAUAUCACAGAGGUGGAUCUAAUAUUUCCGCUGCAAUAUGUUGGGGAUAGUAAUGCUCAUGUAUCUAAAGUUCGUAUUACAAGAUUACAUUUAUCGAUUUCAUACCUGGAAGAAGACCCAAUGCCAAUACAAUACUGGAAAUGCUUCCAAUGUUGGGUGUUCUCUGUUUGUUUACCGAUACAUAUAUGGGGAAGGAGAUGGUGUGCUCUGCAACCGGUUUUCCUAAACUCACCCACCUUUUUCUGGACAGCUUACCGAAUCUUGAAAAAUGGAGGGUGGAGAAAGGAAGCAUGCCCAUCCUUUCAUACUUGCGUAUUCAAAGAUGUAACAAGUUGGAGGAGCUUCCAGAAGGCCUGGUGUUCCUCAAGUCUAGGGGUGUGCACGGGUCGGUUCGGCUCGGUUUCUACCUAAAACCGUUACCGAACCGUGUAUUUCGGUUCGGUUCGGUUUUUGGGUAGAAACCGUAACCGAACUGUUUCAAACGGUUUUUUUCGGUUCGGUUAACCGUGGUCGGUUGCGGUUUUUUUCCGGUUUUUAUAUGAUUAGAAACUACUAUACAAAUUUAAUACUUUUAUUAAUUUUAGAAAAAUAUUUAUAUACUUAUUAUAUCAAUUUUUCUUACUAGAAUAUAUAAUUAAUAUAUUGUAGCACAUAUAUAUAUAUAUAUAUAUAGGGAUAUGAUCAAAUAAAAACUUUUUUAAGUUACAAACUUACAAACUUUUUUUUAUUCUCCCAUCGUGUUAAUCCUUAGUUAUAUAAAGUAUCUAUGUUGAAAAUUCUUCAAAAAAAAUCACAAUUUUUAAAAAUAACGCAUAAAUAAAUCGCGUUUUCAACACAUUUAUAACUGGGGUUCAACAUCGGGUGUUGAACACUAAUUAUCAUUGUGUUGAAUAUAUCUAAAAAGAUGUUUAAACUAUACCUCUGGGGUUUGGGUAGGGUCUAGAAACAUAAAUAUUAGUUAUAUAACAUGUUUACCUUAGUUCUUACAUUUAAAAAUUGGUUUACGUACUUCUCCACCACUAUUUUAAUCGAUGUUCAACAAAAUAUGUUAAAAAAAUGUUGAACUCAAGUUAUAUAUGUGUUGAACAAAAAAAGUUUGUAAGUUUGUAAGUUUGUACCAGAACCCUCCCCUAUAUAUAUAUAUAUAUAUAUAUAUAUAUAGAGGAAAGUUAUUUGGAGUACCAUAAUUUAUUGGAGUCUUGGAGUCCACAUCCAGGCCAUCCAUUCUUUUUUGAUCCAAAGGCUGCUAUUAAGACUCAUUUCUUUUAUAAAAAUAUAUAAUUUAAUAUAGCAUUUAUACAUACAGGCGUGCUAUUUCAGAUAACUGCAACUACUUAAAUCAAGCAGUUACAACAAAUUGAGAGUUUUCAGGAGUACAACACGCAAACAUGUCCUGCAACAUCUGUAUCUUACACUUCGCCCACUGAUUAGUAACUUCGUUAAUAUCUUUCUUUGUUUUCACAUUUCUUUGUUUAAACUUUUCUACGAAAUGCUUAUAAUAUCACUCUGUAUGAUGUUUUAACUUGUACAGUAUCAUACAAAGGAUGAUCUUACUAUUCUGUGUAAUUAAGGAGCAUACGAUUUACGAAGGGACACAUGUAUACUCAGCUAUAAUAUUGUAGUAGAGCUUUCCAUUCCUUUUACACUACACCAAUUUUAACUUCAUAAGGAUUUGGAACUAAUUAAUGUUGGGUUGCUUAUAACAUACCAAAAAUCUAAAGCAGGAUUUUACAAAACUUCAUCAAAAAGAAAAUUGCAAACAUAUUUUCACUAAUUAGCUUCAAUGCAAUAACCUCAUUCACAUUGUCACCAACCCAAAAGUUCCGAAAUAAAAACAACCAUUCAAACCGGUCCCAACAUAUAACGUAUCAAAUGUUCUAAAAAACCCAAUUAAGUAGUAGUGAUAACAAGACUGUUUACAUAAAUCUGCUACAUUUCACACAACUUCUUCCUGCUCAACCGCACCAUCUUAUUCAGCACAAAGUACUUUUUUUUGUUCUCCGACCAUGUGAGCAUACGACUUGCAUAUAAAAAUAAACUUUUUCUGGAUGUAUCCCUCAUACGUCCUAAUCUUCUUCACCUUGUCUACCUUGGUUGGUGUCCCUCGAACUACCACAUGACCCCUGCUAGCACUACUUUGAACACCGCGUCUGCGUGUCUGGUACCACAAUAAAUAAAUUAGAAUAUUAUCAGGACUGCUGCACAAAUGCCAUAUACAAAAUUAAUAUUCUUACAUUUAGCACAUUAAUAUUACCUUUGUAAUUUUUUUCACUACAGAACCUACCCUCGAUCGGUCAGGUGUUCUAUCGGGUACAAUUUCUCCCUUAUCACUGGUGCCCUGCAGAUUACAAUUAACAACACAACUACAGUAUAAAUAAACUACAUAAGGCGUCAACAAAAGUACAUUACAAACAACAUAACUAACAACUCGCAAACAACAUUUCGCAUAUGCACAACUAUGGCAACAAGAAGAAAGUUUCUAUGGAAACAAAUAUAUAUUACAAUAGUGUGACAAAUAUAGGUGUAAAGUUUUAUUGAAUUGUGAGGUCCAUGGGGAUUGUUCUUUUAGUGUGAGCUGUGUUUUUUUUAUUUAGGUGAUGUGAAUAUGCAGUACUAUGGCAACUUGCUCUUGUAAAGAGAAGUCGCAAGCUGUAACAUUUUCACCAUACUGGGUUUUUUUUAAUUAUUAAUUAUGUUUUUCUUACAUUUUUGCUGCUUGCAGAAUAUCUUCUUUUUGCUGAUGUAAUAUGUCAAAAAAAUAAUUGCCAACAGGUAAGCAUAAUGUUUGUGACUCUGGACAAAGUUGCUCCGGCAGAUCCCAAAUAUGCUAAUAUAUUCAUUCUAGAGAAGUACACUGCAUUUCAGAAUAGUACUGUUAUCUGCUUCAGUUUUAUGUUUAUAUUCUUUUGUUUCAUAGUUUUCUGGGCAGUUGCCUUUAUAAUUUACAGUAUAGUAUAAUUCAAAUAAAUUCACUUUAAUAUGCUGACAAGAUCUAAUUGAAUGUAGUCUAUAUGAUCUAGCUAAUGUGGUGCCAACUUUAGCGAAAUUUUAUCACCAAGCAAGUGAAUCUUAUGAACAAGACAUAUCAGUGUGAUCAUAUAAUAUUUAAGAAAUCUUGUUCUGCAUCGUUCUUCCUUAAAAGAAUCUACCUAAGUUGCAUGUGAUAUAAAUGGUUGUAUUCUGCACUUCUUUUGAUUGAGGACUUAAUGUACACGAUUACACCAGAAGAGGUUAGUCUCUGGACUUCCUUUUGAGCACAAAAAUUAUUGGCGUGAUAUCCAUAUACGUGGUACUUCUCAUUUUACUUGUAAUGUCAUUGUAUAUAUAUCAACAUACCCGUUGUAAAUUCAUCUCAUUAGUGCGACGCACGCUCUAUAGGACUGAAAACACUAGUAAGGCUAUAAAAAUAAAUACAAUUACAGUUUAUGCUUCACUCCUAAUAUAACACAUUUGAAACAUGUAUCUUUGAACACCUACAUGCAACUUCCUAGGGGAAACACGACAAAGGCUCUAAAACUGCAUAGUUUAAUGUUUUCAUUCUGUAGGCAAUCCCCAUGAAUACACACAUAAAUACACAUAUAUAUUGCAGUACAGAAUUACAAAAUUUCAAACCUCAAUAAUGCAGAACAAAAAAACUAUUAGUUCUCUCCAUUAUUGACAUUACCUCUGAAAUUUUAGAUGCCGUGGAGCCUACUCUCGGCUUGUCAUUCUUAGAAACUGCAGCAACAUCCCGUCCAUCACUUUUGGCCUGCAAGUUGUAUACGUCGCCACAUACAAAUAACAACAAAAUCAAUGUCCUCCAUUGUUGACCAUAAUACAUUCAUAGGUCACAUUCGGGGAAAGUGAUAACUAUCGUGUGCUGCAACAUAACUUACCCCGCUUCGUACAUGUUUCGUACUAGAACCCGUGCGAACCCCAUAUCCAGCAGAGAAUAUUUGCAGAACAAACACAAUGGUUCCAUUGAUUAUUUAACAUACAAAAAAACCCAUUCCCCCCCUACGAAACCAAAAAAAACCUAUUGCAUUACAAGCACUUCCCAAAUAGCAUAGGACAUUUUAAAAGACUCAAAAAAGUUUAAUAUCAUAGCAGUGUCAAGUGCAGAACAAAGAAAGACUUUCACUCAGCAGCUUCGCAACAUAAGGGACAUAUGCAGGACACGUAUUCAGCAAUUAGAAAGCCUCAUCUUCAAAGUCCCAAAUUCAGUCAAUGUCUUUGCAACAUCAAAUGCAAAACAAACAGAUGGUUCCAUUGAUUAUGUAGCACAAAAAAUAAACCCAUUUGGCCCCUACUAAACAAAAAUAAAACUUUUGCAGUACAAGCACUCCCCAAUUAGCAUAGGACAUUUUUAAAGACCCAAAAAAGUUUAAUAUAAUAUCAAUUUCAAGUGCAGAACAAACAAAGAGUUUCAUUAUUUACACAGCAAAAAAAUAAUUUUCAAAGAGGCACAACGAGAACUGAAGAUAAUAUGCAGGAGUACCCAUCGACCAAAGCCACCGUAAAAAUCAAAUACCGUCAACCCACUCACCAAUUAUGCGACAUACAAUUCAAUUAAAGCACAUAGAAAUAAAUUGUUGGUCGUGCCUAAGAUCAUCGUUGCAUACAACUGCAGCCUCGCCUCAAAAGAUUUAUUGAGAUUGAAGAGUCCCGCACCGCUGGAGAGUGUGGGGAAUACCUGAACUCAUAAUGCAACAGCCUAGAAUCGUCCUGCAGACAACUACUGAGCCGGUGAAUUAAGUCUGUAGAGUCCCGCACCUAGGGUUGAUCACAGCGAAAUUCAAACCCUGUUGAUAAUGGACGUAGUUUGGAGCGGAAAAUGCGGGAUAUGGCUAUAAUUUGGAGUUUAAAAUUGAUUAAAACUGAUCCUGCAGCAUUUUAAUUCAUUAAAUCUCAACCAUAGGAUCUUCUUAAAAUUUAACGGUAGAUCUUAGGGACUCCAAUUUCUCAAUUAAUAUAGUACCCCAUAGAUCUCAACUCUAUAUAUAUAUAUAUAUAUAUAUAUAUAAUAUGUUAUAUAUAAUAAUAUAUAAUAAAUGUUAUAAUUUUAUUAUAUAUUAUAUAAACGGUUCGGUUUUUCGGUUCGGUUUUAGGGGUAAAACCGUAACCGUUACCAAACCGUUAUAUCAGUUCGGUUACGGUUUUUGUCGGUUACAGUUUUUUUCGGUUUGGUUUUUCGGCUCGAUUUCGGUUUUUCGGUUUUUUUCGCUCACCCCCUGCUCAAGUCCCUUCAAGUAUUAAGAAUACACCAAAUGCCUCAAGAUUUCAAUUAUAGGAUUAAAAGGGAUGAUGGUGAAGAGGGACUCGACUUUCACAAAAUUUCUCAUGUCCAUAGACUCAUUAUCGACGAUCAGGAAUACAAUCGAAUGUUCCCUCUUUUUUUUCUGCUAAAUCAGAUGUUUGUAAGUAAUAAUUAGAGGUAAGAUUAUUAUGUGUGACUUACCUGCAAUCUGUUAUAUUAUUAUUGUGUUUUUACAACUUUUUGAUGCCUGUACUUUCUUUUUCUGUUGUUUCCGUGCAGCAUUUCAAGCUCUUGCUUGCUUCGACAGAUCCUGAACAUCAAAACUGCAUUUAAUUGGAAAACUGGUAGAAUUGGGUCAUCUAAACUCCUGUUUCCUAUUACUAGCAGUCUAGCACAGGGGUGUGGAAGCAAAAAAGAGGGUUUGGGUCUGUAUGCAUGUGUCAUGUUAAAUGAGAAAACCCAGGAGGGAGGACUGAGCUUUUUUCCUCCGGAUUUACAAACUGAAACUGAUAGAUCACAGAUUCACAAUACCGGGUAGGAUCCACCCUUUAUUUUGAAUUGCAUGGUAUCGAUUCUCAAAAUGUUAUGACAUCCCUGAUAUCUCCAUUUGCGGAUGGAAGAUGAUCUCUCACUUAUUGAACUGUGUAUUAAGCAGUACAAAGUUCCUCCUGAGCGCAGAAUUUUGUUGUUAACCAGAAUUAGAUAUGCCCAUUCCUUGCGGUCAUCUAGAAUAUGCAAGUUGUUAACCUGAUAUCUCCAUUUGCGGAUGGAAGAUGAUCUCUCACUUCUUGCCUUUGGUAUGCAAGAACUAGUGUCACUCUUGCUAAUGAGCCUGAAUACACAAAUGAAUUAAUCAGGAUUGUGAAAUCCGAAGAUACAAUCUCUACGAAUAUUAGAACACUGGCAAUGCAUGCCUUGGCAUCUCAGUUAGCUGUAUAUUCAUCAUCUCAUGAAAGGGCAGCUAUUUUGAGCAGAUCAAGCAUUAGUUUUACUGGGGGUAAUCGCAUGACUCUCCUAGCCAUUCCACAGGGAGCUAUUUUAUCACUGAAUAGCUCUAAUGACCCAUCAUCAAUUGCUUUUUGUUGAAGCUCUACUACAUUUUUUUCUGAUUCAUCUCACAUCUAUGUCAAGUUCACAUAGCGUUACUCGUGGGGCAGCACUACACAAUUCCUUGUUGAAAUAGGGGACUCUAAGCUUAAGUGUGCCCUCAGAAAAAGUCGUUAGGAGUACUUCAAUGGAGAAUGCACCUGGUAUGCUUGAAAGCUAAAGUUUAUAAUCUAUUAUGUCUUAUUCUUUAUUACAAUUAAUAAAUCAUCUAUUCUCUAUGCUGAAUUUCUUAUUUCAGUUAAUAUUUAAUAUGCAAGUAGGAUGAAUUAUUGUUGAUGGAAGGUGAUGCAAAAAUGAUGUAUGCCGGGUCCUUUUAUAAUUGUUUAGUAAUUUACCGUAGAAGUCCACGAGCUAAUGAGUUGUUAAACUUUGUUUUUACAUGCUCAUCGUUUAGUAUACAAUGAUUGUCAUUUAUUUGGGAAUUGAAUAGUGAAUUAAUAUUUAUAUUCCCAAAUGGGUUAAUAGUUCUAUUACUCUGCUGGCUGCCUGGCUCCAGUUCAAGUAUCAGUUUUUCUAAUGUAAACUCGACCCGGCUAGCUUGAGUAAACUAGACUUGACUUACAAAUCAAUAUUUGUUCUGAUAAUUCUCGACGUGAGCGAGGGCCGAACAAUAUGUUCGAAGAAACAGAGAAUAAACACAUCACUUGGAUUAUCUAAUGACGCUUAACUCGACUCAGACUUAUUUAUUGUGCUAGCAAUGCAAACUCGGACUCUAACGAAUACUAACUCGGGUUACAGCAAGGGCCCUGGAUGAAAGCAUCAGGGUUGCUCUCGCCUAAUUAAUAUGCUUUGGCAAAGGGGAAUAUAAUUAUAGAGAAUCUGAUGUGCAGAAGAAACAAGUAUAAGCUGCUUGAUUUCUUCUAUUACUGAUUAUUUAAUACGCAAGUAGAGUUAAUAGUUGUUGAUGAAGGUGAUGUUAAAAUUGAUGUUUUGCUUAUAUAUGCUGAGUCAUUUCAUCAUUAUUUAGUAAUUAGUUGUGAAAUUAUGAGCUGAUCUGUUGUUCAGCUUUGUUUUACAUGAUCUCAGUUUAGUAAUAUAAUGAUUGUAUUUGUUUACUAAUUUGCCAGCUUCAUGCAGUUCAACUCCUUUAUAUAGAGUUGUUUGGUUUGUGGCGAAGAAUAACAAAUUAAUAUGGCUGAAGCAAUUGUGUCGAUUGUUGUGGGAAGGCUCACUGAUUUGUUAACUGAAAAACCUCAAAUCCUUCAUGAAGUGAGAGAUGAAAUUGAAGCCGCUGUAGCUGGGUUCAUGCAGAUGAAAUUUUUUUUACCAGAUGCUGAUUCAAGGAUCGAUGUAGAAAGAAUCGGCAUCUUGCUCCGGGAUGUACGAGAGCUUGCCUAUGAUGCUGAACAUGCUGUCAAAAGUUUUGUUAUUAAAGCCUCAUCCACUAAAAAACCAUUUCAGUGGAUGAACAGAGGCAAGUUUUCAAGGAAGAUGAAAUAUAUACAAAAAAAGAUGUCCAUCUUCUUCGAUUUAUUUUCUGAUUAUAAUAUCAGACCAACUUCUGAAUCAUCAACUUCCUCCAACAGAGAAUCGGGAAAACUAAAGCGAUUUCACUCUUUCACUACUCCUGAACCAGAGAUAUUUGUUGGAUUUCAUGAAGACGUCGAACAUUUGGUGCAACAUUUGGUGAAUGAAGCUGAUGAUUCUUACCCACUUAUAUCUAUUUGUGGAAUGGGGGGUCUGGGAAAGACCACUCUAGCUCAAAAGAUAUACAAUCACUCCGCCAUCAAGACUCACUUUGCCGGUUUAGCAUGGGUAUCAAUCUCGCGAAAGUGGCAAACAGAUCGGGUGUUGCAGAGAAUUCUUAUAUGUCUCGUCCCUGAGAACAAAAACUCUAUCCUUAAUAUGGAGACUGACAAGCUAGUGGAGUAUUUGCUACAAAUCUAGGAAAGGAAAAAAUGCUUGAUAGUCCUCGAUGACAUAUGGUCAACACAUGAUUGGAAUGCAUUAAAAGCUGCAUUUCCAGCCGGGAAGUCCAUAAGCAAAUUAAUGCUUACAAGCCGUAAUGCUGAAGUUGCUGAGCAUGUAAAUUUGAACGGAUUCAUUCACCAGCCAGAAUGUCUAAGUCCAGAACAAAGUUGGGAGCUACUCAAGUUGAAAGCACUUCACACUGGGAAUUGUCUAGGUACAUAAUUUUACUUAUGGUUCAUAUACUUCUUUUUAUAAUGUGUUUUGUCCGACAACCUUAUAAACAAUAGAACCAUAUUUUUUGUUAAUUGAGUUCGAUAAGUGUGGUUAUAGAUCUGUCUGACAACCUUAAGGAACACUGUUUGAAUUCGUUAGUUUGUUUACAAACCUAUGUAAUAGAAUUGUAAACGAAUCUAAUUAGGUGCCCUCUUGAGGUUAAUUUAACGAACUCAAGUUUGAACCACAUAUUUUGUUUAAGAACCUUAACGAAAUUUAUGGGGUUCAGUAAUUUUUGGUCGUGUUGGCUCAAAGUUUAUCCGAGUUAAGUUCGUUUAGGGCUCUAACUUGAAAGUGUCUUUUAAACAUUUGCAUUAGUUGAACGACUAAAUUGAAUAUUAUCUUGGCUUGUGUGUGUGUGUGUCUAUAUAUAUACACACAUAUGAUUCCCGUUUCUUGUGUGUUGCAGACAUUACCAGAGAUGUAAAAAGGAUGGAAGAACUGGGAAGGGAAAUGGUUGAACAUUGUGCCGGUCUUCUACUAGCUAUAGUCGUUUUGGGUGGAGUUCUUGUAACAAAACCGUCGUUGAUAGAGUGGGAGAAAGUUUAUCGUGAUAGUAAAUCAUCCCUGAAGGCAGGGAAAGGACUGGGAGAAGCCUAUCAAAGAGAAAUAUUAAGUUUUUUAGUUUGGAGCUACAAUGAUUUACCCCCUCAACUGAAGCCAUGCUUUUUAUAUUUAUCAAAGUUUGGUGAAGAUAAAUGGAUAAAACUGGAGACUUUGUAUCAACUAUGGAUCGCUGAGGGAAUGAUACUCUCGAGUGACAAAAGAGAAGGAGAAACAAUGAUACAAGUGGCUGAAUCAUACAUGGGAGAACUAGUCCACAGGAGUAUGGUUCAAGUGAGAUUUAACAAUGUGGAAUCAUCACUUACAAAGUUUAAAGAUUGUUCUCUGCACGACCUCAUGAGAGACAUGUCGUUAAUACAAGCAAAAGCAGAAGAUUUUUUUGAAGAAAUACAUUUCCAAAGCGGAAAUCAGUUUCAUCUCAAAUCUACUGCAGAUUCAAGGUCAGCUUGCACUCGACUUGUGAUUCGUUUGGAUGAGGAAUAUUCUAGCAAAAAAGCUAAUGACUACUUUUCUAAGAAAGGCAAUGAAAAAUGCUAUCGAUCAGUGUUACUCUUUGGUGACUCUGCUCCCACAAGUUUGCCACGGGCAUUGGGGUCACAUGUAUCCAAUUUUAGGUUCCUAAAAGUGUUUUCUGUGGAGAAUUACAGAAAUUUUUCUGGUGCAUUUUCUCAUAUUAAUUUUGGAAGAGGAUUAGGGGACCUUGUUUACUUGCGAUAUCUUAGUGUAAGAGAGACUAAUUUGUUGGUUUUUCCAUCUCUAAAAAAGUUGGUGCUGCUGCAAACUCUUAAAUUGGAUAUUAACAACGUGAACUAUGUUUUACCAUGGCUGUCAAGAGAUGUUCUGGUGAAGCUGGAUUGUUUGAGGCAUUUGUAUCUGCCUAAAUAUAAAGUUUACGUUUUGGGAUGGAAAUCGAAAUUUCGGUUCAAUGGGUUGAGCAAGUUAGAGACUCUAGAGAACUUUAACACUACUUGGUGUGAGGCUAAGGAUCUACAUGAACUAAUCAAUCUUCGUAAGCUAACGCUAACGGUGAGAGAUAGCUUUGAUAUUCUGGAAAUAGUGAUGAAAAACUUGGGUGAUAUAGCCUCCUCACCAUCUUCAUGUCUGAGGUACUUGGGUGUCAGUAUUAUUAAUUGUGGAAUCAUGCUGAACAAUGGUCUUACUAUCUUAAAACAAUUGGUACAUGCUGACAAUCGGAACCUUCGGGACUUGAAAAUAUAUGAGCGUAUCGCAGAGUUGGGUCUAAUAUUUCUGCGUCAAUAUGUAUCUACAAUUGGUAUUACAAGUUUAACUUUAGCGAGUUCAUGCCUAGAAGAAGAUCCAAUGCCAAUACUGGAAAUGCUUCCAAUGUUGGGUGCUCUCCACAUGUUUGGGAGGAAUCCAUAUGUGGGGAAGGAGAUGGUGUGCUCCGCAACCGGUUUUCCUAAGCUCACCAUUCUUUAUUUCUACGGCUUCCCGAACCUUGAAAAAUGGAGGGUGGAGAAAGGAAGCAUGCCCAUGCUUUCAUAUUUGUGUAUUGGAAAAUGUAAGAAAUUGGAGGAGCUUCCACAAGGUAUGAUGUUCCUCAAUUCCCUUGUAGGAAUAUUCCUACAACAAAUGCCUCAAGAUUUCAAUUAUAGGAUCACAAGAGAGGAUGGUGGAGAAGGACCCGACUUUCACAAAAUUUCUCACGUCCCUAGAGUUAGUAUCAACAAUCAAAAUUAUGAUUCUAUGUUUUCCGUAUUCAUGUAAGGUUUUUUCGAUAUUAUGAAAAUCAGUUUUUUGUUUUCCAUACUUUAAGUUGUUAAGUUAUAAUUUACUUUCUAUUAAAACUAGCUUAUAACCUGUGCAACGCACUAGCGGUUAUAAUAUUUGUUAUUUUAUCAUAUAUAGUUUUAAUUUAAUUAAUUUUAUCGUAAAAAUAAAAUUAUGAUAGAAUAAUGUGGUUAAAUAAAUUAUUAUUUAACAGCUGAAUAAAUUCUUAAUACUUAAGUCCGUCAAAUGACUAAUUAAAAAUUAGGUCAAACAUAUAUUUUGAUGAGAAUGUUAAAUAUAUUUAUUUACAUGUUAUAAUUUAAGGAGAUCUAUAAACCCAUAUAUAAAUCAACCAAUCAACCUCAUAAUAUUUCGUUAGUAAUAAUUAAUAAUAUAGUAUAAAACAUAUUAUAAGUCAAAGAGACGCGUAAUCCCAAAUAUCGAUCCAUUACCUAAUUUUUAAUGUUUUGAUUCGAUAGAUAAUAAAAAAAUAUUAUAACAUAUUAUAAAUUAAUGAGGUCCGUGGGUUGAAUACCAACGGUCUCACCAAACUCGAUUGAUCGACCGACCAACUAACCAAUUGAACUUUUCAUUUUUCGGUUUUCGGCUUUAACAGUAUAAUAAUAUAUAGUAUAGUAUAAAUUUAUAAUAUCAUUUUUAAUGUGAGACCGUUAGAAUAUUUAAAAAUAAUGUUAAUUAAUUUCGGUUGAAAAAUAUCACCUGUUAUUUAUUAAUAAAUAUAUAUAAUAAUAUUAUGUUUUUAUACAUAUGUCGCCUGUGUUAAUUGUAGAAAAAUGAUUUUUUAGUUAGAAAAAAAUAUUUAUCCUGAACUCUAAAUCUUUAAAAUUAAAAAAAAACAUUUUUUUCAACGGAGAAGUUGUGUUUGUUGAAUUACAUUUAGUUUCAAAUUGCAAAAAUACUUUCUUAAAAAUUUUAAAAAGAUUGUAUAUUAUCGAAAAAGAACUCUAAACAUGUGUUAUAUCCUUAAAUUCUAUACUCUCUGACGCAGAAAAAUAAAUUAUAUUCGAAACAGAUUAUUAAUUUAAACUUAUAGUAGAGAGGUGUUUCGGUGAAGACCCCCGCUUAGUGCACAAUAAAAUAAAUAGAUAUAAUAAGAAUAUAAUAUCUUAGCCAUGUCCUUCUUCACACAGGACUUACCUAAAUAGUUCCUAAUGCAUCUGUGAACUGAGGACUUACCUAAACAGUUCCUAUUAUCACGAAUGCAUCCAUGAACUGAGCUAAUAAUCCUUCAAAACAUAAUGCAACGAACCUCGUAAUCUCUGUAAGCCACGAGACCUAGUCUCAACUAUUCUAAUAAGUCGUCCCCAAUCAUUCUUAUCUAAUGUCAUAUCACCCGUCCCCAAUCAUUCUUAUCUAAUGUCAUAUCACCCGUGAGAUUUAAAGCUCUCAUGUCCAAACUUAAUUGAUUAGCCCAUGUCCGACGAGGCUGACUUCUCUUUCUCUAGUCAUUCAUUAUUCUUGAGGUGAACAACAGUUAAAAAAAUUCAGAGCCGAGGUAUUCUUACACAGCAAAAUAUCGAUUUAUGAUAAUGUUGGACAGCAGAAAAUGAAAAGGAAGUAAUAUUUCACUAACCAUAUGUGAUAUCCAAUCCCAACAUUGAAAAUUGCUCACUCGAGAGAGACUAUAUUAGUAUCUCAUUCAUUAUUCUCGAAAUGGACAAGUGUUGAAGGAAUCCCGGAGCCACAAAUAUAACAACCUAACGACAGAAUAUUAAUUUAUGAUAGUACUGGACAGCAGAAAAUCAGAGAAAGUAAUUUUUCACUAGCCAAUAUGUGAUAUAUUUUCAUGCUGCCAACACAACAGAGUACAUUGUUGCCCUCAGGUUGCAACAAAACACAAAACUAGGACACUUUUAACUCUCGACUCCGCCCUUUGUUCAAACUUUUUCUUUGUGAUCUUUCUUUUCUUUAUAGUUAAACUACAAUAUAUACAGCGUUUAGGACUGGGAAACUGCUCUCUUCAAGACGCUGAAGGCAACGAGCAUAAGCAGUGAUAUCAUAAUCUUCUUUGAAGCAAGAAUCCGCAAGUUCACCUUCAUGCCAUGGUCUCUCAUGAGCUUCACUGUUGCCCUAAUUACUGAAAUAAGCCAGAAUACAACGGACAAGAACACCACUUUCAUUGUGUCUGCAGGUCCAUUCACACUUCUUGUGCCUCCCGACACCUCGACAUAGGACCAAGCAGCGCCUUGAUUAUCGGUAGUUCCACUCUGAUUGAGGCCAAGUUUCUCGUUCAACCAACAUGAUAAAGUCACAAGCAGCUUUGCAAGCCAUGCAAUCUCAUCAUUGGAGACUGGUCGCUUCAACCAGUCACCCCUGUAUUUCGUACCGGUUUGCUUCUUGUUGCGUAUCAUUCUAGGACUAAAUAUCUCAUCACGUGGAUGCUGAUUUUCUCUUGUCUCGGGGACUGCUUGUGUGUUCCUUGGAGUAGAGUUACCAAAUAAGCACCCCAUCUGGGCUUUGAUAGAAUCUAAACAAGCCAUAUUGUGAGCAUGAUUAUCUCCCAUGACAGUCUGCAGCUCCGACUCAGCACGCAACACAAAGAGCUGCAAUAACAAUAUGACUAGUGAGUGAGACUUGAGAUUUAGAAUGACACAAUUCCAUUCCUAGAAUUUAUAUAGUUCAUACAUAUAUAUUUAAGUACACUAUAUGCUAAAAGUGUUGGAAUAACCUUAAAUUUAAUUAUUUUUAAUAGAGUUAAUUGCAGAGUGUGUACCUCUAGUUUGAGGCUUGUGCACUUGGUGUACCUCAGUUUUGGUGUCUAGCAAUGUGUGUACCUCAGCUUUGAAGAUGCUUGCACAGUGUGUACUUUCGUGAGUUUGCAGCUUAACGGCGUUAGAUUGGAGGGACAGCGGGAUAAUUUGACAAAGAAAAAGGGAGGGGCAACGGCUAUAUGUUUGUAUGUGUUAUAUGCACUCUACUAUAUGGUCUGUAGUCGGGCUAGCUUAUGGACCUUGUGUUGAACAAAAGAAUGGAGUGCGUCGCGAGAAUGUUGAUGAUUAUGCUACUUCAGGACAAGAAUUGUUAAAGAGAAAACCGGCUCAAAUAACUGAUGAAGGCAAUAUUGUUAAAGAGCCAUGAAGAACCAAAGCACUCUCACCGGCUUGAUGUACUGUAUAGUUUGUGGCCUGAUACAUGUUGCAAAGGUUCUUAGCACUUUCACUUCUUGAUGCAUUAUAUUUCUUGUAUUCACCCAUGGAUAAAUGCAUAAUCAAGACACUGAAAAAUUAUGUGCCAUCACAGAAUAUUAGAUCAUAAUAGUAAUGAUAAGCAUGGUUUAUCCCUUAAGCAAAAUUAAGACAGUAAGCCGUUUUGUCAACUCGAAAAAAAGAUCUAGAAUAUAAAAUAGUAUUUUCUUUCCAGUACCUCUGUACUUGCAAUGCUGUAUAUUUGUAAAUAAUAUGGUAUUUAACUGUAUUACAGAAGUGGUAUAAGAAUAAACAGACAUAAAGCAUUCUCUCUUGUUCACUACUUGUCCAUAGAUAUUUAAAACAUUUUAAUCCCCUUGUAUAGUAAACAGAAUUGUAGCAAGUUCUAACUGAUCCAUUCUUGCUGUCAUACUCCCUUUAUCAGAAUAUUCUUCCCCAUUUGCGCCACGAGUAAGAGUAUUACAUAGAUUCAGCUGAUCAGACAAUGCUGCUGUAAAUUCAGAUGAAUCCUCAAUGUUUUCUAGUUCAUUAUCCUUUCCUGAAGGUUAAUUCACUUGUAACAACUCUUCUUCUGAAGAAGCAGAACCUUUCUUAUCGUCGGGUCUAAAGCCAUUCCAUUGUUCAACACAAGGACCGUAAGCCCAACUGCAAACAAGAUAGUAGAAGAGGUUUACUGAACUCGUGAUUGCAAGAAGCCAGUAGUAACUCUCAAAAUGUCCCUUGUUGAUAUUACUUGAAGUCCAGCUCUCUUUUCCUCCUUUACUUGAAACAUUGUUUCCGGUACUCAAUAUAGCACUAGCUAACAAGUUUGCAAAUGCCAUCCCUAGCCCGAACAUGGCUGAUGCAAUGCUGGACAUGCUGUUAGGGAAUUCUGAAUAGUAAAAUUCUGUUUGAGCUAUUGAGUUGAAAGCCUCGCCUAAUCCACUUAAAACAUGUUGUGGUACUAACCAAUAUGCAGACAUGUUAACCACACCGCUUGGAUUUUCUCUAAAACCUUGUUCGAUUGCUUUGGUUCGUCUUAUAUGUUCCACAAUGGCUGAGACAACCAUAGCCAAGAAUACUAUUAUCAUGUAAAAUAAUUGAAUAUAAGAGCAGUAUCAGUCGAAGUUGCUUAUGUAGAUACUUUAAUGACCAAAGUCGAUCACUAAAAAAAAUCUUUUGAUACCUUAUCAGUGGGCACAAGUCGUUCUGAAUCUUUGAGAGUAUGUGUAAUAGUAGAAUCUGGAGAAGGAAGUGUCAUUCUUCUGUUCUUGUAAACAACUGCAAUCACUUGCAUGAAGCUACUAAACAAGUUUGUUUUGACUUUUGGUUUGAUAUAUAAAGAAGUUGCAAUCAAGAAAAGAGCAGUUGAAAGGAACAUGAGAAGGGCUGGAACUCCAAAACCCACUUUCCAGUACCCCAGAUGAUCUUGAAUGUAGACAAUGCAAGUGAAAGCAAGCACGACUGCAACAGCUGCGGAAGCGUAUUACCAUCCGAAGAACCGUUCUAGCAUCCUUUUAUUCAUGGGAUUGUCCUUGUCAUCUAUUUGGUCAGCCCCAAAUGCUAGUGAACAAGGCCUAACACCACCUGCUCCAAUUGACAUAAGAACAAAGGACGAGAGCAAAACCAAGUACUGCAUUGUAGAAGUAUAUUCAAAGGUCUGGUGUUGCAACACAUAAAUGAGAUUCUAGGUUAUAAAUGAGGAGACAAAGAAUGUCUUCUUGUGCCGCCAAAGAUGAGUAGUAAACAAGAAGCCUCCAUUGGAAAUGUGUGUGUUGCCCUUUGUGAAGUAACGGUGUUAAUUCUCAGCUGACGGAAGUACACACAUUGCAAGCAUCUUUAAACUAUAGGUACACAGUUUGCUAGAUAUGAAAGGAAGGGUACACAAAGUGCACAAGCCUCAAACUAGAGGUACACACUAUGCAAUUUACUCUUAUUAAUAUUUGUUUAGUUAUAUAUUUUGAGGAUUAGUUUUAGAUUGAAGUAGUUGGAUGUUUGUUGUAGAGGUACAAGAAUUAAUACAAAUCAAUUUUAUAUUCUACACUUGGCAUUGGAGCCAGGUUACGCCGCCAGGCGGUGGUGAAGCCGCCGCUAGUGGUGAAGGCACAUAGUGAGUGUUUGACGAGAUAGUUUCAGGUAGGCGUUGCAGAAGGAUUGUGGCAAAGCUGCAUGUGUAGUAUGGGAUGCAUGUAUAGUAUGAGGCUGCCAAGAAAGACGAGGCGAUGCCUACUGAAGGUGGAAAAUGAGAUAGAGUGGAAGAAGGUCAUGCAGAACGAGAUGGAUCUUGCGUUUUUUAUGACGGAGUUGAACGAGAACCUCUCCUUCAAAAUUAUGGGUGAUUAUGUGUACCUGGAGAGAAUUUUAGAAUUAUGGGUGAUUAUGUGUACCUGGAGAAAAGUGCUCCAGUGAAUUUGGCGUUGAUGAGAAGUGCAUCAACAAAUUGGUGUUGAUGAGAAGUGCAUUGACAAAUCGGUGGUGGUGAGAAGUGCAUCACAUAUAGAGGUGGCAAUCGUUUCGUUUCGUAUACUUCUGUUUCGUGUAUUUUCAUGUUUCGUGUACUCAAAGGUGAAACCCGUAUCCGCCCGUUAUCAAUUUCGUGUACCAAAUUUGAAACCCGUAUCCGAUCCGAAACGUUUCGUGUAUUUUUCAUGUAAUCAAAAAAUAGCUUUAAUAUAUAUUUUUCUAUAUAAUUUACUAAAUAUGAAUGAUAUAUUUAUGCUCGCAUACAAUUAUCUACAAAUUUGUUAAUGUAUCUAUAAUAUGUAUCUACAUAUACAUAUAAAUAUAUAUUUAUUUAACACAAUUAUAUAUAUAUAAUAUAUUAUACCAAAUAUAUAAUGAAAUCUAUGUAUAAAUAUUUCGUGUACUUUCGUGUAUUUCGUGUACCCAAAAUGAAACCAAUAUUUGACACGAAAUCUAUCGUGUAAUUUCGUGUUCGUAAACUUUCGUGUUUCGUGUAUCAAAAAUCAAAACUCAUAUCCAUUUUUUUCGUGUCGUUUCGUUUCGUGUUAGCGUGUUACGUGUCAAAUUGCCAGGCCUAAUCACAUAUGAAGAGAAGUGCUUCAUAAACUCUCUUAAGUAAAUUUAAGAUUAUGGGGUGAUUGUUGGAAUAAUAUUAGAGGGGUGUAUUGGAUUGAGAUUUUAAAGCCUUUUUUUGCAUUCAUAAAAUCCGAGGGUAUUGGAUUGGGAUUGUUUGAAAUCAAUUAAAAUCUUGAGGUAUUCAAUUGAGAUUUUAAAUUAUACUACAAAAUCCGGUGGUAUUCACUUGGGAAUUUAAAUUAUGAUUUAAAAUCCGAUGGUAUUCAAUUGGGAUUGUUUCAAAUCCAUUAAAAUCUGAUGGUUUUCAAAUGCUGAUGGAUUUUUUUGCAUUUCAUAAAAUGAUGGAUUUUGUGGCAUUCUUCGGUGUAUUUUUUUACAAUUGCGAUAUAGACUAAAAAAAAAAUAUAAUAGGAUGUUCAUAGUGCAACGAAUCUUGCCCGUGUUGCGCACACGGGCAAUUUUUAUUUUCUAUAUUUUAAUAAUUGAUUGCAAUGUCUUUUUAAUUGUAACGCGCUCAAUAACAAAUUCAUAGACGAAUACUGUACAAUAAGAUGUAUAGAGACAUUGAAUGUUAAUUUAUUAGAUCAAAGUAAAUAUAAGCUGUUUUAGAUGGUUGGAGCAAUAGUUUUCAAACUUGAGGCCAAGAAAGAAAGUAAAUACAAUGCAGAAAGAAAGUGUACGAUAAUCAUGAAAGAAAAUAAUUGAAAUAUAAUUAUAUUUAGAUUUUUCAGAAAAAGUAAAAUAAAAUUCCCGUGUGCGAAGCACGGGCAAAAUUUGCUAGUUCUUACAAAAAGAAGAGAGGGGGAAAUAAACCUAUAGCAGCCGUUGUCCGCCAUCAUCACCAUCACUAAAUAACUGCAAAUCUUUGUUCCAAUUCUCAUGCAAGAAAGAGCCAUCAGCGUCAUUUUCACACAAUCCAUCCUCCCAGUCCUUGUAAAGCAAAAAAGAACAAGGGAUUUACAUAUAAACCUCUGAAAAAGAGUUGAAGAAUGCGCACGCGCGCACACACAAAAGAGAUGCAGAUAUGUCUUUAUACCUGCAGCUGUUCUCUGAUUGAUGGAACAAAUCUGUACAAGUUAUUGUGUAUGGGUUUGGAUGACCCAGAAGGCUUAGAAUGGAAGACAGUGUCCACAUUCUUUAUAAGAUUUAUCAGCUCACUGGACGAUGUCAAUAUGCUUAAGACCUGCGUAAGAAAUACAAGAAACAUAUACAAAAAUAAAUAAACAGAAACUACAACCAAUUGAUGAUCUUGGGAUAAAUAUAUAUACGGAUUUUAAAAUACAAAUUCCCCACUAUUAUCAAAAUACUGCCGAGACCGAUACUCGGACACGUAACCAUGUUGAACACUUUUAGCCGAGUCCAUGUAAUAUAGAUUCCCCAUACGUAAGCUUACCAGAUGUAUCCCCAUGAGCAACCAUAAAUUAAAAGAAGCUCAAAGAAAAUAAUUAGCUUUUUGUUGUGGUUCAUUCAGAUGUAUCCAUCAAGCAUUUUCCAGGACCACUGAAGCAAUCUAUGCAAAACCAUGGUUGAACAUCACUAACUACACAAGUAGCCUUCCUCUUGUGUUCUGCUUAUCCAGGUAAAAAAGAAAAGACUACAUGUCUUUUUUUGCUAGCAUGUCUUAAAAUGUACUAUUAUAUAAUUUUCUUAGUUUUUUAAUAAUUUCACCCAUCUAUAAAAGUAUAAACAGAGGACAAGAACAUAUAUCACACCUUUUGUGCUUCUUUACACCUCAACAGAGAACCAAGCAGGGCCUUGAUUAUCGGUGGUUCCACUACGAUUCAGGCCAAGUUUCUCAUGAUAAAGUCAAGGAGCUUUGCUGCUUUGCAAGCCAUUCCAUCUCCUUAGCGGAGACCGGCCACUAUUGUCCGGGCAUGUGUGGGUGAACUUAAUUUGAAAUAUAAUCAUUUAUUUUGAGAACAAUUUCACAUUCACAUACUAUUAAAUAAUAUUAAGUGUUUAGAGGACAUUUAGCAGAAAAUACACAUUUACAUACUUUCUCUUCCAGAUAUAAGUAAUUUAUUUCAAAAUACAAAAUAAGUUAAACGCCCAAGAUGUUUGAAUCAGUGAAUUACGCAAAUAUUUAAGAAUGAGAAAUCAUGGAGUAUGUUAUAAUACUCAAGUGCUUGUUACAUUCAACAUUUUACGGGAAAAAAGUAAAUUAAAUAUUUGCAAGAGAAUUAAUAGCAAAAAACGGAGCAAAUGUGUUCCAAAUUUUAAUUUUAAUAAAGCAAGUAAUGCUAUUGUAUUAGUUCUGGAAACAAAACGUAAUUUUCUCAUGAUGCAGACGCAGCAAACCGAUGAUUCCAAGUGUCUGUUAGCAGAAGGGGAGAGUGAAGAAGAAUAGAGAGUAUGAAGUGAUUUGCUUUGCUAUGAGGAGGUUAUGCAGGAAGCGGAACCAAGAGCGGUGAUGUUUGCAGAAACACAAGAGAAAGACUUCAAAUGGCAUCUUGAAAAGGAAUGAGAGCUGGCAAUUGGAGCAAACACAGCAACGACAACAAAAGUAAUCAAGGAAGAUGAGUAGGAUAGGCUUGUGAAACUGAGCUCCUGAAUUUCUGUUCUGCUUAGGAUUUUCGACAUAAUAGAGUUAUGAAUAGUAAUUACAAAAUUGAAAAAGUUGAACCAUAAUAUCAAACACAGAAGGGAAAAAAAUGGUUUUAAUAUGAACACCAAUCGACUCAAUCAAUUUGAUUACUAAAUUGACUAAGUGCUGCUUUAAACGGGUGCCCAAGACAUUAGUGAUGAAAAAGAUUAAAGUCGAUAAUUAGUGAUGAAAAAGAUAUAAAGAGCUUGCUUGGCCAGUACUUAAAGUCCUGGACAUUAUAAUCAUGUGGUGUAAUCACAUGGUUUAAUGAAUUAUUGUUGAAUUUUGCAACCAAAGAAGCAUGAAAAUGAUGAAAGACUGUCUCAGAGUCAUAUACAGUGGCUCCAUUAUAGUUUAAUUAAUAUACUUUGGCAAAGGGCAAUACUGGACAGCAAUAGAGAAUAUAAAGUGAUCACUCCUCACUUUAUAUUCUAGGUCAAAUUUGUUAUACAAAUUUACACUUUACACUUUACACUUUGUUAUACAAAUUUGUCCACUAAUUUCACAAUGAUCGUAUCAGGAACGAGUUCAAGUAUAUCAGAAGUAUAUUCUAGGUCUAAGCAAAAAUCUUUUAACACAAGUUUGUUCAAUUAACAACAGUCAUAAGCUGUAAGAUCAAUAAUAGACUGGAUGCAAAUGCUAUUUAACAAAAACGUUACCAACAUCGCAUCGCAACAACAAAUAACACCGAUAAAAGACCGAAAACAAACACAAUCCACCAAAAUAUGACCAGCUUCGCAUCGCAAGGUCAUGGAAUUUGAACUUAAGAUUCUAUAUGUUAUGUUUUAAGUCUGAACUCAAGUUUUGCCUAUAUCAGAUCAUAUUCCAAACUCAACUAAUGUGGGAGACUUGUGUAAUGAGUGCAACUGACCUUUUGCAACAAACAAGCACAUCACUUCAAACUCUCCGACUAGCUUUUUCUUUUUAAAAUAAAAAGAAAACAGCAGCAAUUAUGAUCUCUCCAUUAAAGAUAACAAGUUCUGCAACUUUCAAAAUUAUUUGCUUUAUAUAGACUUGUUUGGUUUCCAAUGUGCUGAAGACACCAAUACAUUUGAGCCUUAUCAAAUUUAUUACUCCCUCAUCCCAUUUUUAACUGUACUUUAUAUAGACUUGUUUGGUUUCUGCUGAAAAAAAAGUUAAACGAAUUAAUAUGGCUGAAGCAAUUGUGUCGAUUGUUAUGGGAAGGCUCGCUGAUUUAUAGAUUGAAAAACCUCAAAUCCUUAACGAAGUGAGCGAUGAAAUUCAACUAGCUGUGACGGAGCUCAUGCGGAUAAAGACAUUCUUACCUGAUGCUGACUCAAGGAUUGAUGUAGAAAGAAUCCGCAUUUUGCUCGGGGAGGUACGAGAGCUUGCCUAUGAUGCUGAACAUGCUGUCGAAAGUUUUGUUAUUAAAGCCUCAUCCACUAAAAAACCAUUUCAGUGGAUGAACAGAGUCAGAUUUUCAAGAAAGAUGAAAGAUAUACAUAAAAAGAUGUCCCUCCUCUUCAAUUUAUUUUCCGAUUAUAAUAUCAGACCAACUUCAGAAUCAUCAACUUCCUCCAACAGGGAAGAUGGUGAAGAAGGACCCGACUUUCACAAAAUUUCUCAUGUCCGUAGACUCAUUAUUGAUGAUCAGGACUACAUUUGAAUGUUCUUGUAAGUUUGCAAGGUAUAAAGUUUUGUUUUGGUCGUGAAGAACAUAUUGCUUGAGAAAUUAUUUGAUCAUUUGCUUCUCAUUAACCUAAUUUUAUAUGAUUAAUUUAUUUUCCAUCAAAAUUAAUACUUUUACCGUUGAAAAUAAUUUAAUUAAGACUUUUAAUUUUCUUAUUUCAAUUAUUAUUUAAUAGCCCGGUAGCGUUGAUGAAAGUGAUACAAAUAUUGAGAUGAGUCAUUUUAUAAUUGUUUUACGGUAGAAUUCCACGAGCUAAUCGGUUGUUAAACUUGGCUUUUACAUGCUCAUCGUUUAGUAUACAAUGAAUCAAUAAUAGUCAUUUAUUUAGGAAUUAAACAAUAAAUUAAUAUUUAUAUACAUGAGUAUCUCCGACCAUAGGAAACUCUCAGUUAAAAAGUGAGAUGACAUAUAAAAAUAAAAAAAUAUAGUCAAUCUUUUGAAAAAUUCACACUCCAAACAUAGUAAUUCAUUUUCUAUAAUUUUAGUCAACCUCCUAAGUUGACUAAAUUUGUCGAACUUCUGCUCAUCAGUAAAAUAUCGGUAGGAAGAUUACACAUCAUUUGUUAUCAUAUUGAACUGAUAUAUUCUAUUUUAACAAUCUAAAAUAUUAAUAACAUAUUAUUUUUAGAUUAUAGCCAACCAAUAUAACCAAUACAAUUAGAACAUAGUGUCUCAGAGGUUCAACAAAUUUUACAUAUUGUCUUGCAAAUCUAAUUUAUCGAAUGAUCUUAGUUUGCUGAUUCCAUGCAGUUUAACUAUCAUUUUUUCUAUUGUAAACUCAACCGCGACCCAAAUUAUUUGUUGUGCUACUUAUGCAAACUCCGACUCUAUAACUAACAAUCCUGUGAUUCAUAUAAAAUAUAGUUUUAUAAAUUAAUAUAUUCUUUUUUUGGAAUAAAAAAGUUGAUAUUUAAAUAUUUUUAUAAAAAAAAAGUUAAAAUUAAAUUAUAAAGCUAUUUUAUAUGAGUCUUAAAAUAUGUGUGUAAAAAAGCCCGUAAAUAAAUCAGGGGACCGAGGGAAUACCAACUACAAUUACUCCAAGGGCCCCCUGGAUGCAGAGAGCAUCAGGGUUGCUCUUACCUAAUUAAUAUGCUUUGGCCAAGUAGAAUCGUAGUGAACAAUUAUAGAGAAUCUGAUGUGCAUGCAGAAGAAACAAGUAUAAGCUGCUUGAUUUCUUAUAAUACUGAUUAUUCAAUACGCAAGUAGAGUUAAUAGUUGUUGAUGAGGGUGAUGCAAAAAUUGAUGUACGUGGAGUACUUGUGGAUUGUGGUACAUACAGUUAGCACAGGUGAAACCAGAAAUCCUUCCGGAGUAUCCGUCUCCAAAUUUGGCACAAAUAAGAUAUGUUUUCUAAUUUCUAUUUUUUGCCUCAUCUAUUUAAGAUAAUCUUCACAUUACAUAUUUGCUUUUAUUUUUAAUAGUAAAAAUAUCUUAUACCAUUUUUAAAUAUAUUAUAUUUGUUCGCGCUAAAUUUUGUGUUCAAGUAUCUACUGUGAAGUUCAGAAAAUUUAUUCAGGUGGACUUAACUCAUGAUAAGCCCGAAUGUUCUCGAAUCCGUGAGUCCAUGAGUGAACCUAGUCCUGGGCUCAUUUCUCAAAAUCCCAACGAAGAAGUUUAUAAGCCAAGGGUGCCUUACCCACAAAGGCUCAUUCGCCCUAAACAAUCGGCCCAAAUUGAACAAAUUCUAGAGGUUUUCAAACAAGUCAAGAUAAACAUUCCUCUUUUAGAUGCCAUUCAACAAGUUCCUUCUUAUGCUAAGUGUCUAAAAAAUCUGUGUACCCAUAAGCGAACCACCCAUGUUCCUAAGAAAGCCUUCUUAACCUCGCAAGUAAGCUCGAUUCUCUCGAAUCAAAUUCCCGUGAAAUAUAAGGACCCCGGUUGUCCUACAAUUUCUUGUGUCAUAGGCAAUACUUGCGUGGAAAGGCUUUACUUGAUUUAGGAGCGAGUGUGAAUCUUCUUCCUUUCUCGGUCUACCAAGCCCUAGGUUUAGGGUAUCUCAAGACCACCAAUAUGACCCUUCAACUUGCCGAUCGUUCGAUUAAAAUGCCAAAGGGAAUUAUUGAGGACGUGUUGAUAAAAAUCGGUGAUUUUAUCUUUCCUGUUGACUUUGUUGUUCUCGAAACUCAACCCGUCUCGAAUCCUAAGAACCAAAUUCCUAUCAUUUUAGGACGACCUUUUCUUGCUACAUCCAAUGCCUUAAUCAAUUGUAGGAAUGGUUCAAUGAAGCUCACUUUCGGAAACAUGACCAUUGACUUAAACAUUUUCAAUGUAGGAAAAGAACCCAAUGAGCUUUAUGAGCAACCUAUAGGGGUCAAUGUGGUCAACAAGUUUGUCACAUGGUCUAGCUUUGAGGAUAGUGAGAUUGAGUCUCUUCUUGGUGAGGAUUUCAAAUUCAACAAUGAGAAUAAUAGGGAAUAUCACGAGUUUUUGAAAGAGUUGACCUCGGAGGAGUUGUUAGGAGAAUUGAACGAGAUUUGUUCAAAAUGGGAGACUCCACCCGAGAUUGUUAGUGUGAGCCCUAGGCGCGAUUUUGAGAGUCAUGUAGGUGAACCACCGACAUUUGACUCGUUGUUCCAUCAUUCGCUUAGUGCCUUAGGGAGAGACGAAAUCGUUUCGCACAUCAUUACUAGUGAUUUGUCCCUUAACCAAGAUUUCAUAGUCUCUAAUUUGCUUGAUGAUAAAGAAGCAUUAAGUUGGUUUCGGGAGAACAUUAGUGAUACUUGUCCUAUAGGGAUGAAUGAUUGUCACAUGCUAGAGAAAGUCUUUGUGCAUAAAAAUUUUCGAAAACAUUUUGACUCUUUCUCGAAGCUCCCUCCCAUCUUUCCUUCCGGAAUUGGCUGAUUCGCUUCCAUCUUCGAACCUUCCCCCGUGAGAUUCAGGUAUUGGGAAGGAAAUGUGUGGGUGAGUGGGUCGUGUAUGUGUUUCAAUAGUUAAUAAAAUCCCUUCAUCUCCUAUUCAGGUAUUUUCCCUCUUUACUCAUACAUUUCAAUUCUCUCUUUUGCAUACAUUGAGGACAAUGCAUGAUUUAGGUAUGGGGAGGGCUUUAGUGUAAUUCUUAAAAAAUGAAAACCCUAAAAAAUGAAAAAAAUUAGAAAAAUCCAAAAAUAGAGAUGUUUUAGCUAAGUUGUCUUUCCCUCACUUGAACUUUAGGAGUAGUUGGUGUUUAGCAUGUUUUCGAAAAGUAAAUAUAUAUGUAGUGUCUUUUAGAUAAUUUGAACGUAGUUGAGUAAGGUUGUCUUUUUGAAGAUUGUAUCGACCGAUUUGUACUUGUAAUUCCAAGAUGGCACACACAUUUGCACAAGACCUUUGAUGGAGAGAUUGUCCAGUGAUAUUAUUCGAUACCUGAGAGAGAACCCACAUGUUGAAACAAUGUCGAACCGAACCUUUGCGACUAAAAAAAUAGCAAAAAAAAAAAGAAAAAGAAAAAAAAGGAAUAAACUACUUCAAUACCCAUUGUUCUUUAUAGAUAAAAUCUUUAGAUAAAUGGGCAAAAGUAGAUUGACUAGUCUCGUUUUGUGGCCUUUGUUACUCGAGCAAUUAAGUCCGUAGGGGGAUUUCAAAACCUGGUGCCCUACGACCGUUUGGUUUGGGAGUCACUGGCCUAAAGCUCGCUACAUGGGUAACAUUGUUUUCCUAAGAAAACGGACUAAAUAAAGUCAAUGCAAAAAAAAAGAGAAAAAAAAACAAAAAAAAAGGGAAGGAAGAAUAAGAGUUUGUAAAGUUUGGCUAGAUAUUUGUUUCGAUAGAGAUUGGGUCAGUUCAAAAUUGGUUGAAAAAGAGAAAGUGUUCUUAGACAAUUAGGAUCCAUCAAAGGCCUUAAAUUACUUACACUCCUUGGAUUUCUAGAAAAUUUUUGUGUCGAUUCAAGUAGAUUUGAGGCAACUGGAUCUUGAUUAUUAGUAAAAGAGUCUUUGAGUCGUAUUUUCCUUAAAAACGCUUUUUGUUAACACCGGCGAAAUUAGAGUAGAGUCGAGUAGACACUUGCUAGAAUGUCUCGAAGAUUUUAUGGGUAUAUCUUCUGUAAACCCUUAGGAGACAAAACUCCUCUUGUAGAGAUCGUCUACGAGUUUAACGGGUUGGUGAACCUAAAAUCACCCGUCACGCCUACGAAAAGGAGCCUAGGACUUGCAUUUAGUUUUCUUAGUUUAUUUUCUUUUCUUUUGAUUUUUACUCGAGGACGAGCAAAAUUUAGGUAUGGGGAAGUUUGAUAAGUCGAUAUUUUUGCAUCAUUUAGAUACCUAUUUAUUGCUUGUUUUCGUAUUUUUAUUAGUUAAUUGUUUUGUUUUCAGGAAUUUUUAGAGAAAUCGAGAAUUCAAGAGAAAAGGAACAAAAAGGUGCAAGAAGGGAAAAAGAGGAAGAAAAAGAAGAAGAAGAAAAAGAAGAAGAAGAAAAAAAAGGAAAAGAAAAUCAAGACACAAGACUAAAUUUGUAAACACUUUUAUUAUAUCAAUACAAGUAUUCAUUUUUGUUCUUAAAUCUUGCUCUUUACUUUUACUUCUAGGCUAUGAAAUCUUUCUCUAACCACAUGAGACUCAAAAUUACUUGUGGAUUGAAGGGAGCCUAAUUAUAUGUUUUAAGCUUGCAAUUUUUUAGUAUUUAAAUUGAGCCCCUUUUAAUUCUCAAUAUUAUUAGUGGGUUCAAUGGUUUAGUAUUCUAGAUUUUGGUUUUAGCUUGUAGUUUGAUGGGGUUUUGUUAGAUACAUGGUAGAUAAGCUAGUUUUGAAGUUUUGUUUGAUUUGGAGUUAGUUUGGUAGGAUUUGGUAUUGUUCUUGUUCUUGGUUUUGGUAUUUUUUGGGGCUUUUGGGUGUAAAUUUUAGUUUGUGAUUUUGAAUUGAGGUUAGUGGGUUUAUGUUAGAAAUAUUUUGCUUAGGUUAGAUUUGAAAUUUGGUGUAGUUUAGAGUUGUUAUGAUUUGAUUUGAGUCUUAUUUUGGUAAAAAUGGGUAGUUUAGGGGCUUUUUAGUGUAGAAUUUGUUGUUGAAUUUGAUUUAAAGGUUAGUGGGCUUUGAUUUGUAAUAUUUGGAAUGGCUAGAUUUUCCGGUCAAAUAAAUUUUCCGGUGAGAUUUAAGCUAUUUCGGGCACCUCCAUGAUUCCGGCGGGUUACUCUUGACUUUUCCGUCGUCCGAUAAAUGUUUAGUUUCNAUGUUUUAGUUUCUGUUUGUUUUCUGGUCAGUACUGUUGCUUUACGUUUCGACCACGCGUCCAUUUCUUUUAUUAUUAUUAUUAUUAAUUUGUUUUCUGAUCUGUUGUGUUUGCUCGGUAGUCACGUGAUUAUAUUAUUAUUGUUUUCCUCCCGCGAACUGUACACACACAGUCACUAAUCCUUAUUGUAUUGUUUUAUCCGAUUAUUAGUUAAUUAUGUAAUUAAGUAUUUAGUUAACAGUAUUAAUUAGGUAGUAUAUUAUAAUAAUAAAAUCCUUCAAAAAUUAAUCGGUCUAAUUCGCCUAGGUUAAUAAUUAGAGGUCGCGAAAAGUUAAAUUUAAUCUCUGUAGACGAAUCUAAAAUAUUAAAACGGUGAUCGUGCGCUUGCGAUUUAAAGGUAUUAUUUAUAGCACAUCACAGAUGAGGGUGAGCUUGUUGAGGGUUUACUAGAAGGUUGUCACUUAGAUUUUUACAUUGACAUUGUUGUGGACAAGGAAAUAGAGCCGAUGAAGCAGAUGCAACCUCAUGUGAUCAUGACAUCAAAGACAAGUUUUUUUGAAGGUAAUUAUCAAAAGUUUUUGGAAUUAUUUUGGUGUGAGUCAUGGUAUCAUUAUUUGGUUUCCUUUCCCUCAAAUUACAUGUGUGUAAAUAAUACUCUUGUAGGUCUAGAUAAAGUGAGGACACAGUAUGUGACAAUACAAACACUUCAAAAGGAUCAAAAGAAUAAGAAAAAAGGAGCUCACGAGGACUUGAAUUUAGUUGGUGAUGAGAAGGUGCAAUCUGCACCAGAAAUUGAGGGAGAUGACAUCAACAAGAAGAAAACUACUAAAGCUGCUGACUUGGUUGUUAAUGAGGAGAAUGUGGAAUCUGCUGCACACAUUCAGGUUUGCGAAAGAAGCAAGAAAAAACUUACCAAAAAGGCGAGUUUAUUGAUAAAAUACAUCUCUUACAUAUAUUCUUGUAUAUUAUAUAUGAUCAUGCAACAACUAAUCAUGUGUAAUUUAUUUAGGAUAUUCUUGCUGAUUUUGAAGAAAAAAGAAGAAGAGAGUUGCUGAAAACAAUCAAAUGUUGGAACAACUGAGAAUAAAGAAAUUGAAAGCUGAUCUUGAAGGUCAAAAAACAAAGAAGAAAAAUGUAGAAGAAGUUAUUGGGAAUAUAUCAGACCUAGAAUUUGAUAGAGAGUAUGUGUCGGGACAGGACAGCCUCCCCACUAGUGAAGAGGAGCAUCCAGCGAAGGUGUGUAUAACUUAUUCAAGUAUUAAUUUAAGCUUUGCAAUUAAUAUUAUAGAAGUUUAAUAUAUGAUCUUGAAUUAAUUAGCGGGCCAAAAAAGCUCCAUCAGUGAAGGUUGCUACCAGACCACCGACAACUCGUUCUAAAACAGCACAAAAGGUUGCUGAUGACAAUAAACUUGUGCAUUUUUCCUGCAUUUUAAUUUUCUUUUUUUUGCGCAUUUUAAGUUCAUAUUUUCUGUAUUUUAUGUUCUAAAUUUCCCAAUUUAUUUCACGUUUUCUGCAUUUUAGGUUAAAUUCACAAUGUUUUGAGUUUAAAUACUUUAUAAACUUUUUUGCAAGGUUAAUGAUGAAGUGGCAGUACCACCUCCCCCCAGCUACCUAGUACUCUUCAAGAAUUCAAGCAGAUAAAGAGGGAAUACAAUAAUGAUAGAGUUAAGACCAUGGAGGCAUUUGUAAAGAUGAGACAAAGCUUCAAGGAAAUGGAACAAGAAGCAGCUAGCAAUGCAGAGGACAAUGAUGUUGGGGUAAAGAAGGAACCAACAGAUGGCAAGUUCCAACUGAAGGUAUGUUUUUGAUCCUUAACUUGGGGUAGAAAUUUCAAUUAUAUAUAUAUAUAUAUAUAUAUAUAUAUAUGACUAAUUAAUCCUAUAUAAAAAUGGUGUUUAAUUACUUUGAAAUACAUAUAUCCAGGUGAAACUAAAGUUACAACGACGCCUAGAGCUCCUGUUGCUUUAACAAGGCACGCUUCUUAAUUUGCCAUAAACUGAAACUAUUCUUCCUAGUAAAUUUGUCGACCUUCAUGUUAAUACCACCAGACAUCUUUCUGACCGUAACCUCGCACUGAUGCCAGUUUGUUUUAACGGAAGCAAGAAAGAUUAUAAUAAACGUCAAGGAAGAACACAAAUAGGCAGAAGAAAAAAGUUUUAUUGAUCUUGAGGAUACAGAUGCAGCAUACAUUUUUAGGUUAUGACCCAAAAAGUAUGACCUAAAGAGCUUAUAUUAUUACUCUUAGGCCGUUACAGAAAAGCCCAGAAAAAUAGGCCCAAACACUGAUUUAAGGCAUAUUUGACAACGAUAGUGUUGGACAGCAGAAAAUGAGAGGAAGUAAUAUUUGACCGACCAAUAUGUAAUAUGUUUUCAUGCGGCCAACACAACAGAGUACAUUGAAUCCCAAUACACCAAAACUAGGAUACUUCUAACUCUUGACUCCGCCCAUUGCUCAAACUUUUUGUUUGUGAUCUUUUUAUAAUGAACCACUUUUGGGUUUUAUUUUGUUUAUAGUUAAACUACAAUAUAUACAACAUUUAGGACAGGGAAAAUGCUUUCUUCAAGACACUGAAAACAAUGAGAAUAAGCAGUGAUAUCAUGAUCUUCUUUGAAGCAAGCAUCCGCAAGUUCACCUUCAUGCCAUGGUCUCUCAUGAGCUUCACUGUUACCCUAAUUAUUAACAUAAGCCAAGACACAACGGACAGGAACACCACUUUUAUUGUGUCUGCAGGUCCAUUCACACUUCUUGUGCCUCCCCACACCUCGACGUAGGACCAAGACUGACACUUGGACACGUAAUCAUGUUCGACACUUUUAGCCGAAUCCAGGUAAUAUGUUCCUCAUAUACAAAACACAACUUAAUUAGGACUUCAGCAGUCAUUUAUAAAGUUCUACGUACAAUAGACAGCAAUCUGAUGCUCCACCAUAACUAGUAUGCAUGUAAGAAAAACAAAAACAUUCUUGCUAAGACUAAUUACACUACCCUUUGCAUAUUCAUCAAUCAGUACAAACACAAACAAUAUUAAAUCAAGUGAAACAAUCAAAACAUCUGUAGGAUGCGUGGAACCAUGAUAGCGCAUAUAGGUAACACAACAGAUAUCCUAGUACACUAUAACAAACUGGGCUAUUUACGACGAACACUAAGCCUAAUAUCCGUCGUAAGUUCCCAAUUUAUGAUGGAAAAAUCUGUAGUUUUUGCUCAAGUAGUAAGUUCAAAAAGCCGUCACAAUUUUAACUAUUAAACCAAUCCAAGAAAAUAAUCAAUCCACAAUAACAUAGUUUUCAUUAACAAAACAUCUCAAAUACAUAUUCAUACACAAACAAAAGACUAAAACAUCCAAACACAUACUCAUACACAAACAUAUGAUUAAAACAUCCAAAAACAGCCCCACAAAUUCAAUUACAUUCACACAACUUAAUAUUAACCCUUAAUAACCGGACCUCCUCUAGAGACAACAAUCGGGAUGACUCAUGUCAUGGUCUUCGGAGUUCGAAAUCUCAUUACCACUUCUAGCAUUAUCAACGUCAUCUUCAUCCCCAGUGUCGAUAACCUUGCCCUACAAUAUACAUAAAAAAUAAUUCAGUAUAAAUUGAAUAGAAACUCAUUUCUAUAUUCUAGAUAGAAACAUUCACCGUAUGUUUAUUUUGUUUUCUUUAAUGUACGCCCCUGUCUAUAAUUCAGGGUAUGUUUAUUUUUCAUGUAUUUUCUCUAUGAUUACAAAUAGCCGACCUUACUUGUCUAUUUGUACAGGUGGAAUUAUAGUUUAUAGGCAAGUUUGUGUCCACAGCAUUUAUGAGAAAAAGAUUGCCCUGUUGCGGUUUUUAAGAAUUGCUUCUUGCAAAUGCCAAGAAAUAUUUAACCCUCUCAUUAUAUUCAUCCGUAAAUUCAUAGCCACCGGAAAUUAUUCGUCGAGUAAUCCAACUUCUAUCAUAAGACAUCUAUAUAUGCAUGAAUAAUAUCAAUUCAAUUUCAAUAUGCAUAUAGACAAAAAUACAUACAAACACAAAUAAAACACAUGUAAACAUUAAAUUAUUCAUAUUAAUGCACAUAUAAUUAAACUAUAGAAGAAUAAGCAAAGAUUUAUCGUAUACGUAUAUUGAUUCAAGUGUUAAUCUCCGUUGUUAUGUCAUAUCUUCUGUGAAAUCAGAAGGAGAAGUAUGGUGUUUUGAAAGAGAAGUGGAAAAUUAGAAGCAGGCAAUAGUGAUUAAUCAGACCAAAUUACAACGGAAAGAACUCAUUCCGUCGUAAGUUCAUUUAAAUAUAUUAUUCUACAAUGCACAAGUCAAAAGUUUCGGGUGACAUUAAAUACGGUAGCUGAAUUUACGACGGAAUGAACUCAUUCCGUCGUAAAUUCCAGCACUAAAAGACACCGUUUGAAACAAUGGAACAUUCUCGAUUACCUUUUAAUAAAAAAAAUAUUUAUAUACGUGAAUUUACGACAGAAGGAGUUGCCGUCGUAAAUUAAUACGACGAAAAAACACCUAUCCGUCGUAAGUUUAAGCACUCAGCGAAUCUGUCAUAAAUACCCCUGUUUGUUGUAGUGGUACAUGGAAACUAAUAAAUACUAAGUAGCUUGUCUUCUUAAUGUGAUAAUAUUGUUUACUAACCAAUACUGACACACAUUAUCUUUAGAGUAGAUGGUCCUUUUCUAUGAGUUAAAGCACUUUGCAUCUCUUUUGUUUGAACAUUACAAAUAUAUGUUCAUAGUAUUAAUCUUGUUUCCCCCUGACCUAAAUCGUUUCAGUGUAAAAUUAGCAGCUCUGUACUUUCUCAAUGGUAUCUAAAUUUAUUAAAGUAAUAUUUGAUUCGUCAAUUACUAAACAAUACAGAAAUAACAGUAUGAGAAGGGAACUAAUGUGAAAUGUGCAAAUUGCAACCUUACACUUCCACAACUGGAUGUCUGUACUAAUGCAAUAUCUUUAUCAAAUCUUAAAGUUUUCUGAUUAAGAUCCAAUGUGCACGUUGCAACCUUUCUCAUCCACAAAGACGUCUUUACUGAUGCAAUAUUUCUAUUAAAAACUCUAAAAGGGUGUUAUAUCCUUAAAUUUUAUACUCUUGACGAAAAAAAUAAAUAAAUAGUUUUCGGAAGAAACUAUUAAUUCCAUACAAUUACGAUCAUUAUACUUAUUAGUUUUAUUUAAGAUUUUGUUUAUCUUAAAGUCACAUCCAUAUUAAAAACACUCAAUUUCCUAAAAAUAAUAUUAGAUUAUGGAUAACAUAGCAACUACUUUUUAUGAUUAAAACACAUUGUCAUUUUCAUAUUCGUAAUCAAAAAAUCGAUUUUUUAAAAAUAACACAUGCAAUAUACAUAUAAAAAGAUAAUAUUAUUAUAUAUAAUUAUUAAUAUACAACCGAUGAUAUUUUUCAAUAAAAUGCAUUAAUGCUGUUUUUAAUUACUCCAUGUUAUCACUUCAAAAUAAUAUCAUAGAUCUAUACUAUCUAUUUAUACCAUACUAUGCUAUAUUAUUAUUAUUAUUAUUAUUAUUAUUAUUAUUAUUAUUAUUAUUAUUAUUAUUAUUAUUAUUAUUAUUAUUAUUAUUCUUUUAAAAUUGAAAAAGUAAUAAUUUUAUCGGUCGGUAGAGUUUUAUCAGCCGCUCGGUAUUAUUCUACAGGCCUCCUUGAUAUAUAACGUGUUCUAAUAAACUUUUUAUUAUCAAUUAAGUCAAAAAAUAUAAAAAUUCGGUUAGUAUGAUCGAUUUCUGUUUCAAUUAAAUUUAUGAUUUAAAUGAUAAAAUUAUAAAUAUCAUAAAUCAACCGUACAUGGAACGGGUUAUAAACUAGUAUUAAUUAUUAUGAUAGAAUAGUUAUUAUAUUUUAAUAUUGGUCCUGAGAGAUGAAAUUUUUUAUGAAUUUAGAAAAUUAAUCACUUUACAGAAUAUUAAUUUAUAGAAAUUUUACUAUAUUAGGUGUUGAUUUUCUUAAGUUAGAAUAUUAUUUAAUAAACAAGUAGGAUAAUUUAUAAGGAUUGUAUUGGAUUAGGUGCUGAAUUUCUUAUUUUGAUUAUUAUUUAAUAGGUAGGUAGCGUAAGUUGUCGUCGAUGAAAGUGACACAAAUAUUGAUAUGAGUCAUUUUAUAAUUGUUUAGUAAUAUACCGUAGAAUUCUGCCAGCUAAUCGGUUGUUAAACUUUGCUUUUACAUGCCCAUCGUUUAGUAUACAAUGAAUCAAUGAUUGUCAUUUAUUUAGGAAUUAUGUCAUUUAUUUAGGAAUUAAAUAAUGAAUAACUCACACUUGUUCGGUUUAAUCUCAAAUUAGGGUUUUGUGAGUCGACUCCCAAAACUGGCAGUCACUUCUCCAUUCUUCACCUUCAUCCUCUUCAUCCACCAAAUCCUUUUCGCUCUCCCAUGUUAUUCACUAUUUACCACUUUUUUUGUUUUUCAAUAAAAGCGAGUGUUGCUUAAACCUCGAAGAUUCCAAUCGGGUUUUAUUCUCGGAUCUGUUUCGGAUUUGAGCUUGGGCUUGAUUGUUUUCUGAAUAAAUCAGAUAUUUUGAAAUCAAAGGUCCGAUCGUGUUUUCCCAUCUCGCCUUUUGGCGUGUGUUGAUUUAGUACCCAAUUUUUGGGUGAUUCUGCGUUGUUAUACUUGUGGUUGUUAUGUUUUUCUGUGUUAUCAAUGAGAAUGAUUUGGAUGCAGUUUUGGGAGAUCUAACUUAUCGCAUCAUUAAUACUUUCGGCAUGUCUAUAGCUGGCUCCCGGCGGCAUGUAGAUAGCUGGGGUAUGCUUGGAACGGUGGCGAUAGCAUGUGCUCACCUUUCACAAAUUAUAGUUGUUCAUUAUUCGAGGACUCUUGUUACUCAUUGCUUAGUUUUUACAACUGAGUCGCUUGAACACCGUAACAGCGAUGGAACUAUUGUGAAGGCCAAUUGUAUUCAUUCUUAGUUUCAAUGUAUUCAGUGUGUUAAGCAGUCUGGAAACAAUGCGGCUAUUUGUGUAGCUCGUUUUAUUGUUUAUCAACCUGAUUGCAUUGUCUGUUGGAGAUUUGUCCCGACUAGACUUGUUUUAAUUUAUUGAAAUGAAUUUGCAUUUUGUCAAAAAUAAAUAAAUAAUGAAUAACUCCAUAUACAGGAGUAGGUUAAUAGUAGUAUUAGUCUGUUGAUUCCAUGCAGUUCAACUAUCGGGAGUGUUUGUUUACGAGAAGCUGGAGUUGCUUCUAACUGCUUCUUUUGACCCGUUUGUGUAAAAAAGUAGAAGCACUUUUGAGAAUGCUAUCUUCUCUCUCACAGCUUCUGUUUCUUUUCCAAACACUUUAUUAACUUAUUUAAUUCUCACUUCUACUCCAUUUCUUUACUAUAAGCAAGAAAUCACAAUUUUUAAGCUAACUCAAACAGGCCCAUCAUUUUCUCUGGUGUAAACUUGACCGGUCUAGCUCGAGUAUAGUCGACCCAAAUUAUUUAUUGUGCUAGCUAUGCUAACACCGACUCUAUAACUAACAAUCCCUGUGGCGGGACGUGACAUCGAUAAAAGUUAGUAAUUAAAUAUUUAUAUAAAAGAAAUUAAAAUUAAAUUAUAAAAAUAUUUUAUAUGAUCUUUAAAAUAUGUGUGUAAAAAAGACAGUAAAUAAAUCAAAGGAACCGAAGGAGUACUAACUACAACUACGGCUAGGGCCCCGGAUGAGACCAUCAGGGUUGCUCUUACCAUCAGGAAAGAAACAAAUUUAUAUGUUAAACAAAUUUAUAUGGCUGAAGCAAUUGUGUCGAUUGUUGUGGGAAGGCUCACUGAUUUGUUAAUUGAAAAACCUCUAAUCCUUCACGAAGUGAGAGAUGAAAUUGAAGUCGCGGUAGCUGGGCUCGUGCGGAUGAAAACAUUCUUACGAGAUGCUGAUUCAAGGAUGGAUGUAGAAAGAAUCCGGAUUCUGCUCCGGGACGUACGAGAGCUUGCCUAUGAUGCUGAACAUGCUGUCGAAAGUUUUGUUAUUAAAGCCUCAUCCACUAAAAAAUCAUUUCAGUGGAUGAACAGAGGCAAGUUUUGUUAUGAUGCUGAUGAUUCUUACCCACUUAUAUCUAUUUGUGGAAUGGGGGGUCUGGGAAAGACAACUCUAGCUCAAAAGAUAUACAAUCACUCCGCCAUCAAGACUCACUUUGCUGGUUUAGCAUGGGUAUCAAUCUCCCGAAAGUGGCAAACAGAUCGUGUGUUGCAGAGAAUUCUUAUAUGUCUCGUCCCUGAGAACAAAAACUCUAUCCUUAAUAUGGACAGUGACAAGCUAGUGGAGUAUAUGCUACAAAUCCAGGGAAGGAAAAAAUGUUUGAUAGUUCUCGAUGAUAUAUGGUCAACUGAUACUUGGGAUGCAUUAAAAGCUGCAUUUCCAGCCGGGAAGUCCAUGAGCAAAUUAAUGCUUACAAGUCGUAAUGCUGAGGUUGCUGAGCAUGUAAAUUUAGACGGAUUCAUUCACAAGCCAGAAUGUCUAAGUCCCGAACAAAGUUGGGAGCUACUCAAGUUGAAAGCACUUCACACAGGAAAUUGUCUAGGUACGUAAUUUUAGUUGGGUUAAUUAUGUUUCACAUAAUUUUUUCUUUACCAUAUGUUUUGUUUGACAACCUUAACGAACCAUAUAUUUUGUUACUUAAGUUUGAUAAGUUUGGUUAGAAAUCUUUCCAACAACCUUAAAGAACAUUGUUCUAUUCAAUAACGUUUUGUUCGUGUUCGUUUAAAAACCUGUGUAUUAUUAGACUUGUAAACGAAUCCUGUUUGUUGUGUGUUGCAGACAUUACCAGAGAUGUAAAGAGGAUGGAAGAACUGGGAAGGGAAAUGGUUGAACAUUGUGCCGGUCUUCCGCUAGCUAUAGUCGUCUUGGGUGGAAUUCUUGUAACAAAACCAUCGUUGAUAGAGUGGGAGAAGGUAUAUCGUGAUAGUAAAUCAUCCCUGAAGGCGGGGAAAGGACUGGGAGAAGCCUAUCAAAGGGAAAUAUUAAGUUUUUUAGUUUGGAGCUACAAUGAUUUACCC